rnacentral:lncRNA from 1 species
UUUAUUACUCCGUUUGAUUUUUGGUGAGAGACCUAUGAUGACUUAUGUGAUAAAAUUUCUUGGAAUUCAAAUUUCGUUGAUAAUUUGAGCAUAAUUGGAACUAAUUUGCAUAAUAUUUUAGUGAUUUUAACCUUGACUUUUGGACGUUGAAUAUACCUGUGAGGAUUUGAGCCAUAAUUGUAUAUCAUACACAAUUUAUUCUUUAUUGUAAGUUUUGUCAUGCAUGUGGUGAUCUUCUAGAGCUUGUUAUGGUUUAUGUAUUGAGGUUGUUGUUGUUCCCAUGAUUAGAAGAUGAUUUUAGGCCAUAUUUUGUUAGCCACAUUAUUAUCCCAAACAUUGUCCUUAACGAAUAAACUAUCAUUUGUUAUCCACUUUGAGCCUAUUUAGCUUUUAUUCUUUAGCCGGAUGAUAGGGGGUGGUGUAGUAUAUGGGGAUCUCUGUGUGGUGAAUGUUCAUAGUGGGUCAUGGAAAAGAAGGGAUGAUGUUGUGUUACUAUUUACUCUUAUAAGCUCUAGGAAAUUGUGAAAAGAAAAAAAAAUGUUGAAAGAAGGAAAAAAAAGAAAAANAAGUAUGAAGUCAAGUGUUUAUUGAGAAAUUUGUUGGAAAUCGACCUUGUUUAUGGAAAAAAUAGUGUUGAAGAGCAUAAAAGAGUGUCUAGUCUUGAAUUAUGAUGAUUAAAUCCCUUGGUUGGAGUGUUUAUGGUGAUAUAGUUGGGUGGAAGAUGAAAUUUAUUCCAUGCUUGAUUAGUGAAGUCAUAAGGUUGGUGUUCUUAAUUUAAUUGAGUCACUUAACCUAUAUUUUCGCUACCUUAACCAAUGUCCCUACAUUAAAACCCGAAGAAAAAAACCUUUUUGAUCUUAGUCUUGGUACACUAUUAGCGAUGGAGAUUGUAGACGAUUGACAAGCUUAUGGUAAGUGAUCUACAUUGCAUUGAAUUCGAUGAGAGAAUACACGUUCCAUUCCACCAAUUGAGAGUUGAAUGAUACACAUACCUUGUGAGAUUCAAUUGUUUGGAAUGUCAAGGUUGAUUUUGCUAUAAGUUGUGUUUAUUGGUGAAUUUUGUGCUUAAUUGUUGAGGAUUUGAGAAUUCUAUCUUUCUAUGUUUUUCUGAGGCUUCUAUGAUCCAGAUUUCUGCCCAUUCGUGUUUAUUGACUUUAUUCUUCCCAUUAUUCGAGGACGAACAAUGACUUAAGUUUGGGGGAGUUGAUAAACACUCAUUUUGCGUUGUUUUUAUGAGUGUUUAAGUGCUAGGAUUAUGCUUGAUUGUGAAUCAUAUGGUUUAAGUUUUAUAUUCUUUUGUGAUAUUACGUUUAGGUUCGGUUUUGGCUAUUUUGUUAUAGGUUUGAGUGUUUUAACUAAAUAUGAAUAUUGAAGAUCCAAGUAUCGAGUCACAAGUGUUUCGGAUGCGAAAAUCGAAAAAACGAGCUCGAAGAGCUCAAAAAAUGAAGAUGUGGAGUGGACGGCGGACUGCCGGCGACCGCCGCCCACAGGAGGAAGUUUGUGAAGGAUGCGGCAACCAGGCGGCGCCCGCCGUGAAAACCAUCGAGAAUUCGGCAUUUUGUGGUGUGUUGGCGGCGACCGCCGGGAAACCGCCGCCACAUGAAGAGAUUUAUUGAAGGAGGCGACGACCGCCGCGUAAUCGCCGACUAGGUCGCUGCGUGUCCGAGUUUUUUUUUCUUACGCGUUUUCAGUGUUGUUUUUUAGUUAAAACUCUAUUUUUUACCCUGACACUAUAUAUAGAUCCUCUUUCGACCUAUUUAGGGGUCCCGACUUUAGUUUUUCAAUUUCUUAGCUUUAAAUUAUUAUUGCUUUCCAGUUUUGAAGGCUUGGAUUGGAUUUCUACAAGAUUGAAGAUUCAAACUGUUGCAAUCGUUUUAUUUCCGGUUUUAUAUAAUUCAGUUUUUACAAUUGCAUUUUUUUUAAUUAUGUUUCCGUUUUAUUUCAAUAUGUCUGCCUAGUUUUCUUAUCUGAUUCCAGGGUUCGUAAGUAGUUAAUUGAAUUCAUGUGAUUUAUUUGUUAAUACCUAUUUACUUUCCAGUUUAUGAUUCAUAAUUCCUGGUGCUUGAAUUCGUAUGAAUUAUCUGAUCAAUAGUUUGCAUGUGUAGCUAUCCGGUUUGAGACCUAGCGGAGAUAACUGUUUAGCGGAUUCAAGAAUGGAUGAUAUGAUGUUAACCUUGAGACCUAGCGGAGAUAGAUUGAUCAUAGAGAGUUAUUCUUAUGUGCUUUUGGGAGUUAGUAGAUUUUCUUGAGACCUAGCGGAGAUAGAGAAUUUACUAAUCCACGAUCAUUGCUGCUCUAGCGAGAGUAAUUGAUUAAUUAAGUGACUCUCAUUAUAACUGGAUUAAACUAGUUAAUAUGAUUAAUAGAUUGAUUAUGUGGAUUUAGUUAAUGAAUUUACUACCUUAGGAUCAGUUGUUUUCAUUAUUUGAUUUUCCCUAUUGAAUUUUAUUUGCUGCUAUUUGAAUUUAGCUUUAGUUAAAUUUUCUUCAUUUUAUGUUUGCCUGUCUACUGUUAGGGGUGUAAGUGAGUCGAGCUAGCUCACGAGCUACUCGGGAUCGACUCGAAAAUUACUCGAAAUCGUCUCGGUAUAAGUCGAGUCGAGCUCGAGCUCGAGCUACUCGACUAGGUAUCGAGCCCGAGUUCGAGUUUCAUCAUACUCGACUCGUUAGGCUCGCGAGCCUAAUCGAGCUUUCAAACAAAUUACGAUUUUAUCCCUAUAUUAUAGCUUAAUUACUAAUAUAGCUCAUAAUAUAUACAAUUUGUUGAAGCAUGUAUGAGACGAGCUUAAACGAGCUCGAGCUCACCGAGCAUAAACGAGCUCGAGUUCGAUUAAGAUUCAAUAAUCGAGCCGGACCGAGUCGAGCUCGAGCUCAUCGAAUAUGCAAUCGAGUCGAGCUCGAGCUCAAAAAUCUCAAACUCGACCGAGUCGAGCUCGAGCUCGAGCUUGAUACAUAUAGACCGAGCUCGAGCUCGAGUAUGUCAAUACUCGACUCGACUCGGCUCAUUUACACCCCUAUCUACUGUGAGAAUUUAUUUAGGGAGUAGCUAGGGUUAUUUUGGUUUUCAGUCCCUGUGGAGACGAUACUCUGCUUACUAUUUGUUACUAUAAUUGUGCUGCAUGAGUUGCGGUUUUGUUGCUAAUAAAAAUAGUGAUCACACUUAUGGCACUAUUAGUGCCAAAGUACCAACGGAAAUCCAAAUUAAACCAUAAGUAUCAAUGGAAAUCCAAAAUAAAACCAAGUAAAAUCUUGAACCUAACCCGAUCCGGCACGCGACCCGCGUGCCUAAUCCUACCUGGUUCGCCUAAUUAAGGGUAAAAAUGUCCGAAAUCAUUAAAAAUGCUAAAAUUUACGUUUUUUCAAUUAGUGGCCAUAAAUGGUGUUUUAUGCUUCAUUUUGGUUAUUUCAAAAUUUCGCUAAAAAAUGGUUUCAAAGAAGGGCAACGUGGCCUCAUCACAGCCGUUACCACAUUGUGGGUCAUUCGGGAUAGAACGUCCCUCUAUGUGAUCAAAAUAGUUGAAGAAGCGCACGUGCUGUAAGCCGCCCACCGCCCAAUUGCUUUGCAACUACAAUUCCAAUUUCAAUUCUAACCCAUCGAUGCUUCCCAUGAGUUUCACCUUUCUCCUCUAACCAUAAUUCAACUCUCCAGGGCAAUGGCUUCUCUGCACCUUCCCUUCUUUUCUGUAAGUCUCUCUCUCCCUCCGAUGCAGAGCAGACCGCAAGUAUUUCCUAUUUGCUGUUUUUCUUUUGAUUUAAUGCGAAAAGUUUUUCGAAUGCCAAAUCUCGGAUAUUAUAUGGUAGUAUUCGCUUGAGCGACGGUAGCAAUAUAAAUGUGCCAUCAUUAUUCUUCCGCGCAUGUCAGCUUUGUUUGCAUUUAUGUUAACAGAGUUUAAAAUUAAUGUUUCAUAGAUCAAAUGAUCGUUUAAAUUAUCGUGAUUAGUUUACUGAACGAGGGAAAUCUCACUAUCUGAGGAAUGGGAUAGUUUUCUUCGAAAGUUUAGACUAUAAUUUUCCAUUUCUCUUAACUUCUUAAGGAGGGCAGCUGGUAAUUCCGCGAACUUCCGAUGCGUGUGCAGAUAAAUGGGAAGUGUCAAAAUUGAAUUAAUGGAGUAGGAAGUGGGUGAAAGAAAAGAUAAAUGGGAAGUGGCAAGAUAUAGUUAAUUGAAAACGAAAUAGGUAAAGUUCUUUCAACUGAUUUUCCCCCAUUGAAUCUGAAUUUCUAGUUAGAACAACAUAUAUUGGCAACUUAGUGUGUUACUUCAAAUUGCGUCUUUUUGAACGCUUUUAUGAAAAAUUUAGUUGCCUCAACUCUGUGUCAUGAUUUGGGAAGGAAAGAUAUACCAUUUGGAGUUGAGUAUAAUCCGACUCAAAAUUUAUUGUUUAAACUUGCUCCUCUUUCCACGUCUAGAUGUCUAUCACUUGUAUUGGUUGCAAGCAUCUCUAUGAUUGCCUGAGAAUGUGUUUCCAUGUGCAUAUGGAAUUGCUAAAAGGAUAUAGAUUGCAUGAGAAGAGUAGAAGCCUGUAGGCUUUUUGUUGAUAUUCUAGUAAGUUAUGUCUUCCUACACAUGCAGAAAGUCGGUGGUACAAGAGAGUCGCUGAGGACAUUAUUAGCUGGCAAGUCUUCCCUCAUUGUGUUAUUGUUCUUCAUCUUACUGAUCAUUCUCUAAUAUCCCUUACUUGUGGCAGAAACCGUUCGAUCAAUUAGUAUGAACAAAGAAACUUUUUGGAGGCCAAGAAUGAUAUCUUUUCAGGGAUCUCUCAAGUUUGUGCAUACUUAUCGCAUCACACCUACUGGAGCCACAAUGGAGAAUAAAGAAUUACCUUCAAAUUACUUAAAAGACAAAAUGAUGGUUCCAAAUGCAGAUCCGCCCAGAGACGAAGAUGUCAAUCUUCUAUCUCAGUUCUUCAAGAGAAGGUACAAAUGGUUCGAGUAGUGAGGUCCAGAGUAGCUACAUGAAACUCUUCCAGAUUAAUAUUAUUUGAACAAACCUUCAGAAAUUGGUUAAAUGAAUACUCUAAUUUAUUUCAAGCAGAGCUUGCUAGCAAUUGCUAGUAAUUCCAUUUUGCUGAAUAUAACUUGGCCUGAUGAUUUAUGUGAGAAGUCAAGUAGCAAGUUGGUUUGAUCAGUCACCAACUGAAAAUCAGGCUUGUCUUAAUGUAUGAGAGGCUAGUCUGCACGUUGGUUCUGUUAUUCGCUUAUGCAUGUUUUUGUUCAACCUAAGAGAUUCUUGCUCGUGCUAAUGAUAUCAAAUAUGUAUAUAUGAAUAAUAUGAUUAUAUCUCUGUAUCUAAGUUUUAGUUUGUAAAAAGAUAUUUUGCUGAAUCAUGGCAAGCAACAUUAAUCGUCGGCUUGCUAUGAGGUUCAUUAUGUUUACCAGUGCCGUUGUUUGAGAGAACAAUUUUUCUAUUUUGGAUGCAUAAUAUGUACUUAUGUUGUGGUGGGUUCAUAUCUCAGACUAGAUUGCAUUCCUGACUGGGUAGGUCAAUGAAAGUAUUUGCAGAAUUACAUUGCAUCAAGUUCCUUCCAUAAUGUUAGCAUCUCUUGAUCAAAUUAAAUGUGUUUCUUUCUAGUGCAACAUCUGAAAAUAUUUAGAUUGUUUUGCAGUUCAAGGCUUGUUAUCUUGACUGGAGCUGGGAUAAGCACAGAGAGUGGGAUUCCUGAUUACCGGAGGUUAUGUUACAACCUUGUAUAAAAGUUUCCUGCUGAUACAUAGAUAUCAACGAUGACCCCUCAUAAAGAUUCUUCUAUGUUACUUAACCCCCCCCCCCCCCUUCUGAAAUACAUGAUACUUCAAAAGUUCAAAUUAAAAACUCCCUAUGUCCGGAAUGACAUUUGUUUCAUUGAUUUUUUUACUUUCUUUUCUUUCUGCUUCUUAGUUAUUGUAGUUUCUAAACUUAAUUUCCAUCCAAUUCUGCCAUUUAGUUGCAGAUUUUACUUUUUUCUUUUAUUGUCUAAGCUAUCUUGUAUGGCUAUGUCAUCUGUCAUUUUGUUAUUCUCAUGCAGCCCACAUAAAGCAAAAUUCAUAAACUGUGAUACACUGUCUUUUUUUUCUGAAUUUAAAGUAACUGCUCUGAUCCUGUGAGCUUGUGGCAAAGCUUCCCUAUAUUAUUCAUUCAGUUGUUGAAUUCCGAAUUUAUUGUUCACAUCUAAUGUUAUUUGCAGUAAUAGUUGUGAUUAGGGUAUCCACUUGGAGGUUUCUUCUAUAGCCACUAUGAGCAUUGUGUUGUUUGGUUCAGUCAGAUUGUGAAUUCUAAUGAACAGAUGGAAUGCAGCUUCAUAUUAAAUUUUCAAACUUGUUUUGAUUCCAUUAACUUGUUCUUACCUUGCUUAUCCUUAUUUCAUUUUAACAUCAAAAACUUAUCUGUUAAAGUUAUUCAGAUGUUAUCUGAUUACUGGUUUCUAUCUUAAAUCCUUGCAGUCCAAACGGAGCUUAUAGUACUGGUUUCCGGCCAAUCACUCACCAGGUGAUAUAAGCAUGUCUUGCAAAUAAUUUAUUUUCUUUAUAUUAUCUUAUUUUUAAAUUUUGCCAACUUCUUUAUGCAUUUGGGUCUGAGGUAUUACUAACUAUGGCGUGUGAGUAAACUGCCAGUUGACUCAUAUGAUAGUUGUGCUGUUUCAUUAUUUACUUCGGCUAGAUCUUAAAAUCUCCCAUGCAUCCUUGAUAGAUGCAAGCAUGGAAUAAAAGAACAUCAUUGAUCUCUCUCUAUUGUCUGUAAAAAACUUGAUUAUCUUUCUUAUAGGAUAAGGGCGGAAACACAAGAAUUUAUGGCUUCAUCUGGGCAUUCUGGCCUGCCUUUGUUACUAGAGCAGGCUGAGAGUUGCUUAAUAAUGAAAACUAGCUUUUGAGAUUUCCCUUUUAUCUGUUCUUUUGGUUCUAAAGACUAAUAGUUUGAUAAGUUGUCAAUGGUCAGUAUAAUAGUCUUGUCAAUCAAUUGAAAAGGAAAUUUUGGACGACUAAUCUGUUAUUUUAAACUUGCACUGGCCACCUGUGUAUAUGUGUGUCAGUUUACAUAGAUGUACUAGAGUUUUAGAAAUCUAUUACUUUCAUAUUAUCAUACUACUUAAUCCUCUUUGCCUUGAUAAGCUCUUUAAUUGUGAGAAUUUUGAUGUACUUGCAGAUAGAUGAUUCAAAUAUUUAAGUUUUUAUAUGUACUAUUUCAAUAAUAGGAAUUUAUGCGGUCCAGUCGUGCCCGAAGACGGUAUUGGGCUAGGAGUUAUGCUGGGUGGAGAAAAUUUACUACAGCACAACCAGGGCCUGCACAUAUUGCAUUAGCUUCUCUUGAGAAAGCCGGGCGUGUAAAAUUUAUGAUGACUCAAAAUGUAGACCGGUAAUGGCUAUUCACUCAAGGUAUCUAGUUUUAAUGUUAGUAACGCUUUUAUAACUUUAUUAGACAUUAAUUAUGUGUAGAAGUUCUAACAUAUCAGGUUAUUAGGCAGUAUGGUAGGAAUCCGCCUCACCCUGCAACUUGUCUGCUGUGUAUACUUAUUUAUGCACAUAUAUAUGUGUAUGAUGUAAUUACUUGUAUUCUAAAAACAGCAGCGUACGUAAUACGGAUACGAUACGGUACGGGGACGUAAAUACGUCAUUUUUCCAAAAAUCAAGAUACGAUACGUCAAAAAUACGUUUUAGUUUUUUUAUUUAAAAUAUUAUAUAUAUAUAUAUAUAUAUUAUAAAUUCAUAAUUCACCAAGAAUAUAAGUAAAACACUACUAAUUCACUCAUCAUCGCCUUUCUCCUCCUCCUCUUCCUCUUCCUCUUCCCUCAUAGAAGAAGAUGUAGAACUAGAAUUUGUAGUAUUCAUGGCUGCCAAUUCAAAUAAAAAACAAAAAUCAAACUUCAAUUCAAAUAAACCCACUACCCAAUUCAAAAUACCCACAGCCCAAACCAACGAAUUGAAGUAAACCCACUGCCCAAUUCAGAAAAUUACCCACGCCACUGCCAAUUCGAACAAAUUGAAAUACAUCUGCCUAAGUUAAUUGAAAUACACAAAAACCCAGUACCCAAUCCAACAAAUCAAAAAUUAAACUUCAAUCCAACAAAACCCAAAGCCAAAUUCAGCCAAUCAUCAUACAUACCCACUGCCCAAGCCAAAUAAAUGACUACCCAAGCCAAAUUAGAUUGACCUUCACUUAUUGGGGUGGCGCGGCCGCUCCAAGCGUGCAAGGAGGCGCGAUGGUGAUGGAGGGGUGGCGCAGGGCAGCGCGACGGUGAGGCGCAGGGCGGCGAGACGGCGAGCGGCGAGUGGGGUUGCGCAGGGGCGACAGUGAGCGGGGUGGGUCAGAGGAGAAGAGGGGCGAAAUUGUGGAGGCGCUAUUAAGGUUCAGGUUCAAAUUCUUUUAAAACGUAUUUUUACUUGUCAAAUAUGUAUUUGACCGUAUCAUUAACGUAUUUUUAACGUAUUUUUUAUUAAAAAAAUUAAUUUAAAAAAGGGUCGAGUAUUUUCCGCGUAUCGUCCCCGGGACGUCCCCGGGACACAUACGGCUGGUAGUUACACGUACCCAUGCUUCAUAGCUUGUAUUGGCAUAAAAACAGCAGCGUACUGGAUUGCGCAUUCUUUAUCCUUGAUGUUUGUUAUGAAUUCUGUACCUUUUCAAUCCCAAAACACACUGGAGAAGUGCUUCCUUUUUUCAGUAUUAACCACAAGCACUUGUUAUUUCCAUCUAUUUAACUUUUUCUUUUUAUUACUUACUGAGUUACAAGUAUGAUUACUUUUNUUAUAAUCAGUAUUAUUUACUUGAGCUCUAGUUGAGAAUAACUUGUAAAAGCCAAGGGCUAAAUAUACUAAAACGAACAUAACUUAGUAACAUAACUGGACUGCUCAAGUAUAGAAAGAAUUUUUGGCGGGUUUACUGUUGGUAUCGUGCUUAUAUGCAAGGGUUUGGUCUACACUUGAACUACCUGGCUAAACCAUAUAAACAUACAUAUCUUCAGGCGUUAGCAAUACUUUUAUUUCUAUAUCACAGGUUGCACCAUCGAGCUGGAAGCAAUCCUCUAGAGUUGCACGGGACUGUAUAUAUUGUUGCUUGUACGAAUUGUGGCUUUUCUCUUUCUCGAAGCUCAUUUCAGGAUCAAGUGAAGGCUAUAAACCCAAAGGUUGCUUUUGGAAAUCCACACUGUUUUUUUGUAGUUUUGUUUAACAAAGAAGCUUAGAUAUUGCUUUUAAAUUUGUAAAUUGUACCCUGAACUAGUUUAGCCUUGAUAACCAUUUAUAAAAUAAAACUUGAUAGUUUGAAGUAUAUAAAAGAUGACGAUAAAUUGAUUCAAUAAUUAUUGUUAAUUUUAUUAAUUUAUUUUCAAAAUUAUUUGAUCUGAAAUUAUUUCCUCCAUCAUUGUUCUAAUUAUGAUUCAACUGUAUACUUUAGUGGUAUUCGAAUAUAUGUUAGAGGCUAAUGGAAAUUGGGCAAGUCAUAGAUGUAAGCCAAAUGUUGAUCCAUUUUAUAUCUGUGCUUGUUUCAUUCAUAGAUCAUAUACUCCUCAUGGGUGUCUCAAAUCAUUCUUGGCUACGCUUUGGUAUAAUGUCUUACCUUGUUCCGGCUUCUGGGUAUAUUAUACUUAUUCACACUUCAAUUUCAAAUUCAUGGCUUAUUCCGCCUAAUGACGUGUUAUUUUUUGUCUUUUCUCCCCACUUGAUAGAACUACAGCACUUCCAAGAUCUAUUCAAAUCCUUCAUCUGAUAACAAGUUGCGUACUUCGACAUAUGCAUGUUCAACUGGAGAGGAAAUUUUAAAAUUUGAAGUUGCUAACUUGAAAUAAUUAUAAGCACUUGCUUCCUAUUAUUCUUCUUAUUGACAAUCCACUUUUAUAAGUUUAUAGUUGGAAUGCAAUUGCAAGGGAGAAUAUUAUAAAUACACAAGUGUUAUAGCCCUUUGGAUAUAUAUCUAUGUAAUGGUGUUGUAUUAUUUGGUAAUUAAGAUGAUAUAUUUUACUUCAGGAGAAAUUUUAGCCAUCGAUGUGAUGUCAUGUCAGUAUUGCUUUUGUGGUAGUCAGUGCGGCAUAUGAUUAUCUAAUUAGAAUAACAUUCAUAAGUAUCUGCAGAGAAUGAAAUAUGUUCCCCUAAAACUUUAGUGUCAUACAUCUCUGUUAUAGGAGAAGGGAAUCAUCCCUGGUAAAUCCUAAACAUGGCCACAACUUUAGUUGAAUCUUGCCUGACUAUUUUCUGGAGCAUGAUUUUGCUCAGCCUCAAGAACUCUUGCUUGGUCCAUAAGCAGUUUUAUGGUGACUUCUGUUUGUCACGAUAUGUAAACCUCCUUUCUGGCUGCUUAACUGAAUUUACCAAUAUAAAGGAAACUCAUAAUUAAGAAAAAUCUUGCUUCUUCUAUCUUUUCUGUUCCUUAUAAGCUUCUCCUUCAUCAUGUAUCUUUUCACGGCAGACCACAAACUGAAGCUGACAACUUUUAAGUUUUUUGUAGAUUUCCUUUGCUUGCUUCGUGUAGGCUUAUUCAUUAAUCACUCUAGCUAUUGCAAAUUUAUGCUACAAUAUUUAAUGUCAUUGCAGUGGGCAGAAGCAAUCGAAAGUUUAGAUUAUGACAGCCGUUCGGACAAGAGCUUUGGAAUGAAGCAAAGGCCUGAUGGUGAUAUUGAGAUUGAUGAGAAGUUCUGGGAGGAGGAAUUCCAUAUACCAAAUUGUGAGAAAUGUGAUGGUAUACUGAAACCUGAUGUAAGCACCUCCUUAACGUGUUAUUUGGGUCCUACCCUGAGUAUUAUUUCUUUGUUCCGUGCAGCAUAAAUUAAAGUAUGUAUUCGUUGAGCUAGUUUGUGCUGCAUGCUACUUUUGUUGUUAGUACUUGUAUGUUUUUUGAACAAGUAAUAACCUUAUUUUAUAUAACAAUUAAGACUUAUCAAAAGAAAUUUGUGUAAUUUAACAAAAAUAACAAAAAUAAGUAAAUAAAUAUCAAAUGGUGAAAGGACAUAUGUAACCUAAGUUUAUUAAAUGAAACAGUCAAAUGAUCAAAGAGGUAAAGAAUUAUGUGUAAUAAGAAAACCCUUAGUGUUUAAAUUUUUAAAGGCGCAUUGUAUUUGAACACCUUUGUUCGUGUGAAGGGUAUCUCGAUCCAAUUAACUGAACAAUGAAUAACCCUUUUAGUGAGUUUUCUUUUCCACAGUUUUUUAUGAUAGCUAUAGCUUUCUGGGUGGACAUUUUCCUAAGGAGAAUCUACCUCAUAUUUACUUGCAUUAUCUCUCCUUCCAUGGAGGUAGCAAAUUUUGGAUGAACUACAUAAAUCUCUCAUAUACUAUCUAGUUUCACUCUUCUCAACUUUGUGAAAAAUUGUUGUAUUCAGCUGCUAACGUUUUGUAAAUUUAGCCUCAUAGUUUUACAUCAUUAAGAUGCUAUUGAAUUCAGGUGCCCUUCUCUCUCUCAUAGAUAUACCUUUUCAGGUUGUCUUUUUUGGUGAUAACGUCCCAAAGGGUAGAUCAGAUAGAGCAGUAGAAGCUGCGAAAGAAUGUGACGCUUUCCUUGUACUUGGUUCUUCAUUGAUGACGAUGUCUGCUUUCCGACUCAUUAGGUAAAACUUAUGCUGGUGUGUCUUUUAUAUUCAUGUAAGUUAUGUAUUUUUCUCUGUCUAUUUCAACAUUGUGGAUGUCCAUAUAAUCUUUGACCAUAUGUCAGGAAUGGUCUGUAACUUUCUAAUCUGUUGUCAGUCUAGAUUAUAUCAGUUGACUUAAUCAUUAGUGCUUUCCAAGGUUUAUGUAUCAUCUAGGAUACUUCUGCGUCACUACAAAAUUGAUUUAUGUAAACGAGAGUAUGUUAUCAUAAUAAGAUAAUAAUUAAUCUAUACGUAUAGUGAAAAUAAUACUUGAAGCAAAUAAUGCAAUCAUACAAACUGCACAAUUCUAUUUGGAAAACUGCUCAUUCUAGUUGGAAAAGGGUUUUAACUUUAAUGAAAAUGAGUAAUGAUGUAGGAAUUCAAGGACUUCAGGGCUGGCCCUGUAGUAUGGAAAGAUCUUCCCAUGUUUAAGCCUUAAUUUAGAUAACUUAUAUCCGCCUAACCCUGUUGCUUUCUCAAUCAUGAAAUGAAACCAUACUUCCAUAUAUUUGUGCAGAGCUGCUCACGAAGCUGGUGCUGCUACUGCUAUUGUAAAUAUUGGCGUUACCAGAGCUGACGAUUUCGUUCCUUUGAAAAUUAACUCCAGACUUGGAGAGGUAUGCAUUUCUAUCUCUUGUACUCAAACCUAUGUAGUGGAAUUAUUGAUGUUUCGUCACCUGAUGGUACAGAUAUUACCAAGAUUGCUUUCAGUUGGAUCCCUUGGUGUCCCUGUUGUCUAGAGCGUGCAGCAAAACCAUGUAAGGUUGACUUGCUGCACAGACGCUCCUUGUUGUAUUUGAAGUCUAAAUAUAAUUAUGUUGUUAUCAAUUCAAAAAUUGGAAAUUCAAAUUUUCAUUGGAACUCAUAUUGUGUCGAUGAAAGAUGCCUAUCCCAGCCAAGUUCUAAUUGAGGGAACCUGAUGUUUCAAGAAAGUUAAUAUUCUUUUUCUUCUAGAUCAAUGCAAGAGAUUUGUUACUUGCACCUUCUCAUAUUUACACUUCCUCCGUUCAUGAUAAGUAUGGUCUUUUUGUCAUUUCAUUCGUCCAUAAUAAGUAUGUUUUUUCGUUUAAAGAUAUAUACCCUUGUAUUUUUCUUGUCUCGCACACGAUAUGCAAUAAACUUAUCUCACAAAUUAUUUAUUGAUUACCUAACAAAUUAACUUUGGUGGAUCUCUUUUUUCAUUUUAUCACAUUUCUCAAUAUUUUUUUUAACCUGUGCACCACUCUUAUCAUGGAAGGAUAAUAUGUACAUUUUGGGGCAAUAGUGUUAAUACUUUUUUUAUCCUGACAUAUUUCAUGAGUUGGUGUCAUACCCAACUCAAUAUUUUGUUGAGAGGCACUCCCAUGCGCUUUGAGCGUACGGUGUGCUCACCCAAAUUAACGCAUUAGUUAGAAUAUAGAUAGAAAAGGAAUAGAAUUUAUACCAAUUGGAGUAUGUGGAUAGAUGGUCCGUCACUUGGUUUUGGGCUCCACUUUUGUCCUUGAUCUCGAUGUCAAACUCUUGUAGCAAUAGGAUUUGUCAGAUCAACUUUGGUUUGGACUCUUUCGCCAUCAAGUACUUUAGGGCAAUAUGGUUUGUACACCACGGUCUUGCUCCCAAAGAGAUAGGACUUGAACUUCUCAAAUGGGAAUACCACGGCGAGGAGCUCCUUCUCGGUAGUGGUCUAGUUGCUCUGGGUAACAUUCACAAUUUUUGAGGCGUAAUAAAUCACGAAGCCCUCCUUCCCAAUCUUUUGCCCUAUUACAACUCCCACCGCAUAUCCGUCCGCAUCGCACAUGAGCUCAAAGGGCAUGCCCCACUCAGGUGGUCUGAUGAUGGGCAUUGUGGUCAGAUGCGUCUUCAGAGUCUUGAAGGCUUCAUGAAAUUCUUGAUCAAAGUCCGAGGGCACAUCAUUCUAGAGUAAUCUGGUCAUGGGCUGAGCGAUCUUGGCAAAGUCCUUGGCAAAGCGUCGAUAAAACCAUGCAUGCCCAAGUAAUCCUCUGAAUUGUUUGACUGAUGUCGGUAGUGGUAACUUGGCUAUGAUGUCGACCAUGGCCUUGUCCACAUCGAUACCACACUUUGAUAUAAUAUGUCUCAAGAUUAUGCCUUUUUUCUAUCAUGAAAUAGCAUUUCUCAUAAUAUAUCAUGUAUAUAUAACUGUAUAUUUAUGUGUAGUGUAAAUGUCUUUACCAAAUGAUGGUUAUGGAUAUGGUGCACACUUUGUGAUGUUUGGAGCAAGCAUUAGUUGUUUAUGGAUUGCAUUUAUGCAUAUGUGUUUUGUUUACUGACAAUUGAAAGGAAAUGCAAGAAACAAAAUCAAGGGCUAGAUAUCUUGAUCAUGGUAUAUAUAUGAUCAAUGUUUUUUUCGUUUAGUUUACAAAUUAAUUUGCAAAUUUGAUCUCUUGAAGUAAUGUGUUGAAAAGAUGUACCUUUCACAUGGAGUAUAUCUUACUCUGUUUGUGAAGAACAUGAUUUGAAAUUGGAUUCCACUAUAAAUAUGUGGAGCAAAAUAAAGUGUUACGUGGAUUCUACUACUAUAAAGAGAAGUGAAAUGAUAUUAUGGACAGAUCAAAAUGAUAAAAGUGAAAACGAUAUUGUGGAGUAUAUUUUUAAAGGUGAAAAUAAAGGUGGACAUUUUUUGUUUGAAGUAUGUACGUAUAAGUUGUUUUGUAUUUGCACUUGAUGAGAGAGCUGGAUUCCCAAAGUGGCACGAAAAAAAGGAGAAAAAGACUCAAAAAAAGGGGCGCAUGAUCAACAAUCAGCAUCUCCCCAGCUCAUCAGAAUCUGACCUUACUUCUUGUCCCUCUCUCUCUCUCUCUCUCUCUCUCUCUCUCUCCUCAACACUAGAAGGCCAUGUUACCACUAAAGCUGGUUCGCUCUCUGGUUUCCGGCGAUGAUGUCACGAACCCCCUUUUCCUCUGCAUCCACCACCACAAUCUCGAACACGAGAGCGACGACAACGAGGAUCCCACUCUCUCGAGAAACAAAACCCCAUUGAUGCUCUUCCUCCCCAAUCAAGAAUUGGUUAGAGACACAUACAGAUUGGCCUCCAUUGCUAGAGCCAUCGGAAUGGAUCUCCAACCCAACCCUUCUCUCUCCCACAUCAUCUUCUCAUGGCCAUCGCCGCCGCCGCCCCAGUCAUGCACGUUGUCGUCCUCAUCAACAUCACCACAUUCAUGGGCUUCAUCGUCUGCACCGUCAUCAUCGCUGUCGUAUUCAUGGUCGCUGCCAGAUGGCAGCGUGCCGCUACCGUUCCCCUCCUUCGCCACCGCGUCCCUCUCCCACCUCCGCCUCUUCGUCAGCCUCUCCAAGGGCUACUUCAAGCUGGCCUUCUUGAAAAACGGCUGCACCCCUCUUGAAAAAAUCGAAUCUUUCAGCAAUAAUAACUGGCAUUGCACCUCGCUUUCGCUCUUCGCCGCAAGCACCGGCGAGCGCGUUGAGUCCAUGGAUGGAUUUUCGAGGGCCUUGCUUGGGAAGGGGUGGGCCCUUUUCAAGACUAAUUGUGGUAGCGAGAGAGAUUUUCAAGAUUCUACGGAGAGGGAAUUAUAUUUGUAUAAAAAGUUGGAUGCGAGUAGGAUUUGUAGAAAUGGGGAUUUGAGGGAAUGCAGUAGGGCCAGAGAGUUGAGGCUGCCGGCAUUGGAUUUUAGGAAUGCGCCAUUGAGGAUUUUGCAGUAUAUUCUUCUCAUGACUGACGAUGUCUUCUACCUUGCCUAGCAAUAGCAAUUCAAGUGAGAAUCCAUUUCCUUUUCUUGGCUGUUCUUGUUCAAUUUGAUCUUAUCUGUAUGUGUUUCCUUAGAGGGCGUACUAUAGGUUAAUGUAUUAUUUAUUAAGAUUUAUUAGAGACCUCCAAUAUGCUAAAGCCCUUGAUUAUUUCUACAAUUUGAGAUAACCUACUUGAUUCAUAUUCUCUUGAAAGGGCUAAGAUUGUAGAAAUCGUUGUAAUGAAGUUAAAUAUAUUCAAUCAUGUGUAUUGUCGAUCUUGAAUAGUAAAUGCCCCCUCGGUGGUUUGGUUUGUUUUUCUUGAUUAUUAUUGGUAUUGGUAUGGUAGGAAUUUAGGUUGUUGCAAUUAAAUAGACUUGUACCGUUAUUGGCAUUUGUGAGUAAUUACAAGGUACUCUCAUGUGUUGUCAAUGUAUUAAAUGGAACUAAUAAUUGGACUGUUACACUAGAGGGUGCUUAAGUGAGCCUUCAUAUGGAGGGGAUAUAGUAUAUGAUUAAUGUAGAGAUCCUUGAAUAUGGAUAUUGCUCGUAACUAUUAGGUGCUAAGCAUUUAUUCCAGCAUCAGUUGAAGGACAUGAAUGCACGAUAGGUUGGAGAUAGGAUUUGAUCUGCAUUCAACUAAGUCUGAAAAUCUGUUUAAUGAUUCUAUCAGAUAAUGUGAGGAGUAUAUAGUGCUGAUUGAUUAAAUUUAGCUGAAGGGAAGUGUCUUUGUGAUGGCUAUUGUUUUUGAGGGGUGGUCGUACACUUAAUAGAAAACCAUAUCCUUGUAAUUUUGUCUUUCGCAAACCCAAACAAGAUAUUGUUUUAUCAGUUUUGAUCUUCGCCAAAGGAGGUAUAAACUACAAUCUUAGAUAGACAUACACAUAGUGCACGCAAACUGCAAUUCUAUCUGUUCAAUCCAUUCAAGCUAAAUACUUUUAGAGAAACAUCUUGAUCGUGCUCGCUAUCUUUUACACGUGUCAGUAAUAACUCUAUGAUGAACCUCUGAGCACUAACUAUCUUAAACAGACUAACUAAUGAUGUAGAAAGAUUGUAGUGUUUAAAACUUUAAAUGCAUAUGGAUAUUAUCGUGUAAGAUUGUGGUUGCGCUGAAGUUCUGUGCAUAUGGAUAUUGUCAUGUAAGAUUGUGGUUGCGCUGAAGUUCUGUGCAUAUGGAUAUUACCAUGUAAGAUAUGGUUGCGCUAAAGUUCUGUUGCUGUUAAUUUACUUCCAUGCGGCCAAAUUCCGGAACUUCAUGGUUGUCUGAGUAAAAACUUAAGUGUGUAUGAAGUGAUUGUGAUGAUGAAUUUACUAUAAUUUUGGUGUCCGUUGUUAUUAAUAGCAAGAGCUGUAGUAACCCUGCACGAUACCAAUCUAUACUUCAAAUCUGUAUAAAGGUUGACCUGUUUCUGGUUAAGCUUGAUUCACGUGUAAUCCUCUGAAUCUUCAACUUAUCAGGUAGAUCUAAGCUUUUAUACUCUACUUUUGUUGUCUGUGGUUGGGCUAGUAUUGAUUGAUUGAACAUCCAUGAGUUUUUUCUUGAUGUCUAGUAAAUAUGUAGAAUCCUUCUCACUAUAGCGGACUAAUAUAUAAAGAAUCGUAUAGUUUACACUUUACACCAUCUGUACCAUGUGAAGACCAGAUAAAAGUAUUUAAAGGUUUGUAACUAGCAUUUUCACAUCAGUACUAUUAUACUUUGGGAAACAUGGGAUGUUUUACUUCAACAAAUAAUCUGACGAAGUAUUUCCUAAUAUUUGCAUCAUUGGUUGAAGGACAUGAGAGGUAAUAGAAGCGCCCAGGUGAACUUGAUGGCCCAUAGGCAAAUUGCAGGUCACUUUGUUGGCAAAUAUGUAAAGGUAAAUUAUUCUUUGAGUAUGACAGUUGAAAUUCUUUAUGGGGUGUUCGGUUUGGCGGAUUAGACAGGACUUAGUUUCAUUAUAUGCUGUUUGGUUGGGUGGACUCAACCCAAUAACUAGUCUUAGGAUAGUGCCAUGUAGGGGCUCUGGGGCUGUUUGGUAGGGCAGAUAAAGCUAAGAUAGCUUACAUAUCUGAGCUUAAUUAGGUGUUUGGUAGCCAUGAUACAUAUUAACAAAAGCCCGAGAUAAGGCUUGGACCCAUGUAAAAAACACUGUUCCUCUUAGUAUAACAUAUCCGACCUCCCCCCUCCGUUUCCUAAUCCUAACAUGAACAGUAACACAUAUUAGAAAAUACUUAGACUAAAAAACCCAUGGAACCACGCGAAAUUCAACUCAUAUACAGAAUUUGAAAAGCAACAAAGAACUAGAAACUUUCUUCACCUUGAUGAAUUCUUCAGUCAUUUCCUCCAAGAUCACAAAAUAUACCUCCAAACGCUCAGGAACCCACAAAAUUUCGAUUAUCAGCAGAAUCCUUGAAGAAGCCUCCAACUACGAUUGAUGGAGAACCGGUGAGAAGGUCUGUUGCCCGAUUGAAGGAACCAAAAGGAAACCGCGAAAGAAGCAAAAAUCGAACCUUAUUUCUUAGGAUGAGUUAUUGAAGCUGCAUAGCUGAGAAAUUUCUUUCUCAGAUCUGAUAAAUCAGACCAGUUUCGUCUUUUUAGGGCAAAUCGGAUCUUAAUGAGGCGCCUUUUCUUCAUUUGUCUAUUGUGCACAUUUGGUUCUCUUAUUGAGAAUUUACAUUUUAACAAAUACAACUUCAAACUGAUAAUUUGAUUUCAAGUCUGAUUUAGAGAUUCUAUUUUGAUCGCUGUAGAAAUCUAUUAAAGGGCCUCUUCUGAUGUCUGUUUAAGAAUAUUAAGAAAUGUACAAAACAGCGUAGAAACGAGGUUCUACUCAAAUGGGGUGGGCUUUUUCGAAACUAUUUUUGUUAUUACUUGCAUCUAUUAAUUACAUCUUCAACUGAAGUUGAGAAUUAAGUCUGAAAUGAGAAUGAUGAUAUAUAAGUCGUGCUAUUUCUGAUAUAUAAAUGAUAAAUCUGAUAUAUAAGUCAUGCUAUUUCUGAUAUAUGAGUCUGAUAUAUAACGCAGAUAUAUGUGAAGGAUGAUAUAAGUCUGAUAAUUCUUGUCUGAUAUAUGAGAAUGAUAGGUCUGUUAUAUGAGAAUGAUGAUAUGUCUGUGAAGUUGUGAAGUUGUGAAGUUUGAUAUAUGAGAAUGAUGAUAUAGUGGGCUGUGAAGUUGCUGUAUUUUGGGCUUCGAAUUUGCUCAUAUAUCAGUCAUAUAUGAGAAUCAUGAUAUAUAAGUCUGAUAUAUGAGAAUGAUGAUAUAUAAGUUAAUAUAUAAAUUAGAAAUUUCUUACUUUUCUUAGUUUUUUGAUGUUGAUAUAUAAGUCUGAAUACCAGAUAUAGAAGUCUGAAAUUUCUAAUGUUGAUAUAUAAGUCUGAAUACCUGAAUAUAUAAGUGUGAAUACUUGAGAUACCUGAUUCUUCAGGCUUAGUUUUCUUAGUUUUCUGAUGUUCGUAAUUAUUUCUUAGUUUUUUAGAGUUGCCUGAGAUAAAACAGACAACAUGUUGAUUACAACAUUUGAAUAGAUAGUGGUAGUGGUCUUGAAUAAUACAAAAUUAAUUAUCUUUUAACCUCGUUAAAAUGCAGAUUUGGUUAUCAAAGUCUUUCUUAACUAGUUGGGAUGUUUAUAUGCAGAAAUUGAGUUCACCUCUCAUUGAGACUUUAUUGCUAUGGCGCGGAAUGAUGAUAGAUAUGAGUUCACCUCUGUAUGCUCAGCUACUAAUUGUGCUAUAAGAAGUAGAGAGAGAUCUGGUUGAGUGGUGGUGAGUUUGCUGGAGAUGGUUUUGGCAUGUAUUCUUUUUGCGGUUCUGUUGUAACUAUUAGAGCACUUUGUUUCGGUUAAAUAUCUGGCUGACAUUGUGAUCUUCUAUGUAAAGUUAUUUGCUUCUUACUAAGAGGGUGUUUCACUAAGCUUCUUUUAGAUGUUUGAAGAGCUUAUAAGUUGUCAAAAUAUUUGGAUAAUUGAGCUUAUAAGCUAGAGUGAGAGAGAGAAUGUUAGUGAGUAAGAGAAAAUUGGAUUGAGAUGAAAUGGUAAGAUAUAUGAUGGAAAUAACAAACCAUAGUAGUGUUAUUUUUGUGAAAUGAUUGUUGAUUAUGAAAAGAGUUGGGGUUAGGAACUUAUUUUGGGGGAGCUUAUAAGUUGUUGGAGCUUAUUCUUAUUUCUUACAACUUAUAAGCUAUUUAGAAGCUUAUUUUGCCAAACAUCCUCAAAGGUUAUUGGGUUUGAAUUUGCUUGAGUUUGUGUUGAAUGGACAUCAGAUUAGUAGCUCGAGUUAGAAGGAUCUGCUCCUACACCUUCUAAUUUCAUUGUCAGCAUCGUUGAUGUUCUAUAUGUACGCUAGUUUGAAUCUAGUUGUAGACUUGGUUGCUAAAUACGUAGAACUUUAAUGUUCUGUAGAUGCUAGAGUAUAUUUUUUUUCUUUCAAUCUUACACUUGAGUUUAGAUUGUAUAUUCCUAUCUUUUGAUCAGUAUAAUCUAUGGCUAUUGAUUCCACAUUUGUUCAUUAGCUUCUCUCUCCAUGUUUUGUUAUCUAUAAAGUAAGGCCCCUUCCAGCGAUGGCAUUGAUCAUCUUUGACCUCGGCACUGCUUGUUCUCGUUUGCCACAGUUGUCAUGAACUUGCUUUCGGAUUAUGUUGCACCAGCACGCGUGCUGAAUUAUAUUUGUUUGUUUAUAUAUGCACGCCUUAUUCUUUAUUUUCAAGUCAUUUAACAUUAAGGGUGCGUUCUCUUAACUGUAUAAUAGGAAACGAAUGUCAACUUUUUUCCAGAUCCCAGGAACUUCGGUCUGUACUCUGGCAUAUAAAUGAAGGGAUGGAAGAGGGUUACGUUCACCAUGAAAUGACUUGGAACUUGGAUCUCAGUCUGUUUGAGAUUGCUCAUUAUAAUCAUGACCAAGGAUGUUUUCGUGCAAGCCAGGGAUAAGGAAUGAAUAAACAGAACCGGUCCUCGCAGAUGACUGAUGUUUCAAAAUGUAUGAAUUCUGCUUUAGAUUGUUAUUGAGAUAUAGAUUAGCUACUGCUGGGAAAUAAAAUUGAUCUUGCAAAGCAUGUACGAAGUUAUAGUGUGUUUUGCUGCUUUAUACAGUUGCUGCAUUUAGCUUACAAUGUCUUGCAAUUCUACAAGUUGGAUUGAAUUUGUUCUACUUUACAAACAUUGGGCUUUUAAGAAGUUUGUUAGAUAAUGGAAAUAUGCAUGCAAUCUGUUUGUUAAAUUCUAUUUAAGUAAAAACUAGACAAAAUUUAACAAGUGCCGAGGUCAGUAGUGGGGGUGACCUAAUAGCUGACCUGAUAGAGGAGGAAUCACAUUGGGUCAGUGAGACUACAGUGAGAUAAUAUGAUAGCUGACCUGAUCUUUUUAGUUUUGAUUAUUGUAUUUUUCAUUUAAUUUUAAUUGCAGAAAUUUAAAUAACACAAUUGACUUCAAAUUAAACUUCAUUUAAUUUUAAAAAUCCUAAAAAUUACAUUAAAAAAAAAACCUAAAGACAUAAUUUAAAAUUACUUAAUUAAAAAUUAAAAACAUAAAAUCCUAAAGAUCUUUUCCUUCUCUCAUCCUAGCGAUGAUUUUCGCGCAACGCUGCUUGUGGAGGGCGAGGGUUUCUGGACUCAUGUCGUCGGUCUUCAUGAAUAAAAUCCGAUCGUCGUGCAUCUUUUUCUUGAGUUCGUUCGAAUUAGCGACCUCGGCCAUCAUUUGUUUGAUGUUCUCGUCCGACCUGUCCAUCCUCUCCACGUAUUCGGGUGGAAGCCCGAAGCUUUGCGACGCCUUUCAUUUCCCUUUCGCCGCUCUCGCCGCGCCGCCUUGUUUUCAAUCGACCGGGAAGACGUGAUCUUCUCUCCCGACGCCAAGGUAGUGAAGUCGCCUGUCUCCGACGUCUUCGUCCUCUUGGAGGAAUGGACAUCGCCCUCAAGGUACACGGACUUGAACCUCCGGUUGAUUCGGAGCAUCCUCCAUGCAUUCCAGUAGUUGAAGGGGCCGUUAGUUAGGCUCCUUGCUUGGAAGAUGACUUGGGCCUUUUGUUGGAGCAUGUCGUCGGAAUGACCGGAAGGCCACUUCGCGCAAACCUCCACCCAAACAUUCUCCCACAACUUCACAUCCUGGGCCACUCGGGAGAAGUGUCCCUUUAUUUGGCGGGGCUUCAAGUCGAGGCCGAGGAGGGCGUUCACCCGCUCUAGAAUCCGGCCCCAGUAGGCCUCGCCUUUUUUAUCGACACCCCAGAUGGCGUCGUUCGUCUCCUCCGCCCAAACACGGACAAUAAGGUCCGUCUCCUCGAGGGUGUAUGUAUGUCGAAUGGCUCUUCCCUCCUCCGGCUCUCUCACCGGCGCCUUCUCCUUGAAGGCCAUAGCCUUUCGCGGCCCUCCUUUCUUGGGCUUCGACGCACUGUGGGCGGCCGGUGGCUCCUCGUCGCCGCUUGGACGAGGUUUCUCCUCCAAGUUGAUACCCGCCAAAUUGGGAUGAUAAUCAUCUCCGCCGGAGAGGUCGGGAACCCAAUUUGAGUCGUACCAAUUGGUGUUGUAUGGAUCCAUUUUUUUUAGAGAGAAAUUGAGAGAAGAUAGAAAAGUAUGGAAGAGAGGUGAAGAAGAAGAAGAUAGGAAAAUUUAUAGAAGAGAAAAAAAAAAAAUUAAAACUCAAACGAUCAAAUGACCGAGAAUCAAACAAAAAAAAGCAAUAGUCAAAUGGCAAAUUUCCUUUUAAUUCGAAUUUGUUUUUUUGUUUUUUAAAAAAUAAAAAUAAAAAUUGGCGUGUGUUUAUCGAGGCUGCCCUGUUCUAUCGGGACCCCAUCGAGUCGCCGUCGCCUGCAGUGGGCGACCCGAUAGGCGGGGUGACUCGAGACCCCCCUAUCGGGUCACCACUGCGGAUGCUUUAAUAGAUGAUAGCAUUACAACACAUUUUCAUAAUCUAGUUAUGAAAUUUCCUUCCAAAGCCACUUUAGAUGUAGAAGAAAUUUGCAUCAAAUUCACCAAACCUGUACGAGAAAAGAGUGAAGAAAAUUCGUUCAACAAAACGGUAUUGUCAUAGGCAACAAAAAUAAACUCAUAGCAAAUCAAAAUGAUGUCUCUCCAUUACCUACUCUUACUCCUGAAUAUACCCUUCUUUAGAAACACUUACGCUAACAAAUGAAAAUCUUUGCUAAUUCAAACGAAAAUUGAAGAGUAAUAAUCAAACCAAAGGAACAAAGGUAUGUCUCAUAGGUCAUGUUAAAGAUCCAUUACUGGAAUAACCGUAAAAUGAGAUUUCCCUAGCUACAGAAUUGGAGAAAUGCUUAUUAUCAACACAACCUAGUAAACACAUAAAGAAGUGUGUGUAUGUUGAUUAAUGUCCAAUGUCUGAGAUCCUAGGUUCAAGUCCACCGUGGCGGUCAUUAAUUUUCUUUAUUUAAUUUAUCUCAAAAAAAAAGUUAUCAGAAAUACUAUCCCUGAUUCUACAAGAAACUGGUGACCUGUUUACCCGUAGAUCGUCAGCUGUAUCGUUGUUUCUUAUCAAAUUUACGAACAUUCAAGGAGGAGUGCUGCGUUCUUGAUUGAAAAAAAUGAAACACGUUGGAAACCCUAGGUAUUGUGUGGAAAGGAUAUAAUUGUCUUUUUAAAAAUUGUUGAAGGUCUAAAUUGUAAUAAUAGUUAUUAAUUUAGGAUUUAAACCUGCUAUCAAACGCAACAUGUGUGCUAUCUGAGUUUUUAUCUUGUCUAUCAAACGUAAUAAACCUUAUUUUAGUAUACUACAUCAGUCCACGAAAAGUAUGGUAAUUUUGUCAUUUUCAAUGUCCACUUUGUAUUUUAAGCUAUGGUUUCACUUUUUACUCUUAAAAGUUGUCAACAAAACCAGGAGGGGCCCACUGUUUAAUUACUUGGAGCCAAAGCUUGACAUAUUUUUCGGAGUUGGCCACCGAUAGAGUUGAGUCCGCUGGAGACGAGAACAUCGUUCCAACUAACUUGCCGACUACCCACACCAGCUUCAAUUUCGACAGAUUAUAAAGAUCAUAUUUUUUGUACCGAGAUUAAAAUAAUCAUAAUGUAAACCAAGAAAAGAUACUGAUGCACGAAUCAGCAAACCUUAGCAGUGACCACACUUCAAGAAAAUCUUCAUUAAGAAACAUGGUUCUACUGCAAAUUACUAUUACAUCCUCGGAUGAUUCUGGGGAAAGAAAAAAACACAACAGAACAAUCAUCAUAAUAGAUUGUAUUAUCACUAACUACUAACUACAUAAGAUGAAUAAAUAGACACAAAAGAUUGAAACAUAUUCACCAGUGAGUGGGAAGAGGAAGGAAAACAAAGCAUCAUGUGGCAUGAGAGCCGUGUGUUCGUGAUGCCCAUAUCCCAAACACAAGAAACCAGAAUACAAACAAGAUUGCCCAGUAACGAGCAGGCCCGUACUUGAUUCUUGUUAGAACGAACUGUAAACACAUGGAGAACAUUCAUCAGCUCAAAUAUCCAAUGAAAAUAACUUUCCUCAAAAGAGUAGUAUCGAGCAAUCAUUCAAAUGAAAGCACCUAACUUGACAACUACACCAAAUCCUCAAAUCAAGCACCGGAAAGGAUCCGAGAGUUUUAUGGAUCCCAUUUAAAAACAUCCCUCCUUAAUAGCCCCAUAGGCCAUAAUGCAACUUCAGAAACUAUCUAGUGUAAUGCAGGUUAGGUUUCCUGACCAUUAAUUUUCUCCCUAUUGACACCGACUGGAACUUACAUAUCCUACCCAACAUUUUGGAAGAGUAAGCCACAUAUCCUAUCAUUAUAUUAUAAUUAGGCAAGAUGCCAAAAAAGAUUUUUUUAAAAAAUACCAACCCUAUAACUGAGACAGUUUUUAAUAAGUGUAAUCAGAUUUGCUUUAAUACCUAAUUUAUAUAACUUUCUUAUUUUUUUCAAAAAUGAUAUCCUAGUCCUACACAAGGAAAAAUGAAAAAAAUGUAGAAAGAAAUGCUUUUCGCCUGGAUUUUGGCUGGACUCAUCCAUCAAUUUAGUACAGAAAGAACCAAAAGUUCCAUUUUUGAAUGGUUUUUGCCUCAAACGAGUAUUUUGUACCCCUCCACUAAUGGCCAAGAAAACAUAAUAUCCACGGAAAAUAUAUGAUUUUCAAGAAAAAUAAGAAAAACAACCCAUGAAUCCAAGAAUGUACACUUUGGUUAUGUAAGAGAGAAUAGCAAGAGUCACAAGCUACAUCAAUUAGGAUUUCUGGUUUACAAAACUUGUACAGCCAAAAAUAUCUCUUGAAGAAAUUCAUAGCAAGAAUUGUAGUGGAGACCGAAAUUCCAUGAUAAAGUUUCAAAAUGCACAGACAACAGCUUGCUUUCUAGCAACAGAAAGUAUGGAAGUUAUUUUGGAUUUGGAUGAGGUUUCCAUGUUAGCUAAAAAGGGAUCGAAGUUGUCCUUUUUUAUUUUUAUUUUUAUUUUUCAUAUUUGAUGGUUGACGUAAAGCAUGCAUGUGCCAUAAAAGUGGCUGUGGAUCAUUUGCCCACAACACUUGAAAGGUGGGGUGUUAAAAUGUCAAAUCUAAAUGGAUGGCUUAUUUUGUUAAAAUGUUGAAGUUUAGGAAUUUUUUGGCACUUACCUUUAAAACAUCCAAUGUUUGGAGAACAAAUGUUUUAUUUACACAUCACAAUGCAAUGUAUCCUAUGAAAACUCCUAGCUCUAAUCGUGAUGAAGGCAGCUGCAUUCAUUUCCUACACGUUAGGCACUAAUGAUCAUAACUAAUUCUAACUAAUCUACUUAUAUUAUAAAGGUGUGUUCUUACCAAUUUUGAUAUACCUACAAUAUCCUUAUUUAUUUUAAAUUCUCACGAUAAUAUAGUAAUUUAAUAUAUAUUUUCUAAAAUCCCUUAAAAUUAUGAUAAAGUUUAUCUAUUUCUGAGAGAGAUAUCAACUAAAAAGCAACUGAACUUACGAAUCGGAAGAAAACUACAACAGUCAAUGCACAGACACCUCCAAGAAGAAUAUGCAAGCCAUUUUUGGCAGUUUUCUGCAGUUGAAGGAACAAGUUUCGAUUAAGUUUAUGCAAGAAAAUAACUGGCAAAUACAAAACGAAAAGAACUAAUAAGUGAAUUUAAAAAAAAAAAAAGCAUCAUCCAAUGCUCAAUCCAACAAGUGGCAAGACCAAUAGCUCGCUCCCAAGCUUAAUUAUGUCAUAGGAAUUAAGAAAUUGUAAUAUACAUGAGAUAAAGUACAAGCUCAUCUUGUCAACGAGCAUUACCUAGUACUAGUACUCCUUUUAUAUCCUUCGGUGUAACAAUACUUUUUAGCCAUUAAUUAUGGUUUUGGGCUCAGUCAGUCAUUUCCCAUUCUUCAUUUCAGAAUUCAGGGUAGCACAUACAAGAUGGAUCAUGGAUGUACAGAGCAAGAGAUUUGGAAUGGAGUCAGUGAUGAAUGACCCACACACUUAAGAAGAUAAAUUAAAUGAGCAGGUACAUAUUGAACUCCAAGCAUUCAUCCGAUAAGGGAAACUAGAUUAAAUAGCACUUUCCCCACAUGACUAAUAACUCAAAGCAUGAAAUAUUAAACCAUGUCUGUGCUUCAGAGCUGAAGACUAAUUAGUUACUGUUAGAUACUUAGAUUCAUUUCCCAUUAUAUCUACUUAUUAUAUUUCUCUGAUAUCUUUUAUGUCCCGUAUUGAUUAAGUUAAUUAGGUUAGACUAAAACUAAAAGGAUGAACCUGACUUUUGUUUCAGGAGCCCAAGUUCCUUUUGUUAUUUAAGUAGAGUUGAGCCAUUCAGGAUGAACAAAAAAAAUUAUCUUAGUUGAGUCGGCAGAUUUUCCGCCUGAGCAAACCUUUCUGAUCAGCAUUUCGCGCUCGAGUAUUUCAAGAUGAAAGAAAAUUUAAACCAAAAAUGGAAGAGAAGAAAAACAACUUACAGGAGAACCUUCUAAUAAAACAAGAACUUGCAGGCAAAGCUACCCAAGUGCCAGGCGCCGAUCAGCCCAAGCAGAAAAUCUGCCAAACCAUUAAGAGAAUUUUUUUCGUUCAUCCUAAAUGACUCAUCUCUGCUACUUAAAAAACAAAAGGAACUAGAGCUCUAGACACAAAUGCUUAGUUCAACUGUUCUAACAUAUAUAGACAUCAUUUUCCAAUGAAAAAAGGCACAAUAACUUCCCAUGCUAAACAAUUUGACAAUGAAGUGCUCCAACCAUCAUCAGGUUGGGAGUUAGAGUCACCACGGAGGGGAAAUGGGGAACCAUUAUUGAUAGUGCAGUGCCGAGUGGUGGGAUAAAAGUUUAUACUCGACGCAAGUCCAGGGCUCCUGCAGUCUAACUGGAAGAGUAGAAUUAUAAUCAUCUUUUUAUUUAUUGUUUAUUAUGUUUUCUUGUUGGUUAAGUUUUGCGGGCCUUUGUCUUCUACAUGGGCCUUAGUAGGAAUUAGUAUUUAUUAGCCUUUUCCUGCAGAAUUAGGGCAUACAUUAUAUUUUGAGAUUUAGCGGCUUUACGCUGUGGCAGAACUUCUCGUUCUGUGGACUUCGUUAAGGAGUAUCUUUCAAUUGUGUUCCUGUUGAUUCGCUCUCUUCACUCUACUAAUUUGGUCCGACCUGCCGGAUUCCACCAUGUCCACAUAGAAGGAACGUCUCGAAGAGGUAGAGAAGACAGCGAAAGAUUUGCAGUCCACUUUUGGCUCGCUUGCGGACAAAGUCGAUGGGUUGGAGAGUUUUCUGGGGACUGUUGAGACUACUCUCGCUACUCACUCCAAACAAUUCGCAGAAAUCCUUGCCAAACUCGACGACAUGGGAGGCCGUAGAGAAGGCUUUCUCGAGGUAAAGAAAGGUUCGACAGAUUUGACGGGGGAGACAUACCGCGCAUGGACCUUCCUCCAUUCGAUGGAACCGACCCCAUCGCAUGGCUUGCGCAGGCCGAGCAGUACUUCUUGGUUCACCGCACUGCUAUGGCCAAUCGCGUGCAGCUAGCACUUAUCGCCAUGUCCGGCAAGUGGGUUCUCCGACGUGGCUUGCGCAGGCCGAGCAGUACUUCUGGGCACAGUGGGUUCUCCGACUCCGACGUGCCGCCUCCAUUCUUUGGGAUCAGUUCACAAAGGGGCUCAUAGAACGUUUUGGAGAUAGUUCCGCUAUCAAUGCCUACGAAGCCCUGCAUCUUACUCGACAAACAGGAUCCCUGGAGGAAUAUUUGCGGUUGUUCGAGGAACGAGUAGCCCACUUGCCGGCUCUGCCCCCAGAGCAAUACUUGGGGAUGUUCCUAGGAGGGUUACAAACUUCCAUCCGAGAUCGGCGUUCCCGACUCGGAGAUGAUAGAUGUUUUUGCUGCCAUCCGUGAUGCGGCGUUCCAGCAAAUCGUCUGCUCCCCCGCCACGAUCAAAUUUUCCACUGGGAAAUUCUUCCAGACCCACUUCGACCUUUCUGAGGUCGUUCCCAAAUAGCAGGCAGCCCGCGGUUCCACCUCCAGGCCAACUUCCACACUCGACAACAAGACCCACUAGCUCGCCCGUAUUUCGGAAUUCUCGACGUCUAUCGCCAGCACAACAAGAGGAGUACCGUGCUAAAGGCAAGUGUUAUCGUUGUGCCCGCUCCAUAAGUGUCCUACCAAAUCCUUAGAAGUCCUUCUGGAGGCUGAAGAGGAUGAACCGGUGGUCGAAGGGGAUGACAGGGAACAAGAACUAAAAGAGGAAACUAUCGGGGCGGAGACCAUCACGGGGUUGCAACACUUACCAAAAUGUCUUCCAACGGGUGUGAUGGUGCACAGACUCUUAAGUUGUUUAGCCAAAUCGAAGGACGUCACCUCCUAACGAUGGUCGACAGUGGGGCGAGUCACUGCUUUAUCGCCAAUCAGGCUGCUCGUGCCCUGCCGAGUUUGCAGUGGUCUUGGGAGAUGGUACCAGGGUGACCUCCCAAGGUGUAUGUAAGGCAAUACCCUUCACCAUCGCUAAUCAUUUGUUUCAUAUCACUUGCUAUGUUUUUCCAUUGCGCAGUGUCGAUAUUAUUUUGGGUGUAUCAUGGCUUGCUCAACUAGGCGAUGUUACUGCCAACUGGGCAAAUUUGUCGAUGGAGUUUGUGGUAAACGGGCAACAAACGUGGGAACCCCUCGCUGACAAGGCGGGCGUGUGGGCGGUCAGAACUGUGCUCCCUCGAGCUUGGCGACGACGCAUGGCUACUCUGGGCCAUGGAGGGUGAAGGUGUUAUGUCCUUUCUGACCUCACCAUCCUAACCGCAGCCCAACAAGAUGACUUGGGAAAUUUGAUUUCAGGGUUUCCAACUAUGACGCAGACUCCGACGGGAUUACCACCAUCACGGCAGAGUGAUGUGUUGCAGGAGGGUGUUUUCCCCGUUUCUGGUCGUCCUUACCGUUACAAUCACUCUCAAAAGGACAAGAUGGAAAAGCUAGUAGCCGAGAUGUUAGCCGCCGGCAGUAUUGCCAAGUUGCAGGCCCUACUCGAGCCCACUUCUGCUUGUACGCAAGAAGGACGAGUCUUGGCAUUUUUGCGUAGAAUAUCACGCUUUGAAUAAGGUCACAGUGCCUGACAAAUACCCUAUCCCGGUCAUUCAGGAAUUGCUUGAUGAGCUUCACAGCGCCAGAUGGUUCAGUAAGCUUGACCUGCGCGCCGGCUACCACCAGAUCAGAAUUGCACCUGAAGACGUUUCUAAAACUGCAUUUCGGACUCAUUCAGGCCACUAUGAAUUCCUCGUCAUGCCAUUUGGACUUACUAAUGCUCCGGCUACAUUCCAGUGCCUCAUGAAUGACAUUCCGACCCUUUCUCCAGAAGUUUGUGCUCGUAUUUUUUGAUGACAUCCUGAUCUAUAGCACCUCAUGGUCGGACCAUUUGCGACAUUUGCAACAGGUACUCACUAUUCUUAGCAAUCACUCCUUAGUACUUAACCCGAAGAAGUGUGUGAUUGGGCACUUGCAAGUCGAGUAUUUGGGUCAUAUUGUUGCCAACAAGGGUGUGCAAAUAGAUCCUUCUUAAGUGGGAGCGGUUUUGAAGUGGCCAACACCCACAUCUCUCCGAGGGUUACGUGGUUUUCUCGGCCUCACGGGUUACUAUCGUCGCUUUAUUUGCGAUUAUGGCAAACUCGCGGCCCCGCUGACAGCAUUGUUAAAGAAGGAUGGUCAGAAGCCGUGGCAAUGGCCUUCUGAGGCCGAGGCUGCCUUUCAAACUCUCAAACAAGCAAUGACUACUGCUCCUGUUCUGCGCAUGCCGGAUUUUUCUCGACCCUUUGAGAUCGAGUGUGAUGCAUCAGGGCGAGGGAUCGGAGCCGUAUUGAUGCAAGAACGACAACUCAUUGCAUAUUUUAGCAAGAGUUUAUCUGGCAGAUUACCAUCCAAGUCGGCAUAUGAAAAGGAACUCAUGGCGCUAGUCCUUGCAGUGCAACAUUGGUGGCCUUACUUAUUGGGGCGGAGAUUUGUGGUUCGUACGGAUCAGAGGAGCCUUAGACAAUUGUUAUCGCAAACUCUCACAACCCCAGCACAUUAGAACUGGGCAGCCAAGCCGUUGGGAUUCGAUUUUGAAAUAACCUAUAAGGAAGGGUGACUGAAUAAAGCAGCAGAUGCCUUUUCUCAACGUGAUGAGGAAUUGGAGCUAGCGGCGGUCACAGCACCGCAUUGGCAGGAUUGGAGCUCACUUCAAGACACCGUGAAGGCAGAUCCACGGCUGUCUCGGAUCAUCGAGGCACUUGAAGCAGGCCAGGAGGCGCCAAGACAUUACAGUUACUCGCAGGGUACGUUGUUUUAUAAAGGCCGAGUUGUGUUGCCCGCUGACUCGCAAUGGAUUUCAAAACUCUUUGCUGAAUUCCACGCAACCCAUUCGGGUGGACAUUCGGGAGCUUUCAGAAUUUAUCGCAGGUUGGCUGCAAAUCUUUAUUGGACUGGAAUGAUGAAGUUGAUCACUUCAUUGGUGGCAGCUUGUGAUGUUUGCCAACAAAAUAAGUAUGAGACCAAGAGCCCUGCGCGUCUCCUAAUUCUACUUCCUAUUCCAGAUCAAGUGUGGGAGGAUAUUAGCAUGGAUUUCAUUACAAGACUCCCGCGUUCUGGUGGAUAUGACUGCAUUCUUGUCGUAGUGGAUCGUCUUUCCAAAUAUUGUCAUUUUAUGGGGUUGCGUCACCCAUUUACAGCAAGGACUGUGGCAGAACUCUUUGCUCAAGAGGUGGUGCAAUUGCAUGGAAUGUCGGGAUCUAUUGUGUCUGACCGCGAUCCUAUAUUCUUAUUUCUUAAGUUCAUUUUGGAGAGAGCUGUUGGUACUACUUUGCGCAUGAGCUCGGCCUACCACCCAGAGACCGAUGGGCGGACAAAGGUUAUGAAUCGUUGUUUGGAAACUUAUUUGCGUUGUUUUGCGUCGGAGAGGCCGAAAAGCUGGGGAAAAUGGUUGGCCUGGGCCGAGUUUUGCUUUAAUACUGGAUUUCAAUCAAGUGCCGGAAUGACACCAUUUGAAGCUGUCUAUGGCAGACCGCCGGCAGCCCUCAUUCUCUUUUUACCUGGGGAAGUUCGCGUGCAGGCCUUAGCAGAUUCUCUUCGAGAGCGGGAUGACAUAUUGGUUCAUUUGCGGGUUCAUUUAGAGCGAGCACAACAAUGCAUGCUUCACGAGGCUAACAAGCAUCGUCGUCCUUAGAGUUUCAAGUGGGGGACAAGGUCUACCUCAAAUUCCGUCCUUAUAGGCAGCGGAGUUUGUUUUCAGCCGCACAUGCUAAGUUGGCGCCGCAUCUCUUUGGGCCAUUUGAAGUGGAUGCACGGAUUGGGGCAGUGGCAUACCGAUUGAAACUUCCUGUUGGGUCCAAGGGGCACCCGGUCUUCCAUGUUUCCUUGCUAAAACUUGUUUUCGGUCAGGUCAGGUGGUUGCCUCCCCGACCCUACCAGAAGAGCUUCUGGCAGUGGAUCCUCCAUAUCUUCCAGGUGCUAUGUUACAGCGCCGUUUCUUACACCGUGACGGGGCUGAGGUGGAGCAGGUCUUGGUUCAGUGGCAAGGGUUAGCUUCAGAAGAGAGUUCGUGGGUAGAUGUUGCAGAUAUGAAAGGGCAGCUUCCGGAUUUUAGCCUUGAGGACAAGGCUGUUUCGCCAACGAGGGCAAUUGAUAGUGCAGUGCCGAGUGGUGGGAUAAAAGUUUAUACUCGACGCAAGUCCACGGCACCUGCAGUCUAGCUGGAAGAAUUGAAUUAUAAUUAUCUUUUUAUUUAUUGUUUAUUAUGUUUUCUUGUUGGUUAAGUUUUGCGGGCCUUUGUCUUCUACAUGGGCCUUAGUAGGAAUUAGUAUUUAUUAGCCUUUUCCUGCAGAAUUAGGGCAUACAUUAGAUUUUGUGAUUUAGCGGCUUUACGCUGUGGAGAACUCGUUCUGUGGACUUCGUUAAGGAGUAUUCAUCUUUCAAUUGUGUUCCUGUUGAUUCACUCUCUUCACUCUACUAAUUAUUGAUCCUCUUAAAUAUAAAAAAUAUAAAAAAAUCAGCUCCACGUGAUAAUUAAACAAGUUUCAUGCUCAAAUCAGAACUACUAGACAAGUUUCAUUUAGUGCUUUGGGGGUUAUAUUAUGCGCACCAGGAUUAAUCCUGGAUGAUAGAGUUAAGGUGAUUCUCACACAAAGAACAAAAGAAACUGAAUUAAAUUUACGAAUAACUGAAUAAAACUCUCCUCAAACUGAGUACCAACAGAAAAACCGUUGUUCCUAUUUUCUGCUCCCAAAAAAACCUCCUUUACCUUAAUCCGCUAAAACCUAUUUAUAAAAGAUAACAUAGACUCCUACUGACUCCUGCUCGAACUCAAAAACUGACUCCUAAACCAACAAUAAAUAGAAGCAAUAAGAUAACAAACUCAAUAAAAUAAACUAAAAAUACUCUACGCGCUGAAUACUUCUGCUCUCUUUAAUAAUCAACCACAGCUCCCUCCCCUCGCACUUAAGUCUUACAAGUUGCUGGAACACUAAGUGUCUAAAACUCACCUAUGCCUUGUGCUUGUGAUAGUAGCCACCCAUUCGAACCCAAGCUUCACAAACAGUUAGCUUUAAAGCUAGAUGUGCCGUGAAAGGGAAUAUUGUGAGGCCCCAAAAUAGUUCCUGUGCUUUACAGGAAAAGCUCUAUUGAACAAUUUGUGAAUGCAAUUCACAUGCUGGCUAUCUAUUCUGGUACAUGUUUUUGGAUUGAAAUGUACAUCUAACAGUCUUACAAGUUCAAAACUCGAGGUGUAAUAAAUUAACUCAAUGCAUGGUGGAAUAUAAGGACUUGUUCUUAGCCUGUGGAACAGUCUAACCUAGACUGGCUGGGCACAGUAAGCUCACAGUUGUUAUUGAGGUUCCAAGCCAUAACGUCUAUAGAAUUUCAAGGAUGCGUAAAGUCCAAUAAAAUGGCACUAUUAAUUUCCAUUCUUUGAAUUUCUCAAGAAAAUCUCCAGGUUCUAACUCUGGGUGUUGCUGCAGCAAUCCAGCGGAGGCCAACUUCCAAUCAUUGGGUUAGUGUAAAAUAAAAAGGGUUAUUCUAAAAUUAUAGCCCGAACUUUGAUCCCCUCGUAACUUUUUAGCCCGAAAUCAAAAACAUUACAAAUAUAGCAUGUAAUUAUCUACGGUGUUCACUUAAUGGCCCACAUCAAAUUUUUCUGCAAACUAAAGCAGUGUGGAUUUGUGGCCUGAUUUGUGCCUUGAAUUUUCAAACUUUCACAAUUUCUUACUUGAAUUUUUGACAAACUUUGUUCCAUGUCAGCUUUAGUUGGCCAGAAAAUUUGACGUGGACUAUUAAGUGAGCAAAGUAGAUAGUACAUGCUAAAGUCGGGGGGGGGGGCUUCAAAGUUCAUGCUAUAAUUUAAGAAUAACUCAUAUAUAAAACGCUCUACUUUUAUGUUAUCAUCUUAAACCACAACAGUCAUUCUUGUCAUCAAUUGCAGAGUCCAUAUCAAGCAAAAGGAGGAUUGUCAUCAUGUGAAAAAAUGCCAUUUUUAUGAGAUUUAGCCUUCUCACAUGUUAGUACACUUAGGGUGCGUUCUCUUUGGUUGUAAAUUUAUCAUGGGAAAAGAAGGGAUAAACAAAACUUCACCCUUUAAAUCCUUCCUUUCUUUUUCCCUCAUUUCCUACAAAAUAGAAUUUGACCCUACUCAUUCGUCCUUUUCACUACAAAUGAGGGAUAAUAUUAUCCCUCCAUUUAUAAGGGUCAAAUUCUAUUUUGUAGGAAAUGAGGGAAAAGAAAGGAAGAAUUUAAAGGGUGAAAUUUUAUUUAUCCCUCCUUUUUCCAUGAUAAAUUGACAACCAAAGUGAAUGCACCCUUAAGGUUCCUCAAGAACACAUCCUCAACUUGAAAUGACUAAUCAUUAGAACUACAAUGAUAAAGAUCAGUAUUUAGUUAUAGUUAAUUAAUUAUAUAUUGUUUCUUUAAUUUAUUUAGUUAUUUAGGCUUAAGUUAUUUAGGGCUAGAAUAAAGUAAUGGGCCAUGCUUUUGUACGGGCUUUAAGAUAUUUCUUGGGCCUCAAGUUUCUGUAGGUCUUUAAAUAGUUAUUAGUGAAUUAGGGUUAGGAUUAUCGUUGCAGUAUUAUUUUUGACAGCUUAUGCUGUAGGCCUCGCAAGAGGAGUUUAGGACAGCGUUCUCGCUUUAGGCCUCGCAAGAGGAGGGUUACUCUCUAUUUUCCUUGUUCAGUAUUUACUUCAAUUUAUUUCUCUUUCAGCUUUCCUGUUUUCUGUGUAUCUCAAACCCUUCACUCUAUCAUACAACUAACUUAUUAGUUAUCAAUUAGAAAUAAAUACAUGUCUUCAAUCAAACCAUUAUCCUCCAACAUCCCAAACUUAAUUUCACUAACUAAUAUAGCGGGAAAAAAGUGAAUAAUUUGCACCUAAUAAGGGCUGAACUGCUACUGGCUCAUUCCAGUAUGAUGGCUAGGGAAAAUGAAAACAAAAAAUAAGACUAUGACUACUGGGCUAUUCAAAUCUCUAUUUUCUAUUUUCUUACAGAAAUAGAGUAUCACGAGUCCAGAAGCAGAUAAGUUCAAUACAUAAUCCUCAUCUUCUACCUACACAAAAAACAAAUGUUCCCUCUCUACAAAAAAAAAAAAAAGGAAAAAAAUCUAGGGAGUCAUAAGCUCCUUUCCAAUUCUUGUAAUUGUAAGAUUACACAAGUCACAUGCUUAAACUCAAGAUUUAUUGAAGAUUAUCUAAACUAUAAUGCUACUAUAAGUAGAAUAAAAAUGCAUACCAGGGCAAACAAAAUGCAUUUAAACAAGAAGUUCAAAAAAAAGAGUGCAUGCAGCCAGGAAAUUGUCAAGCCCAAUACCUUUCCCACAUGCGGGGCGAGAAGCCAAGCAAGAGUAACAGUCAGCAGACCUGUAGCAAGCAGGAUCCCGGUACCCUCCACAGCCCAUUUAGUAGCAGUAUUUUCAACAGGGGCAACCUCUUCCAAGACAGUAUUAGAAGCUGAAGGUUGCUCGCUGACCACCUGGGAAACAGUGAUAGAGUUGUUGUUAUGUGGAUUAAACCACAAUGAAAUUUCGCUUAACCUCUGCCUUCGAAUUGCAGCAACAGCAUCAGGAUCCACACCAUAAUUUGUUUGUGGUGCUGCAGGAUUAGGUUCUCCAUUAACAGUUCUUUCUCUCAAUGCUUCAUACUCUUUUAAAGAACCUAAUAUCCUUUUGUAAUCUUCAGGUCUUAUAUUCUUCGUAAUAGAUCCACAUAUUUCGCAGACAGUUGAUCCAUGGCUGAUAAACCACUUAAGGGCACAAGCGUAAUGUGCUAAUGCAAGAUCAUUUUUGCAAGCACAGCCAAGCUCGAACAGCCUGUCCUGGCUGUCCUCAAGACCUAGCUCUACAUCAGCUGUACAGAGAAAAACCUCCCCAUUUGGGCUAACAAACUCAACCAACUCAGAUCUUUUAUAAAGUGAAUUAUUUUCAAUAUUCCCUGAGGUGACUUUCAAAUUAGACUUAACCUCCUCUUUACCAUUUGUAAGAUCACAUACUGGUGGAGAUAUACCCAAGAAUCCCAGGGCAAUAUUUCCCCUUCUAUCAGGUUCGGAACACUGACAAACUCGACAAGUUUCCGAGACAGCUUCCUUGUCUACAUUAAGACAUGUUCUGUCAGUUCUUGGUUCUUCAUCCUCAGUAGAAGAGAGAAUGUUCUCACCGACUACACCCGUUUGAUUGGGCCUUUCUUUCUCCAUAUAUUCGCGCAAAGCUACACCUAUAGAACAUAUACUAUGUGCUUUUGAUGGUAGUGCUAUCUUUCAACCAAAAAUAUCCAUCAGGUGAACUCCGCCGUUAGACAUAUCUUUGAAGUGGUGAGCAAGAGUCUAGCAGAACAAAGUUCGAAAGGAAUCUCCCAUAAAAGAAACCAAGCAUACUUCUCUAGCUUGAUAUUGGACACUGAUACCAUGCAGCCAAGAAUCACUUCCUAAAAGAAAGAAAAAAAAAAGUCCUGAUAUAGGAAACGAGCAUAGAGGAGGAAGAAGAUCUCCAAUACUGCAAAGAUGGAAAAGGAGUUACGGAAAAUAUAAGACAGCUUAAGAACGAGAAGAAAUCAGUUCUUAGCUUAUUGGACUCAUCCAUAUGCAAUAUCAAUAUGUAAAUAAUAAAUCCUAGAAUUUAAAAAGAGCACGAAAUUAUUCAUGCCAGCUAAACCCCCUUAAAAAGAGGACAAAAUCGGAUUCACAGGAUAGAAACAAUACCUAAAAAUAAUUGUCACAAGUAACAGGCAUGAUUGAGCUCUUGAAAACAAAUCAAAUGUUUCCUAAACAUGUAUAGUGAAACUGAAGUACAAUACGUUUAUGAAGACUUACUUUAAUUCCACACCAGAAAAAAUAAAUAAAUAAAAGAUGAAAAACAAAAUUGUUGGAGCAAUAUGCAAAUAAACUUGUGCGUCAUUUCAGUUUCCCAAUCCAUCAUUACUAGUGUAACAAUUACAUAUAAAGAAGAAAUUGUUUAUAUAAUUAAUCGGCAAUUAUGUAUAUGGGAGCAAAAUCUCAACACUAAUGGGAAAAGGGAGAUGCCCACUAGAAUUUCUGGGUGAGAUGAACUUUAUUAGUAGAUACAGCUUUAACAAUCGAUACAGCGAUGACAAUAGCAUAAUUACAGCGGGAAAAGGCCUAAAAAAUAAAUGCAAAAAAGAUGCAGCAGUGAACAUAAAUCUGAAUCUAGUGCAGUAAUCAAAAAGCACCAGGAACACAAUACUCAUAUCAGUUGAAGUAAUAAACUAGUUUUGAAGAAAUGAGAGGACGAUGAUUCUCAUCAAACCAAAGCUAAAAUACCAAAUAUUUGAAGAGAAGAGGAAGAAACAAACCUCCACUAAUUAGGAAUGCAAAUCGUGUGAAAAUAAUUUGGUAGGUGGCCAAGAAAUCUCUCUCUGUCUCUCUCUCUCGUGUUCCAGCGAGUACUGAUGGGACUGUGUAUUUAGUAGUUGUGCACUUUACUUGUGGCUCUUGCAUCCACACCCUUCAGCAUUUGCGUGCUUAUGUUAUAGGCCCCAUAUAUUUUGGCUUUUGACUUUUUAACUAUUGAAUUAAAAUUUUAUUGGAAGAAAAAGGAAAAAAAAAAAGACCCUAAUUAAGGUCGAGCUUAUUAAAAAAUUUGGCAAAAAUUCACUCAAAAAAAUACUACUAACAAAGAAAAAAAAAGUAUCCAUCUAUUACACGACGGAUAACUCGAGUUACUACUAAAAUAGUCAACUCGACAAAAUCACAAAUAAUACAAAAGAGCUAGACCGGUCCAAAACCAGAACCUAGGUCACUAACACUCUAAGAAAAACCACCAAUAUGCAAGGCAAAAAAGAUAACCACAAAGUGCAAUCAAACCAUGCACAAAACAAGGCAUAUCAUUGACUACCUUGGGGUCCUCGACUGAAGAAAAUAAUCGAUAAACCACACAAGCCAAGCGUACACCUCCCCCACAAAAAAUAUGACAUAAUGAUACCGGAAGAAAGAGAAAAAGGAACGUUUAACUCCCAUAGCCCGGAAAGAAUCUCAGGAGCUAAGUACACCCAUUCCACGGAUACAAGGACGAGGAAUAAGAGAAACAUAAAAAACCCCUUGCACGCCACUGAUGUUAGGCCAAUAAACCACAUCAACCACCCAUGCAACCUAAAGUUGAAGCACGAAUCAAGAGCAAGAGCAAGAGCAAUGCAAAUGAUAGAUAUGAAAAUGCUUCUCGAACACCUCCAAAACAUGCUAUCCUAACUUCAGAUUUUGUUUCAAUGAAUAUACUUAGUUUCUUUUGCAUGGUUUGUCUCAUGUGUGAUGUUUUACCCUUAAUUUUCUAGAUGUAGUUAUUUUUGGGCUAGAUCUAUGUAUGAUUUUUUUUUCAUUUGAUUUUCUUUUGUUCAUGUCUGUUCUAUUGGGCAUUGUCGCUUUUGGGCAUUGUCCUGAUACUGGUUGAUUUUUAUUUACAGGUUGGGGGUUCGCCUAACCCCUUGCCCUUUGGGUGUUUGUUUUUUUUUUUUUUUAAUUCUAAUUAUGAUGUGUUCUCUUUAAUUGAUAAAUUUAUGAUGGAAAAAUGGAGGAUAACAAAAAAUUCUCCCUUUAUAUGCCUUAUUUAUUUUCUCUCAUUUUCUGCAAAAGAUAAUUUCACAAAUUCUCAUUUAUUCUUUUCACUCCAUGAAGAAAUAAUUUUAUCCUCAUUUGUGUGUGAUAAUAUUAUCACUGCUUAAAGUGAAAAAUGAUGAAAUUCUAUUUUAUAAAAAUAAGAAAAAAAGAGAUUUAAAAGGAGAAUUUUUUGUUAUCUGUUUCGUCGUGUUUGUGCCAUUGUCUAUUGUUAGUUUAGUCAUAUUUUAUUGUAAAAGUUGUGUAGAGUAGUGGUGAUUUUGUGUUAAUUUGAGCUUAAUGGUUAAUUGUGAUGCUUUAGGUGUUAAAUGAAGAAUGUCGAUGUUAAAGCAUUUGAAGAUUGUGAAGAAAGCUCACAACGACGCAAAAGAGAGUGUUUAAGCCUUGCUAACCAUGGCUCACAAUGAAUCAGGGGUGAUUAGAAGAAGAUUGGGAAGAGAAGGCAGUGAGCCGCGGCGCACUAGUCAACCGGGUUGACUGCUUGAAGGAAAAUGGGCAGAAUGUGAAUUGAGCCGCGGCGCACUAGUCAACCGGGCUGACCCUGACAGUUUUCUGACGGGAUUUCUCAUAAGAAGGGCUGUUUUUAGAGAUUCAAAUAGAUCUUUUUCACUUAGAACUUCUAUCCUCUUCCCUUUUUGAAGCAAGAACAAUAGGAGAACUUUAGAUUAUCAUUUUAUUUCACUUUCUUACGCAUUGGAACGGAUUUGCACUUUGAAUUCCGCAAUUAUUUCUUUAUCUUUCUUCUUUGUUUUAAUUCCAUGGUUUACUUUUUCUCCUACGUUGAAUCCUACAUCAUGAUGAGCUAAUUUCCAUAAUCUAGGGUUGGAGAUUCAAUCGGGUUUAAUUGAUUUGCUUGUGAUGUAUUGAUGCACUUUAUCCGAUUCAAUUGUUUGAUAUUCGAUUUAACAAUUGAUCACUGCUUGAUUGUGUUUGCAACGUGUGAGAUCGAGAGAAUAACUCGUUGCUUGACCGUGGUUGAAUUGGAAUUAGACUUAAUCGGAAACGUGUAGUCUAAUAAUUGAUGAAUUCAUGUGAUUUAAUUAGCGUAGACUCAUACUUGAAUGUGAAAACUAUGGUUUGAGCACCUACGUUAGGAGAAUUUUGUGAGUUUAUUAAUUGUGCAUGAUCUUCACUUGUUUAUUGAUUUCCCAAGAAGAUGAUCCGUCGCCCUAGAAUCUUUAAUCCUUGAAUUUUAGUUUGUUUUAUUAUCUAGAAUUUUUUUCUCGUUGUUUUUGAUACACUACUUGAUCACUUGAAAAUUGGUUAGAAUGUUUAGGUGUUAUUGUUUUUACGUGUUUAACACAUAGAUAAUUAGCCCUGCUAAGUCUUUCUCGUGGAAUACGACUUGGGUUAACUUGUCACUCUACGAUUGACCUCGUUCUCUUGCGAGCAAUCUAGAGAGUAUACUUUAGGUUGAACAUUAUCCCUCCUCAUUUUCCAAUUAUAGAUUUAUAAACAUGUGUAUACAUAAACAUUUAUCGACGCGCUUACGUAAAUUUUUUUUAUUCUUGAAUAUUUUUCUUAUUAAUACUUCAUCCGUCCAAUAAGAAUGUGCAUGAUUGUUGGUGACAUGAGUUUUAAUAAAUGUUAGGUGAGUGUGCUGGUAGUGAAAGAAUGAGCCCACUUUUAUUAGUAGAAGAAUGAGUCCAAAAAAGGAAAGCACAUUCUCGUGGGACGUACAAAAAGCGAACAAUUUUAUGGGACAAAGAGAAUAUUAUUUAUUUUUAGUUCUAAAACAGUUCAAUCAUUAAUCAACACGUGCAAGGAAUUUUUUCUCCCUCCGUCCACGUCAUGGCUAGUCAAAGUUAUUAUUCAUAAUCGAAACUUUCGUCGUGUGCAAAUUGCAAUUAAAUUAAGAGUAUAAUUUUGAAGUAGCCAAAAUUAAACAUAAAACAUAAUUUAUGGCCACUCAUUGAAAAAACAUAAAAUUUGGCCAUUUUUAUUGAUUUUGGAUGUUUUUACCCUCAAUGAGGCGGACCGGGUAGGAUCAGGCACGCAGGUCGCGUGCCGGGUCGAGUUAGACACUUAUAGCACUAUUAGUGUCAUAAGUGCCAAAAUUUUACUUGAUUUUAUUUUGAAUUUUCGUUGGCACUUAUGGCACUACCAUAAGUGCCAAUCCGGCGAUGCUUUCUGUUUCUGAGGUCCGUUAGACGCCUCUCUGACGUCGGCGCCCUCCUCUUCCUUUGAGAGAAAGCUCCGGCGAUGGUGAGGUGCAAGAGCUCCGCCGUUGCCGGAAGACCGCGACCCUCGUUCCCCUCUCACAGACCAUCUCAUCUAUCUCUCUAUUCCCCAAUCCAACCCCAUACUCCUAAUUCAGCAAAACGACGUCGUUUUGUGACUAAUAAUUUCAAAGAAAUGUGAAGCAAAACGAUGUCGCUUUGAUUAUCAGAAUUCCAGGACACGUAGAUAAGUCCGACCGCCAAGUUAGCUUCAAUUUUCUGAAAAAUUACAUAGAGCGCAAAAAAUCAAUUCAAAGCUUAAUUGAGAUAUACUAUGACAGAAUUUCUGAAACUGAUGCAAAACGCGAAAAUUCAUAUAGUUAUAGGAUUUAGUGACAUUUAGCCCUUAUUAAUUUAUACUUAACGGAUUACUCAGAAUUUAAUGAACAGUCUCGAAUCGAAAAUCAAGGAUUGUGGUAGCAGAUGGAAUGCACAAGCAAAAUAAGGUUAGUCGAUGGACUGCAAUUUUGAAAUAAUUAGAGAUUAGAGAUAUAUGUCACGAGCUUUCCUAAAAAAUUUAGCAAUAAAACCAUUACAGAUCCUUAUUUAUUGCAACAUUCCAAAAUAUUAAUUGGGUAGUUUUGACCACACUCACCUCAAUUACAUGACCUAACAAUCUGAUUUUAUCUUAUUUUCCCUUUUAUAUAAUGUGGUGAGAAUUUUCCACAUACUUUUCCACGCAAUUCAACUCAUGUUAAUUUUAUUACUUUGACUUGUGUAGAGACUAGAGAGAGACAAUCAACCAUUUAUACUUUUCUUAAAAAAAAAAAAAAUUGAAACCAAGAAUCAGUAGGUUUUGCACUGAAUAUCUAUAUAAUUUUGAAAUUAUUGUAUGUAUUUUAUCUCGACUUUUAAAACUUAUCAAUUACUACAAACAUCACAAUUUUUUCAUUUUUAAAAAUCAUUUUCACAAUCGAAAAUCUACUCAACUUUAAUGAGGAUAUGGCGUAUCAAAAGAUAACCUAUUAUUUUGGUCCAGAAAGUAAAUUGCAUAAGAGGAAAUUAAUAUUUCUUUCGCAACCGUUAAGGCAAGAAGGCAAAAGCAGAACUAUGAAUUGUAAUGUGUUUUGACUGAAUUAAAGAAAAACCCAUCUCCUGAUUUCAAGAUUUAUUACAAGGCAAUCCGAGAAUUUAACCCACAAAAAUAUCUCCUCAUUUACAUCGACGUUCCUUUAUCCAAUGUACAUCUGCCACGUCACCGAAACCGCCACCGUGGCGCUCAUUCAGCAAACACUAUAUAACUGAGCCGCCCUUUUCCAUUACUCCCUCCGUCUCAGCUCUCCCACCCUCACAUGCAAAACUGUUUGCACAAUUGGGGAAAAAUUAAUUCACUCCUCCUUUACAGAAGCAGAGGAGUUUUUAGCAAUGGUGUCUAAGGUUUGGUGUGUCCUUCUUCUGGUUUCGGUGGCGGUGCUAUGUCCGGCGGCGGCGGCGGCGGACGAGGAGGUUGAAAAGGUGUUGACUUUAGACAGCUCGAAUUUCUCCGACGUAGUGUCCAAGCACGAUUUCAUCGUCGUUGAGUUCUACGCUCCUUGGUAAAUUGAUAGAUUCCGUUAUUACACAGAUUUACUCUCUAAGUUGAUCUUGUAUUUUCUUCUUGUUUUUUUUGUUUGGUUUUUAAAUGUGAGAUCGGUUUUUGAGUAAGCUCGAGCUUUGAUAUUUGAUCUGUACUUUAUGCAUUAUACGUUGUGCUUUUUGACGUUUUUCUUCAUUAGCAAGGGCCUGCACUUGUGUGUUCUGAAUGCAGAUUGGGUUCUGAUAAUUUAAAUGAUUAAUCUGUUAGUUUCUUCCAUUUUCUGUAUGUGAUUUGAGAAACUGCUGGUUUAUGAUGCAUCUGAAAGCAAAAGGCGAAAACUAAAUAUCGUCAUUUCAUUGAACAUAAUCUUUCUUUUAUGUUGGGAUCAAACAUUUUUUGGCUCUCCUUCUGUUCCGUCUAUGAUGCCUCUGAUAGCGAAAAACGAAAACUAAAAAAUUGUCAUUUCAUUGAACAUACUCUUUCUUUUAGGUUGGGAUCUCUAAUAACAUCUUUUGGCUCUCCCAUAGCGGAACAAAAGAAAGUUGGGCAGAAAGAAUGACUUUGUGCAUUAUAUGAAAUAUAGUUUAAAAUGCAAUGUUGACUCAAAAUCUUUAAAAUAACGCAAAAUUACCAUAGCUUUUUAUGCAAAUUGAAACUGUAAAUUCCUCUUUUCUGAAAGGGUUUGUGUCCCAAAGUUACAGCGUUGUUUAGAAAAUUUCCCCAACUUUUGUUUUCUAUUCAAAAACCCAAAAUUUCUAUGUUUUUAAAAAUAUGUGCCGCUAUACAAAAUUCGACGAUGGGAUAGUGGGUCACCUCGCCGGAUUCUUAUGUGGAUUGAUAUUGUUUUAUUGGGAGAGGUGGGAAAAAAAAUUCCACCUAAAAUUACGGCAAGGUGACACAUAUCAUUCCGGAUUUCUUAUAGUGGUAUAUUUUUUGAAAGACGCUGAAAGUUGGGGGAUUUGAAUAGAAAAUGAAAGUUGGGGACAUUUUCUGAAAAACGUUGAAAGUUUGGGACACAAAGCAUGAUUAAGAAAUGUUAUACAUGUACUGUUCAUCUUUUUGCAUAUUUUUUUUUCAAAAUUUAAUACUAUGUGAAACUGGGGCCACCUUUAGAUCAUUACUGAAUUUUAUUUAUUAAUGUACUUGUUAAUAUGUGAAUAAUCCAUAUUUCCUUUGUUAUUUAUGUUAACAGGUGCGGGCACUGUAAGUCUCUGGCUCCAGAGGUAAUCAUUUCUCCCCUUGCUGUUUGCGGAUUCAAGCAAACACACUUCACUUCUUUCUUUUCAAUGUUUGUUUCCUUGUAUUCAAUAUAUAAGCUAUUUCUCUAAUUCAUUCUCUUGUUUACAAUUUUUCUUAGUAUGAAAAAGCUGCAUCCAUAUUAAGCAGCCAUGAACCCCCCAUUUUCCUUGCUAAAGUUGAUGCAAAUGAAGAAGCAAAUAAGGAGCUGGCUACCGAGUAUAAAAUCCAGGGUUUUCCUACCAUUAAAAUCUUAAGAAAUGGUGGAAAAAGUGUCCAAGAUUACAAUGGUCCUCGUCAGGCUGAUGGCAUUGUCGAUUACUUAAAGAAGCAAGCUGGUCCUGCAUCAGCUGAAAUUAAGUCAGCAGAAGAUGCCAGCAGUCUUAUUGAUGAGAAAAAGAUUUUUCUUGUAAGUUAUUUUCUCAUCCUAAUAAACCUGUCUCCUUCUCUUUAAUCCUGAGCCGCUGAUGAAUGUUGUAUUGGAAUACUAGGUUGGAGUGUUUCCGAAGUUCUCUGGGGAGGAAUUUGAGAGCUUCAUGGCUUUAGCUGAUAAGUUGCGCGCUGACUAUGACUUUGGCCAUACCCUUGAUGCUAAACUCCUUCCUCGUGGUGAAUCAGUCAGCAAGCCCACUCUUCGCUUACUUAAGCCUUUUGAUGAACUGUUUGUGGAUUCCCAGGUAUUUCUUGAUCAAGCACUUUCCUUACAUUCUGUUUAAACCUUUUUUUUCAUGCUUCUUUAAGACUUGGUUCAUACGAAGCUAUUCCACUUUAAUUUGUUUAGUUUAAUAAAACUGCGAGUAUACUAUGCUAUUUCAGGACUUCAAUGUCGAGGCAAUGGAGAAAUUUAUUGAAGCAUCUACUGUUCCAACUGUUACCGUUUGGAACAAUGACCCUGAUAACCAUCCAUAUAUUAACAAAUUCUUUGAGGGUCCUGGCUCUAAGGUAUCCCUUAUUGUCGUUUGAUUUUCUGUUUCAUGUUGAUAACUUGUAAUAAUAUAUUUCUUAUAAAUCUGUUGAUUUCUACAGGCCAUGCUAUUUGUAGAUUUCAGCAAAGAGCAGGAUGCUUUCGAGGCAAAGUAUAAGAAUGUGGCAACCCUUUACAAGGGGAAGGGCAUCAGUUUCAUGUUUGGCGAUGUUGAUUCUACUCAAAAUGCAUUCCAGGUAGUCAUGUUUUCCAUAUGUGUGUUCAACUGUUUUUCUCCUGUUCUUUUGAAUGAAUCAGUUUUGACACAAUGUUAUUUCUAUGCAUGACAGUACUUUGGACUUAAGGCAGAACAGGCACCUGUGCUCAUUGUACAGCAAACUGAUGGACAGAAGUAUCUUAAAGCAAACGUAGAGCCUGACCAGAUUGAGUCGUGGGUGAAAGAUUAUCUGGUAGUGAACACGAUUUUAGUAAUUACAUUUUAUUUUGGUGAUUCAAAUAGCUUUUAAUGUUCUUCGUAUUAUAAAGAAUAAAAAAGUAGAGAACAAAUGUCUGUCUUGUCUGGAAGCUUUUGCAAAUAUGGAUUUUAUCUUAUCUGAUUUUUCAUUCAUUGAUGACAGGAAGGACUAGUGAAGCCAUACAUAAGAUCAGAACCUAUUCCUGAAGUAAACGAUGAGCCAGUCAAGGUGGUUGUUCGUCACAGCAUUCAGGACGUUGUUUUCAACUCUGGAAAGAAUGGUAUGUCAACAGGGAUUCUUUGUUUCCCGCUGUUCUAUCUAUCUAUCUAUCUAUCUAUCUAUCUAUCUAUCUAUCUAUCCAUCUAUUACUAUUAUUAUUGUUAUUAUUAUUAUUUGAUAAAAUUAACAAUUAAAUAAGCAAAUUUAAAGAUGCUGAUGCAUUCAUCUAUAAUGUUUUGAAUGUUUCAAACUAAGUUUCGUUACAAGUUGCAGUGAUAACACAUGCUGGUUUGCUAUGGUAGGAAGUCAUGUUAAUAAUAUAUCUCCAUCUUACAGUUCUACUAGAGUUUUAUGCGCCUUGGUGUGGACACUGCAAGAGUCUUGCUCCAAUCUUGGAUGAAGUUGCUGUCUCCUUCGAGAAAGAUCCUGAUGUUCUGAUUGCAAAAUUUGUAAGUUUCCUUCCAAUGUCUUGAUUUGUAUGAAAAAGUUGUGGUGUAACACUUGCUUUAAUUGCCUUCGAGAUACUUGCAGUUCCUGCCAUUUGCCUAUGUUAUAUCCUAUAUAGUUUGCAGAAACAGUUCCAUUGCUUGUACAACUGUUUGUUUGAUCGUAUAUGAACCGGUUCUCAUAAUCAAACCGAACCUUCUCAUUCCUAGAAUUUACUUGUAAUAAGUAUCAUCCAUUUUGUUUCAUGUGUAAUAACUGUAUCUGUUAUCUCAGGAUGCAACUGCGAACGAUGUUCCAAGUGACGCAUUCGAAGUUCAAGGGUUCCCGACACUCUACUUCAGAUCUGCAAGUGGCAACUUGUCACAGUAUGAUGGGGAUAGAACGAAGGAGGACAUCAUCAAUUUCAUCAACAACAACCGGGAUAAGUCUGCCCUGUCAUCCUCAGUCGAAACUGAAUCCGUAGACGUAGAUUCUGCUAAGGACGAGCUUUAAAGAGGUAUGUACAUUCAAAAUCACAUCGAAUUCUCAUUCUCGUAGUCGAACCAACUGUUAUUUCAAUUGACACCAGCUAUUUUUCCUGUGCAGGCUAGUGUCUAACGAGGGAACUUCUGAAGCGGAUUUUAUUUAUAUACCAGUUCCUGCCUUUUUCUACUUUUUAGGUCAAAUAAAAUCUGGUUUUGUUCCAGUUCUGUAGUAGGAUUAUAUUUAUAGUAGCAGAAGAUCCGAUGCAUGUAGCAGAUCGUUAUCAACAUUUGAAUUUUGAGGCUCACUUUUAAUCAAUCUCCAUACUUGUUUAUCCUCCAUUGAAAUAUAAUUUAUUACUCCCAAUUACUGACAGUUACAUAUAUAGAUAAGAAACAAAAGCAGAGCAGAACAACAGCAAGAAGUCGGUUGUAGAUUUAGGCAGCAUCUUCAUCGAGCUUGUGUGUUAACAUUUUGAGAAAGCCUAGCAUCUCGUUUCUUGCCCCAUUCAUGAAUCCUCAAAUGCAGAGCGGCAGCAGCGAUGAGGUAAUGCACAGCCUGCAUCGGAGUGAGAAUAUCGAUCACCUUCCUGAGCGUGUUGAGUCUCAGCUGAUCCGCCAUGUGAAGUAAUCCAACCAAGGCAUCUUGCUUGGGGGCGAGGGUGGCAUCGACCCUGCUCUGCCCAACGUCCACGUCCAUGGCCUCGGCCUCCGUCAUGGCAUGCGCCAGCUCCACCAUGGACGCAUCCGCCACCGUCUCCUGCUGCUCCGCCAGCUUCUCCGUGAUCUCCUGCUCCUUCCGUAUGGUCUCCUUCUGCAGCACGUCCACCUGCUCCAGCUGGGUCGCGGACAGGUCGCCCAGGUCGCCCGUGCUGAGCCCUUGCAUGAGCUCCUGGAGCCUGGCCUCAAGCUGCAGCCCGGACUUGGAGUAGAGCAGGUGGAAGGCCAUGCUUGGGCGCCACCCUCCCACCCAGAGGAAGGCGUCUUCGAGGCUGCUCCGCCACGAGGGGCUCAGCAUGGCAAGAAUGUCCGUCUUGCCCCACCGCCCCUUGGCCCUAUAGUAAUGCUCGUAAUGCUGGACCACGCGCUUCACCAGGGGCCGUAGCACCCCCCGGUCCGGGGCCGCCUCCUCCUCCUUGGAGGCGGACACGAGUUCUUCGAGGUGCUGAUUCUGUUCUGCGAUCCAGCGCUCGAAGAAUUUCUCGAAAGAGUCGCCUUCACGGAGACCGCUUCGAAUUGUAUGUCUCAAGUAUGUGAGGCUGUCGGGCGGGGACGUCGACAUGGUGUGAGGAACUAGAGCUUGGGUUGAGUGAGGAGUGGAACUAAUCAACGUUUUUAUACUAAAAUCUUGCAGCUGGGUAUGUGGUUGUAAUUAAGGUGUUUAAUUAUUAUUUUUUUUCAAAAAUAUAAUACAGCUGUUAAUAUUAUAGUUGUUUGAAAUAAAUAUAAUAAUAUAGGGAGGGGCGGGUGUGUGUUGAGUUCGGUGUAUCUUGAAAUCUGAGUGCGAAAAUAGACGUAGUUUGGAAAUUAUUAGGUGAUGUGAUGAGGUAAUGUGCAGUGCAAGUUGCACAUAUGCUCUAGCUUUAUUAGUCGGUGCGCUUGACGUCGGUAAACAAAACAAUUACUAUAACCUCAAACGGAGCUCCACUAUCUUUUUUACUCUUCAUUUAUCUCAUACCUGCAACCAUAAAUUUUAAAUUCCGUAACUAACUCUAAACAUUUAAUAUGUUAUCAUAAUUUCUUUUUUGGUGUAUUCACAAAAAAAUUACUAUUAUUUUUAUUUAUAAUAAUAUGGUCGUGGAACCUUUAUCUCGUUAAUAAUUUCACUCAUAUUUUAUUAAAAUAUGUGUUGUUUACAAUGUGAUAAGUUUUUUAUGAAUGAAAGAAGUACUAUAAUAUAAUUUGGAGGAGCAAAACACAAAUACUUGUGUGUGAUUAGUCGCAUAUUAUAUAAUAUAUAAAAGAGGAGUUUUUCCCUCGACACUUAGUUAGUAAAAACACAAUACUUUGUGAAAAAGUUUCAUAAAAAAUGCAAAAAAGAUGUGUCCAAUGGAUACAACAUUGUAUUCAAUCUUUAUAGAUUCUAGGUUUGAACUUUAGCGCGGUGCAUUUUUUGCGCGCUUUAUCUAUUUUUUUCUAUAUUUUCUUUUAAUGUAUCUAUAUUUUUAUGAAUUAUUUUUGCUUAACAAUAAGGUACUUAUUUACAUAGCUUCGUCUUAUGAAAGGUCUGUUCGUCAAUUAGAUUAUACUAUUAGUGUUGAAUUCUUAGUACCUCAUCUUUUCUUCUCUUUUGAUUGAAAACUCUUUUGAAUAGUUGGCUGAAAAAGUUUAUGUUAAUAUACUAUUGUUGCAUCGUUAAUAUAAAAGAAAAUUACAAGGGUCCAUUUUCUAGUUUUUGUUUAGGGUCCUACGAAAUACAGGAUCAGUCCUGAUAAUAAUAAUAAUAAUAAUAAUAAUAAUAAUAAUAAUAAUAAUAAUAAUAAUAAUAAUACAUACUUAAUUAUCACAACAUUUUUGUGUGAAAAGUAUGCAUUAAAAAUAAGACUUUUCUUAAUAUUUUGAAAAUUAAAAAAAAAGACAUUUUUUGAAUUAUUCAAUUCAGUUUGGCAUUUUCCGAAAUCUGCAUUUAAAGUUAGAACUGAAUUAAAUAUAUAAAAUUAUUAAUUUUAUAUAUAUUUAAUUCAAUCCUAACUUUGAAUAAAAUAAUAAAAAAAGUUGGAUUUUUUUGAUUCAGUUCGAUUCUGAUGAGUAUAAAAUUUCAACCAAUUCAAUGGAUCUUUAUGUGAAGGAUUCCGCCAUGCUUCUUACUUCACCUUUAAAAAGGUUGUGUUUGACAACCUUCAAACGCAGAUUUUGCACAUGAAGCUUGCCUUCAAUUUUGUCGUUACUCAUAUUUAUUCUUUUUCUGCGGCUCUAUUUAUAGGUAAUGACAUUUCACCAUAUUAAAUCUCAACUUGGGCCGCGCUUAUGCUAUUAUAUAACCACUUUUUGAAACUAUAGAAGCUAUCUGACAAAUAAUUAUGUUAUACAAAUAAUUUUCUAAAAAACUUACUUCGAUGCUACGCAAGGCCAAACUGCAAUAGAUGUCGUACAUGAGUUUUAAAAAUUGAAUAAACAUAUCAACUCAUUCUCGAACCAAAUUUUGGAUACAUUUCUUACCUGUUGCAUUUUCAAAAUUUCACAAACGCUCCCUCCAUCCACGAAAUAUUGCCCUACUUAAAUAUUAUUUUUGGUCCACAAACCUUUUUUUUUUUACCAUCAAUUACCACCGAUGGAUCCACCCAUUUCAAUUACCCACACAAAUUUUUCCCACUAAUCCAUCACUAGUAACCUAAACCCUAUUAUACAAAUUUAGUUAACAAUUCAACUUCACAACCACGUGAAGUGGUGAGAUGGGAAGGCGGGUUGCUCCAUCAUGUCGAUAUCUUCGGCCAAAGGUGGUGACCACAUAUAUUCAAGGUUUAAUGUAGGAGGUAUGUUAAAAAAGAUGCUGAGCUCUGUAACCCAAUAUUCUUCUAACUUAACUAGAAUAUGCAUCUGAACCAACUUUACAGGUACGUCUCAAAAGAAAAAAAAGAUAAAUAAAUUUACAGGUACAUGAACCAUAAGAUCAAACUUGAUAGACAAUAACCGUGAAAUGAGGAAUUAAUAAAAAUCAAAACUGGUGAUGGCAGAGUAAGGCCAAGGGACCAGCAGCAAGCAACUACCUCUCUCCCAGCUGCACAAAAUUAGAGAAACCCUAAGCACUACAAAACACGUAAAAAUCAAAAUGAACGCGUAUCUUGAACUCAUACAGCAGCUUAACCUGCUAACUCCAUAAUCAGUUGCAAUGUUUGACUCACUGAUGAAACAAAGCUCAAGAUUAACAGCUGUACAAUGAAUGAGCAAAUCAGAAUUUUCUCCACUUCUCAAAAUCAACUAUCUCAAAUAAAAGAAUUUCGCAGCGGUAAUUUUUUUAGCAAACCUCCUCAAAAGUAAUUGUUACUAAAUAUGUCAUAUCUAAUGAAUCUUGGAAAACUAUCCGUCAAAACAUUAAAAAUAGCUACCAAGACUGCACAAUGGCACUGACUCCACUUUUCCAAGUGGAUUUUAGAGAGAAAAAAACAUAUCUAGAAUAAAACUGAAAAGCUGCAAGCAAUAUUACCUCAAAAGCGCUUUUUCUGCUGUGGAGGGUAUCCAGUCAUUCCCAUCCCAGGAUCUUUCCUUCUCAUCUAUUAUUAUUAAUUAAAAAAAAAAAAAAAAGAACUGUUCAAGGAAGGAACAGAAACUAUCAUAAACAUUCAGCAUUAUUAUUGCCUAAACACCACAAACCUGCUGCUGUUGGUGAGCCUGGGCAGAAACACCCCGUUGCAUAGGGAUACCACCAGGAUUUACUCCACCUCCAAUACCCGCCUGAGAAGCAAGAUUGUAAGCAGGGAUUCCUGGAGGUUGCAUCCGCUGCAUGCCUACCAUGGGCAUUGGCCGAGGUAUUGAUCUAUUUUGCAUUACAUGGGCACCUGCCAUCGACCCAGACAUAGUAUUCCCAGAAGAUACCUAAUAAAAGAAAACCACAAAAGCCUCCAUGGGAUGAGAUGCAAAUGAUCAAGACAAAAUAAGAUUGCUACAUGAUAGCGAGUGCCAUCCUUGGAGAGUUUACACACGUGGAACGCAUGUGGUGGUUGAUUAUUAAGUAUUUCUGGAUUAAUUGUUAGUUUUAUCAUUCAAUUAGUUGAGUCAAGCCCAACGCGUGGAUGAGCUUUAGAUAUUAUGGUUUUAUUAUUUAUGGUUGAGUAAUAGCUAGUUCUGGUUUUUAUUGGAUAACUGAAGAAGUUUUCCAUAGGCCUCUGGGGAGGAGUUAUUUAUUCAGUUACAUAUUGGUUUUCCUUAUCAAUCAUCUUUACUCUAUCACUACAUGGUUAAUAUAACCAAAAGAAUUUUUGGUUAGAUAGAAAAAAAGGUUACUAGGCUGGACCUUUUUAUGCAUUACUCACGAGAUGAUUCAGUUCCUAGUACAUGGUAUUCCUUGUAUGUCCUUGUAUUAUGAUGAUUUCAUCCUCCUAAUUUUGUUUAUGUUAUCUGAUUCUAGACAAGAAUAUUGAUACCCGAAUCUUUUAUAUUUGGGUAAAAAGUAAAACAGGUCAAUGUCUCAUUAACUAUUGAGUUCAAUUAUGAAGUUUAACGAAAGAGGAAAAAUCUUUCACUUAUCCAAUGAGCAUUCCCGAUAAUAGCAACUUAAUCCUACAAAAAUAGGUUAAGAUACUACCAUACGCCUCACUCACCGGAUGAUUAUUUCCAUGUAUAUGGUGCUCGUUAAAUGUCCUUGUAAAGAAUAUUGAGACUGGAAACUUUUGAAUUGAGAAACAAAGUAAAAUAGACCAUUCUUAUCAUCUAUGAUUUUAAUGAGUAGUAGAAAUACGGCUCUUCCCACAUAUUAUCACUUAAUCCAAGAUUUAGAUCGCCUUACGGCCCUUACCAAUAUUCAUUAAAUUGUAAACAAUUAUUUUCCACUUUAAUUCUAACUGAUAAAGAGUCAGAAUUACCAUUUCGGAGUUUAAAUUCAAAAAGAAAUCUAGGAUGUCAUCAUCAAAUCUUAAGAGUUAAUGGACAAGAUAAACAAUGCAGUCAAUCUCCGUCGUAGGUCUAAUUAGCCCCUGACAAACGUUUUUCAGGACUUAGUUGCCAAAAUAAACAUUAGGAAUCGCCUCUUGGUGUAAACAUUGGGGAGGGAAGUAUUUGCACCUUUUCCCUUUUAUAACAGUCACAACACAUCAAAUUACAUAAAACCAAUUAUACGAGUCUUGUAAGUUAGUUAACAUAAAAGAAUGCAAGGACAAAAAAGUAGCUGCUAAUUAUGUACUAAUUAUUAAAAAUAUCUCAUGUUUCCACAUUGUUGAACAUUUCAAACAGCUUGCAUUACUGUUUAUUAAAAAGACAUUGUUGCUUUUAAAGUUUAAUAAUACCAUUAUGUUUGCUGUUUAGAAUUUGCAUCAUCCUCUUUACUCUAACACAUCGGGUUUGGGGUUAUAAUAAACUCGCCUGGAAUGUGGAUUAUUAUAAUUUCCAAAUGACAACAAGAAAACAAUUCUUUCCCAUGUUUGAAACAUGAUAUUCCAUGAGAUAUUUUCACCUUAUAAAAAAUAUUUGUAUUUAUAUUUUAUUCAACGACAUGGGGGUAAGAAGGCAUUUGUAGACGUGUAAUUAGCUGAUAGAUUAUUGAUAUCCAGAAUUAGGAUAGACUAAAAGCUGCUGCAGCAGGUAUAUAGCAAAAACAUGAUCAAGGCUCAUUCAACUUUUGCAACAAACUGAAAACCAUUAACCAUCACCAACAUAUAGUACUCUGCUGGAUUAGCAUCAAUGUUGAAGAAACACCGAAUUAAACGUUAAAAGAACAGCAACCAUCUGGGGAACUUACCGGUUGAGAGGGUUGGAGACUGAUGGUUCCCUCAAUAUCAGUGCUUGUGUCCACAGGCCGAGUUGGGUAAUUCACAACUUUCUCUCCUGGUUGUGGAGGUAACAAUGCACUGGCACAAUUUAUAUAUCAACGUACAUAUUAGUACAAAAAUGUAUCAUUAAACAUAAAGUGCUUAGAAAGAGAAACAUACUUGCAACCCGGCAAAGGUUCCAUGCGAAAAUAUCUGCAGACCAGGGAAAAUAAAAAACUAAUUGGAUUACUAGGUAAAUGUGAAAUUGAUGAGCCUUCAAAACUACCGACACAUUACUGUAUGAAUGAAGCAGAACAUUUUUUUUGGUAUAAAAUAUGAAUUAAGAGGUUAAAAGAAAAAGAAAAAAAGAUAAAAGGCAUGUAAAAUGGAAGGAUUAUGUGAAACUAUGGGAAUAUCCAUGAAGCUUUAGGCAGUAACAUCUAAAAACUUGAUUUGUAUGACGAAGCCCACAAAUGACCAUAAUUACAUAUCUGAAACUCCUUAAGAAAACAUUGAUCAGUAUGCUAACAGUAACACAAUUAACAACUAAUUAACUGGCGCUUAAAAAAAACAAAUCAACUAAUUAACUGGAAUGACUAGGCAUCAAUUUUGGAAGAUGGAAUCCUAAAGUUUCCAGUCAAGAAGUUACAGGCCACACUUAAACUUGAGAAGGCAUGAGGCAAAGGAAUAAUUCUCUUUUCCUGACAUAGGAUCAUGUAGCAGGCUUGUGGUCAUCAAUCAUGAAUGGCUGAAUUAAGUGAUGAACUUGCAUAUUAUAGGUCAGACAACCCAAGAUAGCAUGAGAAAAAUCGAUGACAACACAAGUCUUUCAAGAACCAGAAAAGCAUAAAUCCAUCAUUCAGUUCAAAACCUCUUUAUGAAACAGAACAUAUGCAUAAAGAACACAAAGAUGAGGAAGCAAUAGCUGCUACAGAUUGGGAAACAAAUUCCAAUAUAUGUAAAAGCAGUCAUUCAUUCAGCCACCCCUACCAUAAUGAAGCCACAAAUAAAGCAUAUAGAUAAGUGAAUGAAAAAGAUCAUCUGAGAAAGGGGGAGAGCCAACAACUCAGUUACAUACUCAUGCUCAAGAGCUUGUGUGGCUGUUAUUCUUUUUCUGGGAUCAUACCUGUAAGUAAAAAUCAGACACGGAUUGCAUGUGAGACAAAAACAAAAACAAUAAUAUGCACAAGUUACUAAGGAAACUGCGAGGUUUGAACCAAUAUUAUCGAUUACAUAAUUCAAAUACAGCAACGGGCAAGAUGUCCGCCCAAUCACAAAACAGAGAGAAUCCAUUCAGAAUGCCAAACCUCCAAUCUCUAAGAAUGCCUCUCACAAGAGAAACUUUAAACUCUCCUUUCUUGGAAGUUUACACUCCACAUUGCUACAUUUAAACUUCCCCAUAGAUCAUCCAAUUAUUCCUCCAAAAUCUUCCAAAAUUAUCCUAUUUCGUGCUAACCAAAUGGAUUAGAAGAAUGCACUGGCCAUUACUCUCAUAAAAUGCCUUCUUUUGCUUACAUGCUUACAAGCACUUGAUUUUAUAACUGUAUAUGCUACAAUUAUUGUCAAUCAACACCAAUUCAGAGGACUAAUUACUACUCCCUCAGUCCCACAAGAGUGUGCAUCACUUUUGGUGGCACGGGUUUUAAUAAAAUCUUAGAUGAGUGUAUUGGGAGUUGAAAAAGUGGUGGGGUAGUGUCCAAAAAUGGCAAAUGCCCACACUUGUAGGACAUCCCAAAAUAGAAAUAAGGGCACUCUUAUGGGACGGAGGGAGUGUAAAGAAGCAUAUUACUAGAUGGAAGCAAGCAAUCCCAUUAGAAUCUCUUAACUGACAGUGACACUUUAACGCACCACUAAGGACAUGCAUAAUUGGGGAAAGAUAAUAAAACCCAUACUUGCAUGAAUUUAACUAUAAUCACAUACUCAAGCAUCUUUGACAGAAGGUCAUAUGCUGGAUUUUUCGGAGGUAGAUGGACUACAUUGUAAAGUCCAGCAUUAUUGCUGCACAGAUAAAAUUAAAUAAAAUGAGUAAAUUCAGUCAACUACAUACUACACAAACUAGAGGUCCUCCAGAACAUCAAUAACAGUUGAUGGACAAUCUAUAGAUAUCAAGAAACAGGAGUAAAGAAAAGCUAACUAUGUACGCCCUUGAAUGUGUUGCGAAUCAGACUGCCAAUGUGGAAGAUUUACAAGAGUCGGCCACUUUUCUGGCGUGGGAUGGCCUAAAGCCACAAGCAGUUGUCAGCAAUUAUACAAAUAAAAAUCACAAAAAGUGGAAUCAUCAAAAGAACAUUCUCACCUAGAACCUUAAAUAUUCUAUCAAGUUGGUCAAGCUGCAUCAUUAGAAGAAAUUUCAGAAAACAUACCCAGAAAAAACACCAAGAGAAAUACAAGCCGCAUACCUGGUGCAAGAUUAAUACCAGAAAACGCUAUAGAAAAGAUAAAAAUCAUACCUGAAAUGGGUUUGGUGUCCCUUUGACUUCUUGCCCUUGAAAUAGAGGCUUCAGAGUGAGAAGCUCUGCAAAAAUGCAGCCGACAGCCCACAUGUCUUCCACAUAAAUUAGGAAGGCCACAAAUUAGCAAAUGAAAUAACUAUUGAUCUUGAAAUUUUCUCUUUAACAAUAUAGAAUGGAAAUAUGGCUAUCAUGAUUUGACUUAAAAUGCCUGCAAUAAUGUAUAUAAAAAUAUAUAAUAACUAUUUAUAUAUAUAUAUACACAUGUAUAUAUACAUAUAGAGAGAGAGAAAUGAUAUCCAAAUGGAUCUUACCUACAGCACUCGUAUAGUGUUUAGCUCCAAGGAGUAACUCAGGCGCACGAUACCAAAUGGUCACUACAACCUACAGUUCAUAAAUUAAAUGACAAAUUAUUAUCAAUAUAGCAACUCAAGCAGGCAUAUAUGGACUUAGGACUAAAAGAGGGUCUCAUCCAAAUAUGACAGAAUUCAUAUCUUUCCAAGUUUGUCAUAUUUUCAUUCUCAAAGUUAGAUGUUUUACAUAAAGCUCACCAACCAUGUUGUUUAAAGAAUUGUAUGAGAUAUUACAAAAAAAUGUGGAGAAAGAUUUAAUGUAGAACAGUUUACAAACUGCAAUAACAAAUAAUGCUAGAAGAAGACAUGGGUUUGGGAAGCAUGCCUAAAACAGAAAAUUGAGGAAGAAUCUCUUACCCCAUUUUCAGAUAGUGGCUUUAAGGGUGCUUGGUAAAUUCUUGCAAGGCCAAAAUCAGCAAUUUUCACCACUCCAUGUUCUUCCCCAUCACCCAUUACCUGGUUAGCAGAAGUUGAAGAUAAAUCGAAAGGAAGAGCUUGUGUCACUAUCAAUAGGAAAUUGCACCAAUAUAAGGGCACGUAAGGAAAUUAAACUAUAUAAACAUAACAAGAGGGACAAUGCCAACAAAAGUUAGAAUAAAAUAAAAGCGUUUUACCAAGAUAUUCGAUGGCUUUAGAUCCCGGUGAACAAUCCAAUUACUGCACAGAUUUUUUAUUGCAGGUGUUAACUGAGGUCUAUUUCAAACUUGGAUUGACAAGAAAAACUAGGGAAAAAUAUACCUAAAAUUGCAUGUAAGAUUCUAGUUUGGCGGAAACAAAGAGAUCACAUAUUAUCAUUAUUAUACUGACUAAGCAAAAGAUAGAGAAAACAUAUGCACAACCUGUGAAGAUAGUUUAGCCCAUUAAGAAGCUGCCACAAAAUUGACUUAAUGGUGUAUUGGUUGAUAGAUUGGUUGACCUUGUCCCUGUGAUGUCUGAUGAUUUCCUGGCACGAUCCACAAGACGUCAAUCAUUUAUGCAGCAGUCAGAUUGAUGGAACAUAAAUAAGUUCAUAGAGCUCUAUCUCAGUAGUCAGUCCAACGCAAAACAUGAAUGAGUUAGACUGCAUGCAUGAUCACAAAAGUCAUGAUUAAGAAAUUUACUCACAUAAAGGUCGUGCUCAGCGUAGUCAAAAGCCAGAUAAAGCGACAUGUCUGUGUGAUUGAUGUGCACAUUUGCAAGCUUUACCACGUUCUCAUGAGAAAUCUCCCUAAGCAACUGAGGAAAAGCACAAUUAACACAAACUUCAGGCAGAGGGCAAUGGUGAGAGAAGAGUGAAUCAAGAAUAGGUAAAGUCAUGAGAAAAUUUAUUAACAUGUUAUAUUCUAGAAUUGGAACACAAAGAAUGAGAAAAUAAGUAAAGAAAGUGAGGAAUCUUGAAGAUUAUUUUUUUGCUUAGCACAAAUAUCUGUGUUUACCAGGCAGAACAUGAAUUAGCGAAAGAAUUUCUCAUUUCAUGUUUCUUUGUCAAUCGUAAAUGAAAGGAAAGAUAAAGAAAAAAUGGCCAAACUACAGAACUGCAACAUGAUAAAUAAAGAAACGUAGAGAAAGGAUGACAAAACACAAAUAUCAAACUCUUCGUUUCUUCCUUCUCCAAUGGCUUAUUUAACAGUUAAAGUGUAUACUCCACCAAAAUCAGUAUACACUCAAACAGAAAACUAAACAAAAUGGUUGCCCUCAUUCAAUUCAUCCCAAGAAAGAAAACAGAACCCCCUUGAAACAGACGAGAACCAACACCGCAGUUAAGACAAACACACGCACUGCUAAUUAAGGGCAUAAUACAGGACAAGAAGGUCAGAAACAUUGAAUUCGGAGGGUGUAAUUUCACCAUGAUUUCUCGAAUUGCGGUGGGAGAGACGCCGUCUCCGUCCUUGGACUGCUUGAACUUCUUGAUGGCUAUGGAUUUGGAACGGUUGGACUUUAUCUUGGCCAAGAAAACAAGGCCAUAGGUUCCUUCCCCGAUUUUGCCGAUCACGUCGUACUGCUCCAGCCACUCCGGCUUGCUACUGCUGUUGCUUCCCGAAUUGCUCACUCUUCCGUCCCCCAUAUACGCGAUUCAAUUACUUUUUUUCUUAUUGUGUUGCGGUAUGUGAUGGUUAUGUUUCAGCACCUGAAAUUGAAACUGAAAUUUUUGGGGAAAACCAUCUCCGAUCCAAGCUUUGGCAAUGGCCGGGAAAGAAGAGUAUUUACGUCUAUUUAUACAAUUGAAACCGCUGUAUGUCGCGUUCGCGUUUCUAUCCGCAUCACUUCCUUAGUCGCAAUUCAGAUUUUUAGUCUCAUGUGUUUACUCACAAACUUCAAAUCAUACUUAAUACUUACUACGUGCUAAUGUGUAAAAAAUAAAAUGCCUAAUCUAGUAAUGGAGCUGGUUUGGUGGAUGACUGAUGAGAUACAUAAAAUUAAUAUGAUUCGAGGAUGCUUGAAUAAUUUAUCAAACUCUGAGGUGAACAAGAUGACACAGAUGGUUAACAAGAUGACCUAGCACUUGAACAAGUACAAACAAUUCUACGAAGAGGACAUGACAAGAACCGAGUCCAUGGUAAUAGAAAAAUGGAUCGUGCUAAAAAACAACUAAUCUUUCAAGUUCCAGAUAAGAUGAUAUUCAAGAGCCAGUUACAAUCUUUUAAGCUCAAGAUAGUGACACUUAAAAGAUAAUCAAUACUAUAACAUUUCAAGCUUCAUACAAGAUUAUGUUAAGAAGUUCGAUAUUCAAGAGUCAAAUAUUAUCUUCCGAGCUCUAGAUGAUAAUUUGGUCUUACAGGGUUUAGAUGAGAUGAUGCUCAAAUGGCAGAUGUGAUCUUAAAUUAAUUCGUAUUUGUCAAUUUGAAAAAGUUGUACAAAAUUAAUAAAUAUUGUCUACAUACGAUUAACAAUAGAUGCGGUACAUCAAUCCCUCCAUCAUAUUUUCCAUAGAAUUUAUAUAUUUUUUCUUAUUAUUUUUAAUCUAAAAUCCUUCGAUCUCGCAUUUAUCUUUUUUUAAACUUUAUCAAAUAAAAUUUUAUGUGAAAUGAUACUUUUAUUAUUUUAACUAAACUUUGAGAUUUAAUCAGCAAAAAUAACCAUGUCACAUCAAAUUAAAUUAAUUAAAAUAAUAAUUUAUAUACAAAUAACUUUAUUAUAUAAAGUAAUUUAAAUUAUGACACAAAGUCUGAGGGGUUACACGAGUUAUGAAAUACUAGUAACAUUUAUAAUUGGUAGCACCAACAUGUUCAUCCUAUAUAGGGAUCCAAGGCCGCAGCUCCGAAUUCCUUGCAGCUCGUACCAUGCAACAGCAGCGACGAGCUAAACCCUAGCUUCGAGGCAGGCACAUCAAACUCCAGCAGAUGAUUCUCCAGCUGAUAACCCGCCACAACUAUCGACGUCGUAGGCCCUGUUGUAUUCGGCUCCUCCUCCACGAACGCCAGGCACAUCACGCCCUUCCCAACUCUCACCAUCGUGUUCCACCCAUAAAACCGCCAGUACACCUUCUUCCUCUGCAGAAUCAGAUCCACAGUCGGCACGUCGCCUCCACUCUUGAUCGUCUUCGAAUCGAAGCAAGCCCCGAACGGAGCCACGGACGCCACUCUCUUCAUCCCCUUGCCUGCAGCGGCCUUCACGAACUCCUCCACCAGAGCUGCGUAGAUCGAUCCGUGCAGGCUCGUAUACGCCCUCACCGUUCGUAAGCUCGUGCCUCCUUCUCCGGUCACCUUGUCGAUCGACAGCAGAGUUUUGUUCAAGGCGAGAGCCGUUCCGCCAACUCUGAUGGACUUGACGCCGAUGAAAUACGCGAUGGAGAGAUUGCCGAUCACUUGGUCGCCAAAGCCUUUCCAUGGAUUUCUGAGCAAGGGCGUGGUCCACAUUGAUUCCGAGAUCCGUCGGAAAGGUCCUCUGUAGACCUCCUGGCCGGCGAUCAUGUACCCGUUGCCGCCCGAAGGCGGGAUGCAGAGGGCCAGCUUGUUGCGGAUUUUGAAAGCGGAUGAAAGCUGCGACUGGAGCGAAAGCCUAGUUCGGCCUAGGGCGAGGAGGCCCGCCGUGGGGGUUGCGAGGCCUUGGCUUAAGAUGGGGUCCGAGUAUUGGAAGGGGAAAUUUAGCUUAUAUUGGGUGCCGCGUGUCGACAAGGCCAGCAUGACGUCCGUGCUUAGGCCGCUGUAGCCAUUGGUGCCGGUGAAGGGGUUGAGGGCCCAGUCGGCGCAUGUGUUGUUGGAGCAUCCCGGCGCCGCUGCCGAGAAGCAGAAGACACAACCGACUCCAUUGGCAAUGCGGCACUGGUUGGUGCCGCAGAGGAUGGGGCGGUAGGUGUUGGCGGCGGAGAAGUAGUCGAGGGAGUUGAACCAUAGGAAAUUGCCACCGAGAUCGAUCCCCACGUUGAGUGUGGUGGCGUUGGAGCCUAGUUGGAUAGUUGUGUAGUAUUGGUUGGUUGUGCCAUCUUUUCUUAUUGGGAAAUGAAGGCUUUAGGGGAUGUUAGAGCAUUUGAAAACAAGGAUGAAAGGAGCAACGAGGAAAUUAUCAAGACCGGAACACUAGGGGAAGCCAUCAUGGUUGUAUUGUGGGUGAAGCUCUUGGAAUGGAUGCAUGUUUAUUUAUUAAGUUUUGGAAUAGGAUGCCAGCUAAUCAGCAUUAUAUUUCAAAUCAUAUUGUCAGGUUGGUCCCCAGCUGAAUCCGUUGUUUAUUUCUCCACUUACGUAUAUUUAAGUAAUACAAUGAAUAGUGAUAGUUCUUUUGCAUUCUGUAUGCUUUCAAUGAAAUUAUGAAACACUAACCAAUUAUAACCAAGAACGCACUACAAUAUUAAUACAUUUGUGCUUAUCAUCACAAUCCCACAAACCGAUCAUAAACACACAACCCCACACAUAGAGUCCAACCUAGGCAGCUCCAAACCGGUUGCANAAGAAAGAAAACAGAACCCCCUUGAAACAGACGAGAACAAACACCGCAGUUAAGACAAACACACGCACUGCUAAUUAAGGGCAUAAUACAGGACAAGAAGGUCAGAAACAUUGAAUUCGGAGGGCGUAAUUUCACCAUGAUUUCUCGAAUUGCGGUGGGAGAGACGCCGUCACCGUCCUUGGACUGCUUGAACUUCUUGAUGGCUAUGGAUUUGGAACGGUUGGACUUUAUCUUGGCCAAGAAAACAAGGCCAUAGGUUCCUUCCCCGAUUUUGCCGAUCACGUCGUACUGCUCCAGCCACUCCGGCUUGCUACUGCUGUUGCUUCCCGAAUUGCUCACUCUUCCGUCCCCCAUAUACGCGAUUCAAUUACUUUUUUUCUUAUUGUGUUGCGGUAUGUGAUGGUUAUGUUUCAGCACCUGAAAUUGAAACUGAAAUUUUUGGGGAAAACCAUCUCCGAUCCAAGCUUUGGCAAUGGCCGGGAAAGAAGAGUAUUUACGUCUAUUUAUACAAUUGAAACCGCUGUAUGUCGCGUUCGCGUUUCUAUCCGCAUCACUUCCUUAGUCGCAAUUCAGAUUUUUAGUCUCAUGUGUUUACUCACAAACUUCAAAUCAUACUUAAUACUUACUACGUGCUAAUGUGUAAAAAAUAAAAAUGCCCAAUCUAGUAAUGGAGCUGGUUUGGUGGAUGACUGAUGAGAUACAUAAAAUUAAUAAGAUUCGAGGAUGCUUGAAUAAUUUAUCAAACUUUGAGGUGAACAAGAUGGCCUAGCACUUGAACAAGUACAAACGAUUCUACCAAGAGGGCAUGACAAGAACCGAGUCCAUGGUAAUAGAAAAAUGGAUCGUACUAAAAAACAAUUAAUCUUUUAAGUUCCAGAUAAGAUAAUAUUCAAUAGCAAGUUACAAUCUUUUAAGCUCAAGAUAAUGAUACUUAAAAGAUAAUCAAUACUAUAACAUUUCAAGUUUCAUACAAGAUGAUGCUAAGAAGUUCGAUAUUCAAGAGUCAAAUAUUAUCUUCCGAGCUCUAGAUGAUAAUUUGGUCUUACAAGGUUUAGAUGAGAUGAUGCUCAAAUUGUCAGAUGUGAUCUUAAAUUAAUUCGUAUUUGCCAAUUUGUAAAAAAGUUGUACAAAAUUAAUAAAAUAUUGUCUACAUACGAUUAACAAUAGAUGCGGUACAUCAAUCCCUCCAUCAUAUUUUCCAUAGAAUUUAUAUAUUUUUUCUUAUUAUUUUUAAUCUAAAAUCUUCAAUCUCACAUUUAUCUUUUUUUUAAACUUCAUCAAAUAAAAGUUUAUAUGAAAUGAUACUUUUAUUAUUUCAACUAAACUUUGAGAUUUAAUUAGCAAAAAUAACCGUGUGACAUCAAAUUAAAAUAAUAAUUUAUAUACAAAUAACUUUAUUAUAUAAAGUAAUUUAAAUUAGGACACAAAGUCUGACGGGUUACACGAGUUAUGAAAUAGUAGUAACAUUUAUUAUACUAAUUGGUAGCACCAACAUCUUCAUCCUAUAUAGGGAUCCAAGGCCGCAGCUCCGAAUUCCUUGCAGCUCGUACCAUGCAACAGCAGCGACGAGCUAAACCCUAGCUUCGAGGCAGGCACAUCAAACUCCAGCAGAUGAUUCUCCAGCUGAUAGCCCGCCACAACUAUCGACGUCGUAGGCCCUGUUGUAUUCGGCUCCCCCUCCACGAACGCCAGGCACAUCACGCCCUUCCCAACUCUCACCAUCGAGUUCCACCCAUAAAACCGCCAGUACACCUUCUUCCUCUGCAGAAUCAGAUCCACAGUCGGCACGUCGCCUCCACUCUUGAUCGUCUUCGAAUCGAAGCAAGCCCCGAACGGAGCCACGGACGCCACUCUCUUCAUCCCCUUGCCUGCAGCGGCCUUCACGAACUCCUCCACCAGGGCUGCGUAGAUCGAUCCGUGCAGGCUCGUAUACGCCCUCGCCGUUCGUAAGCUCGUGCCUCCUUCUCCGGUCACCUUGUCGAUCGACAGCAGAGUUUUAUUCAAGGCGAGAGACGUUCCGCCAACUCUGAUGGACUUGACGCCGAUGAAAUACGUGUUGGAGAGAUUGCCGAUCACUUCGUCGCCAAAGCCUUUCCAUGGAUUUCUGAGCAAGGGCGUGGUCCACAUUGAUUCCGAGAUCCGUCGGAAAGGUUCUCUGUAAACCUCCUGGCCGGCGAUCAUGUACCCGUUGCCGCCCGAAGGCGGGAUGCAGAGGGCCAGCUUGUUGCGGAUUUUGAAAGCGGAUGAAAGCUGUGAUUGGAGCGAAAGCCUAGUUCGGCCUAGGGCGAGGAGGCCCGCCGUGAGGGUUGCGAGGCCUUGGCUUAAGAUGGGGUCCGAGUAUUGGAAGGGGAAAUUUAGCUUAUAUUGGGUGCCGCGUGUCGACAAGGCCAGCAUGACGUCCGUGCUUAGGCCGCUGUAGCCAGUGGUGCCAGUGAAGGGGUUGAGGGCCCAGUCGGCGCAUGUGUUGUUGGAGCAUCCGGGGACCGGAGGCAAGAAGCAGAAGACACAGCCGAUUGUGUCAGCAAUCUGGCACUGUUUGGUGCCGCAGAGGAUGGGGCGGUAGGAGUCGGCGGCGGAGAAGUAAUCGAGGGAGUUGAACCAUAGGAAAUUGCCGCCGAGAUCGAUCCCCACGUUCAGUGUGGUGGCGUUGGAGCCUAUUUGGAUAGUCGUGUAGUAUUGGUUGGUUGUGCCAUCUUUUCUGAUUGGGAAAAUGAAGGCUUUAGGGGAUGUUAGAGCAUUUGAAAACAAGGAUGAAAGGAGCAACGAGGAAAUCAUCAAGAUCGGAACACUAGGGGAAGCCAUUAUGGUUGUAUUGUGAGUGAAGCUCUUGGAAUGGAUGCAUGUUUAUGUAUUCAGUUUUGGAAUAGGAAUGCCAGCUAAUCAGCAUUAUAUUUCAAAUCAUAUUGUCAGGUUGGUCCCCAGCUGAAUCCGUUGUUUAUUUCUCCACUUACGUAUAUUUAAGUAAGUACAAUGAAUAAUAGUGAUAGUUAAUCUUUUGCCUUUUAUGCUUUCAAUGACAAAAAACUGUUUGAUAGAAGAUUCGAACACAAGAUCUCAAGUCUCGAAUAUUAUUUUCUUUCAGGAGAGAAAGAGAGCUGAGGCCGACGCUGAAGAAUUUGGGCAAGGGGGUAGUGGGGGCGCUCUAGGGGCAUCCACGUAGAAGAGCCGUGUCGGGGAACUUUUGGGAGCCGAAAGAUAUUACUCCCUCAAUUCCAGUAGAAAUAGUCCUGUUUCUUUUCGGCAUGAAAAUUAAAAAUUUUGCUUUUUGAGAGUAAAAACAUAGUGUAAAAUUAUUACCAAAAAUAGAAAUAUGAUUAUUUUAUUGGGACGUCCCAAAAAGAAAAACUGAACUAUUAGAGUGGGACGGAGGGAGUAGUAUUAUUUUUUUCUUUUUCUUCUUCUGCGAAAUGGAUUCAACGUUAGGGUAGUUUUUUUUUAAAUAUAUUAUUAAAGAAAAAUUAAUACACUUACAUUAAAAAAUAUUUGUAUUAUUUUCAAAUUUUUAAUUUUAUAAGCAAAUUAUCCUUUUAAUUACUAGAUGAAAUGGACUAGAGAAGUAUAUUAAUCGGUUAUUACAAAGAAAUUACUUUGACGUGGAAAUGAAAUUAGAGAGAAAUAAAGAAAACCAAGGAAGAAAAAGAAAAAAAAGUCACCAAAAAACUUUCUUUGAGAACUAAUCCACAUUUCAUGCAAUCGGCCAAUGCCAUCUAUUAAAUGACAUAUAAUUAUUAGCCACACACUUAACUUUCUGCCUUUUCUCUUUACAUGAGAGAGAACGAGAGAGAGAGAUUCAUAUUUUCGUAGUGAAUCUUUUAUUCCAUAAAUAUUUUUAAUUUAUGCAAAUUAAUACAUACUAAGGGGUGAAUAUCCAUAGCAGAUUCGUUGAUCAACUAUUCCAGAAAAAGUAAGGGGAAAUAUGUAUAUCCUUAUUCGUGUCAAGUCGUAUCAAGUACAUGUACAAUCUUAUAAAAAUAUGUCUGAUGUUUGUUAAUAAAAUAAGAUACAAAUUUACAACGUGAUAAAGAAAAUAGUACAAAACAAACACAUACGAACAGAUAGCAUUUUUAAAUUAUAAAAUAAGAAUUAUUUUCAACUAUAAAUGAUGAAGAUGUAUAGUAAAGUAUUUAUAUAAAUUUUGUGAGAGUUAACAAUUCAUCAUUUUUUCACGAUGAAUUCGUAUUUUCAGCAUAUUAUAUCUAAUCAAAAUAUAAUCUUAACCUUGUGGUUGUGAUUUCAAACACCCUCUAUUAUAUGAAUCUUAAUUUUUCACUACAAAUUCACUAUACUAUAGUAGGUCUUAUUUUAUACUUUAUCCAAAUGCAUGUACUUCUAUUAUUGUUUUCAGGGGCUCUUGCAAUAUUUCAACGCAACGAACAUUACUUGUCGUUUUCAGCAUAUGCAAACACAAUAAUUUACAGAAAAGUGUAAAAGAGAGAGAGAGAGAAGACCUCUCAGGAUAAUAUUUAAGGUUUCAAACAUUGAUUUCUAGAUUCAUCAAUAUACCAUACGAGAGGUAUAAGGAUAUACUUUUUUGUUUUUCAUAAAAAAUUAUAGGGUUUGGUUAUAAUAACAUAUGAAAUAUCAGAUCAUAUUUGAACUUCCAUAUCUAAAUUCUCCCUUCCCAAAACAUUAGCGAGCAACUUUUGAACUUGAGAAAUGAAAAAGUGGAAAUAAGUCACAUUAUUUUUGUCCAUAAAUGUCGACACUAAUAACCGAUUGAAAUUAAAUAUUUACAAAAAAAAGAUUAAAAAAAAACAAUCACACCAAAACACAUAUACAAAGCUAGAAUUAUGAAAUUCGAAGAUUUAAUUAAUGGUUCUAAAACGUCAAAGACGGGUGAUAACAUUGUUAUGUCUUCUUAGUUAGACUUUAAAUUAUUAAUAUUAUAAUGUUGUUAGUAUGCAACAUGUAAUUAUCAUGCAACAAAAAACGCGUAAAAUCAUUCUCCCUCUCUAUGUGUUCAAUACCCCAAACACCCACACGUCAAAUGUUGGUGUUUACAAUUUCAUCUCAAUAUUAUUAUACACAUCAUUACAUCACCGCGGACUUACGCCUAUUUCAUCUUCACAAACACAAACACACACACACACACACACAAAGUGUUUCUCUUCACAGUCAGUCACAUAUACACACACUGGGUGUUGUUGUCCACAUUCUUAUGAAGUUGAGAAAGUCUUAACAAGCCUAAGCCUAUAAAAGCUCCAUCCUUCUAUAAAAAAAACACACUUCUUACAUAUAUGCAUAACAAACACACACAAUACGCAGAGAACAUCGUUCAAGAGCCAGCCAGCAUGGGUUCCAACAAAGACGAGAGCAGCAGCAACAACUAUGCACCGCAACAGGGAACAAAGGCAAGUGUUAUUCCUAAACAAAGGGAGCAUGUCUCAACAAUGAUGGGCAAGACAAUGGCUCGAGCUUUUGGGAAAGCUGGGAAAUCUCUUGCUAAAGUUGCAGGGGAUCAAAAGUUGGUACUACUAAUAAUUAGUUACUACAUGAUGCUAUCUUCAUGUGUUGAUGCAGUCUGUUUCCACUAGUUUCCGUAUGUGUUUUCAAAUAAUUGUAGUGCUUUGGAUAGUCGUGUAGUAUUGGUUGGUUGUGCCAUCUUUUCUGAUAGGGAAAAUGAAGGCCUUAGGGGAUGUUAGAGCAUUUGAAAACAAGGAUGAAAGGAGCAACGAGGAAAUCAUCAAGAUCGAAACACUAGGGGAAGCCAUCAUGGUUGUAUUGUGGGUGAAGCUCUUGGAAUGGAUGCAUGUUUAUGUAUUAAGUUUUGGAAUAGGAUGCCAGCUAAUCAGCAUUAUAUUUCAAAUCAUAUUGUCAGGUUGGUCCCCAGCUGAAUCCAUUGUUUAUUUCUCCACUUACGUAUAUUUAAGUAAUACAAUGAAUAGUGAUAGUUCUUUUGCCUUUUGUAUGCUUUCAAUGAAACUAUGAAACACUAACCAAUUAUAACCAAGAACGCACUACAAUAUUAAUACUCAUAUCUUCCNAGAAGCAGAAGACACAGCCGAUUGUGUCAGCAAUCGUGGCACUGUUUGGUGCCGCAGAGGAGUGGGCGGUAGGAGUCGGCGGCGGAGAAGUAAUCGAGGGAGUUGAACCAUAGGAAAUUGCCACCGAGAUCGAUCCCCACGUUGAGUGUGGUGGCGUUGGAGCCUAGUUGGAUAGUUGUGUAGUAUUGGUUGGUUGUGCCAUCUUUUCUUAUUGGGAAAAUGAAGGCUUUAGGGGAUGUUAGAGCAUUUGAAAACAAGGAUGAAAGGAGCAACGAGGAAAUUAUCAAGACCGGAACACUAGGGGAAGCCAUCAUGGUUGUAUUGUGGGUGAAGCUCUUGGAAUGGAUGCAUGUUUAUUUAUUAAGUUUUGGAAUAGGAUGCCAGCUAAUCAGCAUUAUAUUUCAAAUCAUAUUGUCAGGUUGGUCCCCAGCUGAAUCCAUUGUUUAUUUCUCCACUUACGUAUAUUUAAGUAAUACAAUGAAUAGUGAUAGUUCUUUUGCCUUUUGUAUGCUUUCAAUGAAAUUAUGAAACACUAACCAAUUAUAACCAAGAACGCACUACAAUAUUAAUACUCAUAUCUUCCACAUUUGUGCUUAUCAUCACAAUCCCACAAACCGAUCAUAAACACACAACCCCACACAUAGAGUCCAACCUACGCAGCUCCAAACUGGUUGCAGCUCGUAUCACUGAGCAGCAGCGUCGAGCUAAACCCUAGCUUCGACGCAGACACAUCGAACUCCAGCAGAUGAUUCUCCAACUGAUAACCUCCCACAACUAUCGAUGUCGUCGGCCCCGACAAAUUCGGCGGGCCCUCCACAAACGCAAGGCACAUCACUCCCUCGCCGACUCUCACCAUCGAGUUCGACCCGUGAAACCGCCAGUAAACGCUGCUGCUCUGCAGAACCAGAUCCACAGUCGGCACGUCGCCCCCAGUCUUGCUGCUCGUGAUCGUUCUCGAAUCGAAGCAAGCGCCGAACGGAGCAACGGACGCCACUCUCUUGAUGUUCUUAGCUGCAGCAGCCUUCACGAACUCGUCCACCACAGCUCUGUAGAUCGAUCUGUGCAGGCUCGUAUACGCCCUCACCGUCCGUAUGCUGGUGCCGCCUUCCCCGGUUCUCUUGUUGAUCGACAGGAGCGUCUUGUUUAAUGCUAGAGAAGUUUCUCCAACUCUGAUGGACUUGACGUCAAUGAAGUAGGCGAUGGAGAGAUUUCCGACCACUUCGUUACCCGAGUUGCUCACUGGGUUUGGGAGCAAGGGCGUGGUCCACAUUGAUUCCGAGAUCUAUUGAAACGGUUUCCUGUAAACCUCGUCUCCGAUGAUCAUGUUUCCAUUGCCGCCUGAAGACGGGAUGCAGAGCGCAAACUUGUCGCUGAUUUUGAAGGCGGAUGAGAGCUGUGACGGGAGGGAAACCCUAGUUCGGCCGAGGGCGAGGAGGCCGACGGUGGAGGUUGCUAGGCCUUCCCUGAAGUCGGGAUAGGGGGAGAAUUGGAAGGGGAAUCUUUUCACCUCAUAUUGGGUGGCGCGUGUGGAGGAGACGCGCAGGACGUCCUGGCCGAGGCCGCUGUAGACCUGGGUGCCGGUGAAGGGGUUGAGGGCGUAGUCGGAGCAUGUGUUGUUGGUGCAUCCGGGGACCGGAGGCGAGAGGAAGCAGAAGACGCAACCGACUCCGUUGGCAAUGCGGCACUGGUUGGUGCCGCAGAGGAUGGGGCGGUAGGAGUCCGCGGCGGAGAAGUAGUCGAGGGAGUUGAACCACAGGAAAUUGCCGCCGAGAUCGAUCCCCACGUUCAGUGUGGUGGCAUUGGAGCCUAUUUGGAUAGUCGUGUAGUAUUGGUUGGUUGCGCCAUCUUUCCUUAUUGGGAAAAUGAAGGCUUUAGGGGAUGUUAGAGCAUUUGAAAAGAAAGAUAAAAGGAGAAACGAGGAAGUUAUCAAGAUCGAAACACUAGGGAAAGCCAUUGAUUGCGAAGCUCUUGGAUUUGAUGCAUGUUUUAUUUAUUGAGUUUUGGAAUGGGAUGCCAGCUAAUCGGCAUUAGUAUAUUCAAAUCAUAUUCAGGUUAGUCUCCCAAUUGAAUCUAUUGUUUAUUUCUCCCCUUUAAAUCCACUGAUCGAUAUAUAUAUAAUUAAUAUACCAUAUGGUUGUUGGUGUUAAUAUAAUAACAUUAUGUAAUAAACUACUCAAGUGAUGAUAUAUAUUGGCGUUCGAUUCUAUGUGAAUUUAAGACUUAUUUUUAAUUACCUCAAGAAAAAGUUAAUCUUAAUUUACGAGCGUUUACCAAUGAAAGAAGAAGACGGUGAUGGCCGUAACAGCAAUACACGUGAUCAUGUCUUAAGCUAAUUGUGUCGCGACGAAUUCUUUUAGAAUCUUUCUUCAAUACAACAUGUGAUUCAAAUUUAAUAAAAAUAUAUUUUUCGAAGCAAAAUUGCUCGUUUAGUUGUGCCAACGCAGAGCCACUUGUUAAUAAACUAGUCUGGGCUUUUGAUGAUAAGGGAUCAAAGAAAGGGUUAAAUAGUAAAUAUAUUUCUAAUAUUUAUAAUAAAAAGUAAUAGAUCCUUAAUAUUAUAGUAAUAAUUCUCCCACUAAACAUUACAAUCAAUAUUUGACUCUUUCUUCACCCUCAAACUUGUGUUGUUUCAUACCAUGCAUGUCUUUUUAUAAGACUGAAGAUGUAUAUUAUAUCAUACUCCCUCCAUCCUCAUAAUGACACGGAUUUUAAUAAAGUAGUAAUUGAAUGUGUUGUGAUUGGAGUAAGAGUUUCAUUUUAAUUUAUUGUUUUAUUGUGAGCGGAAAACUUAGUAAAAAUAGAUUGAAUACAUUUUAUGAUGAUGUAUAUAAAAUAUUUUUUGUUAACUAAAUUGGCCACUAAAUAUAUCUGUAUAUCUGUAUGGGCGAUUAUGCAGAUUCAUCCAAUCAAAUAAAAUAGAGGUCCCACGAAUAUCAAAGUCGACAUAUUAUGUGCAAAUAAAAGUGAAGAGACAGUCAAUGAUACAACAAUCCUUUUACUCAUGUAAUGUCAAAUGUUAAGAAACUAAUGAAUAGAAUCCACAAAUUCCAAUAUUUGUAGCCAAGAAUAGGAGCCCAGAAUGUAUGGACUAACAACUACUUGUGCAAUCGCAACAUCAAUAUGCGUAUACACCUAAGAAAAACAAUCGUUAAGCUUCAGCUCUUGUGUUAUUCCUUCAACCUUUCUGUCGUCGCAGUUUGAUCACUUCUCAUAACAUGGCAGGAUUUCAUUGCCAUUAGAAUUUGGUAGAAUCCGAUGCAACUUUGAAGGAAACAAUAACAAGUGCUACGUACCUCGUCGUGUAUCAUGAUCUAGAGCGCUUUAAGCAAAUCAAAACACCAAUGCUAGCCAGGGCAACGAUGAUUCCGUAGUGGAGAGGAGUCCAUCUACCUUCUACUGGACUCACACUCUCACUUGACACCUUCCUCGUUUCGACUCUCUCGCGACCGUAGUCCAAGUGUAACCUCAUCACCUGCAGAUAAAAACCACAUUGAUAUUGAAUCAUGGAUAUUUUCAAAGAUGUGCAGCCAAUAAUAUGAUGAUGUACAAGUAAAAAAUUAUUCUGACCUUUAGACCAGCUGAUCGUGCACAGGUUAAAGCAUUGGCAAGAUCCCCAUCUGUUGUGAGCAGAACUUUAUCACCCUCAUCAUCUUCAUACUAACAGAGGAUAAAGCAUUAGUGAGUGUCUUUAUAAGAAGCAAUCUAGAAAGAAUGGGUUAUAUAUAUGAUCUAGACCCACCAAAAUUCGAGGGCGAGUGUGAUGAUUGGAUGCUCCCGCCCGUUGCAGAACAGCCGAAACGAGUUCAGCUAGAUGCUCCGUGCCUGGUAAUACAAUAUCAUGUUUAAUUUCUGUAGAAAAAUUGAUAAAAUAUCCAUUGGGAACCAGAAUGCAUGUGCAUUGUUUCUGAUUACUCACUUACCACAAUUAAAUCGGUGGACAUGGCCUUCAAGGUCCAUAAAUUUGAAACAAAAUGAAUUCCCAGGACCAACCGAUGGGUAUGGGGGCUUCUGAUGCUCUGUAGCCUCCGAUCCCACAUAUUGAGAUAUAGACAACUCACUGUAUCAGAGAAGCAAGAUAAGCUCCGACAUCAACAAGUUUGAAAUUAAUAUAAGCCACAGAAAGACCUAGUAGUAUCAUAGUCAUCAGGAUGAUCCAUGUUAAGAGCUGAAUCCCAGAAAUUCUGCAUCACUGUAUUUGCAGUAUCAUUUACAGAGCCAGAGCUGGUCUCAACCUUUUCAACAAAAAUUCAAGUUAAUCUCCUCCUACUUGUAGAAAUAGCAUACAAAUAAAGUGCCAAAACAUACCUAUAUUGUCAAUACAAGUGGGAGAUUUGAAGAAAUUCUAAUAUGACAAAAUUUUCAUCAAGUAAAUUCAGUAACAAACAUGACAAUUUAGUCCUAGCUGACUCUUUAUGAGUGCAAACAGAAUAAGGCACUGACACAUAUAAUUCGAAUUAUCUCACCAUGGAGAUUGCCGCAUGACUUAUCUGCAGAACAUCUAAACAGGCAGCAACACAUCCAUCUGCAAAGAAGAUAAGUUAAUCUUUUCUUUUUUUGCCUUUUUUUUCAGUGGAAAAGACCGAAGAAAAGCACCAGUUACCUUUAUCAAGAACCGGAAUAUGUAAAAACUUCCUAUCGUGCAUUAUAUGCAAUGCAUCGAGAAUAGUUGUCUCUAAGGUUGCACAUUCUGGGUUCGGCGUCAUUACCUUGAGUAACCAAAGCACGGAUCCAUGAUAAGUCAAUAGAAACAUCCUAAACGAAACAAUAGUUAUCAUGCAAGUAAAGGAAGAACAACCAAUUAGGACUACAAUAUGAAGUUUAAAGGUAGGAAAAUCCAGGGGUAAUUAUUUAAAAUGGAGAAAACUUGGGAGAGAAUUAUGAGAUAUUUGAAGCAUUCGGAUAUGAAGCAGCAUGAAGAUAAGAGUCUAUAUACACCCUGAUUGCAAGGUACUCAAAUAGCUAAUGCAAUGGGAAUAGAGUAGACAGCAUGUUUUGCAAACAAGAACUACUGAACCAAACAAGCUGUUAAACCUUUUCCAUUAGAGUCAGAUCUGGAGAGAGGUUUUGGGCCACAACUCGGAAGAGUAUAUCUCUAGAACUGACAUGAAAUCACAAGAAAUCAGCAGUGAGCUGACUAAUCUUGAGAAAAGCAAAAUUGAUUUACAAAUCUUCACACACAUAUAUAGUAGUACAAGUAUAGUUUUGUGAUCAAAAUAUCAUACGUGAGUAUGCCCUGGACGCUGUUCCCUGUCAUAACAAGAACUGAAUUGACCUUUAGUUCGCGCAUCUUUUUAGCAGCAGUUUGAACAGGAUCUGAAGGUGCAACAAUGGCAACCCUGACGACAUAACAAUAUUGCAGGCUUCUUAACAUGAUGCAAUGUAAAUCAUAUCUCAUCAGACCAUCAGCAAAUGUCAUUUACCUAGAAUUUUCAGAUAUGAUGGUGGAGAGAGAAGGCUUGAACACACGUUCCCUGAGUGUUUCUAUAAAAGUCAAUGAUGCUGAAAUAUACAAGACAUCAAAAGAAAUAAGAUAAUUUAUCAAGAUUAGAUGCACUUGUGUAAAGACAAAUAUAAAUGCUAAGAAAGAGUAUUAAAAUUAAAUUAAAGAAGCGCUAUAACCUCAAUGAACCAGCAGAAUAAUUAGUGCAAGCAAUUGAAAAAUAUCAAAAAAUUCACAAGGAAUUUCAUUAGCUGCUUAUAAACAAACUACAAACUACUAACAAGAACAUUAUGGUUUGAGCAUUCACAGUCAAAUAUUUUAGCUAAAUCAAUUCUCAGCAGCAGUUCAAUCAGGUUCAUGUUAGUCUCAUAUAAAAUAUUUAGAUGACGUAAAGGUUCACAGACGCUAGCAUCGAACAGCUCAGUAUAAAAUCCAUUCUUGUGAAAGUUCUGAUGUACUAGAGUUACGUCGUAGCAAAUAUAAGUUGCAGGAAGUGUUUGGUCCAGUUCAGAGUGUUGCUUGGAUUUGUAGACUUUUAUAGUACAAGAAUGUUGAAAGUAGCACCAACUUCUUCAGCUAAAGCUUUUUAAGCCAGUCACUUUCCAUUAGAGAAUUACUGUUACCAAUACUUUGGAAAUGCAUCAUAUCAUAUACUCCAGUGAACUAUGUACAAAAUAUUUGAUAUUAUCUCAUAUGGACCCCAUUACACUUACAAUCAAAGAAAAGCUCAAUUUUGCAACUACCCUAUCAAUGCUUUAUAUCCACAGUUGAUAGCAUUCUUGUGUAAGAACAAAAAUAGAGGGUCCAACAUAAACUUAGAGUCACCAAAGGGCCUCCUUCAUAUACACUUCAAUAAUAACAGGAAGAAAUCAACCAAAAACUAAUCAAACUUCAUAUGAAUACAUAAUAUGCAAGGGGAGAGAGAGAGAGAGAGAGAGAGAUUGGAACAAAAUGACUUGUCAUUUCUAUUUAGAAAAAGGAAAAGGGCUUGAUUGGAACAAAAGAAACGUAAGUGCUUCCCUGAUACUGCAGAAACAGUUGAAUGUCUUUGAUGGGACCUUGUCCCUAAAAAUUGAACAUUGAAGUGUAAAUAACUAACUAACCUGAGAGAUUGCUUCCAAAUUGACGUUCAACACCUUCAACUGCUGCAGCAAUAGCACUCCCCUGCUCUGCAGCCUUCUCCAUUCUUGAUAUAGCAUCAUAAAGGCAUUUUGUGAUAUCUAACAGUGCAAUGACUUCGCCAUUCUCAACAACAGGGAGGUGCCGAAAUUUCCCUAUCAAACACAAAAGACAUAACAGAUUAAUUGCAAGUGUAACUUGGAAAAUAUGUAAAAUAAAUGGAUAAUAAUCACUGCAUUAUUAGCAGCAAACAGGCCAAGGGAUAAGUAGCCUCAUGGAUUAAGUAAGACCAAACAAGUCAAUGCGUAAGUAGCCUCAAGGAAACUGAAACUCAAGUACUAUGUCACAACCAAAUAAUAACAACUUCUUAAGCGUUAAGCAUCAAAUGACCAUAAGAAAACAAAGCACAAAAUUUAACCUUGGACCAUCUUCUGCAAAGCUUCAAUAGCCAAUGAAUCCGAGUUCACAAAAAUUGGAUUUCUUGUCAUAACUUUUGAAAUUAUUGUAUUCUCUGGCUUCAGGUCCUCAGCUAUAACUCUGGUUGUUAUGUCCUAGACCCACAGCAUAAUCAGAAAUGUAAGUAAAGUCAAUCAACUUAUAACGCAAUGCCACAUUGCAUUGCACAGCAAUGCUACGACACUUUAUGAGCAUGUCGCAUUGCACACAAUGCUAUCUUUGAAUUCUUCACCUUCUUACUUUCUCUUGAGAAGAGGGAAAAAAGAAAACAUAAAAAAAGCAUAUGCACACAAUGCUAACAUAUAAUCACCUUAUCAGUGACAAUUCCUGAGAGCAAGACAUUAGAAUCAGUCAGCAGAACAGCAUCAACCCGCCUUGAUGCCAUCCUCCUGCAUGCCUCCGAAACAGUGGUUGCUUCCGGAAUUGUAAGUGCCUUAUUUAACCUUAGUUUCUUCACCGUCCUCUCCCAAACAAUAGACCUGCUGCAUAUAGCAAGAUAACGAACAUAUUAGAUAACAUAUGCCAUAAAAGAUGAGAGUUAAAGCAAUCAAGAACUAUAUAAUAGUACAGUAACCAAACAAGAAAAGCAUGUGCUUAAUAUAAUCAUAGGUAGAAUGAACAAUUACAGAAGAAAACAUGGACAAACAUAUAUAUUGCUUUUUACUCGACAUAUAUUAGAAUCAACAGAAAUAAUGCCAAAUCUGAGUGAUGAAAUUCAACCAAAUGAGCCUCAAUAAAAUGUCUACACCUUUUUGCAGCCAAUUGCUCAACCUUAUUCAUAUAUUGGAAACAUGCAAACUAAAUACUAUUUGGAGACCACUUUGUCUACACCUUUUUGCAGCCAAUUGCUCAAAUACUUCAAUACAAGACAAGGCCAAAAGCAUAAUUCACAUUGUCAUCUCACUCAAGCUCCAUCCAAGAAAGCAUUCUACGUACUCGUGGAGAAGAAAUUUGGAGGCACCCUAUACUUUUCAAGUAUAUUAAGGAGCCAAAAACUAAAUUAAUCCAUAUUUAACGACUAAUUUCACACGAAAAUGCAUCGAUCUUUAAUAUCCGCAACACUUCUCAUGCACAAAAAUACUCACCAGUUUCUCAUAAUCUAACUCCAAAAACAUUGCAAUCAAAGCUCAUUAUUAAUUUAAUUUUACAUUCCAACACAUCAAAAAACUCAAUACAAAACAAAAAGGAUGGAAACAACAUUAGCACGAACGUAAAAUCUUUUUCUUUCUGUUUUUCUGUUUAAUUCAUCUUACGAAUUUGGGGAGGAGGGUUUCGCAUUUGUGGAACUUGCGGCGGCGGAGCCGCUCUCGGAAGGAGGCCCCGACGACGACCUCUUCAUGGCGGGGGGAGCACUGCGCUUCUGCGACGGCGGCAUGCUCAUACUGUUGCGCCUCGGCAGCGGCGCCGGCGACCCGCUCGAUUUUUCCAUUUUCUUUGUUUAAUUUAGUCCAAAAAACUAUAUUAAUCCAUAUAUAAUUUGAGCGAUGAUAUAUUCAUUAUCAUGCAUGCAGAAUAUCUCGAUCAUCUCUCCUGUUGUCGAUCACCCUUAUUUCUGGUGAAAGCUGAUGAAUGAUUCCUCUGAAAUCAUUUCUAACCCACCAAAUAGCUUCUCGAUAUUGCACUAUAUAAAUUGAGCCAUGAUUUAAUAUCAAAGAUUAUACUAUCAUGUAAUAAAUGGUCAGAUGUAAGUAUUACUCUCUAUUUGUGGAAAUGUAUUUGUACUUUCCUAUAGCCAUCAUUGACAUGUUUUUUUUCCCUUUUUGAAGAAACUAUAUGUAAAAUAUUAACAAUACUGCAAUUAACCGUGCAAUUGAUACCAAGUAGUAUUCACGGUGAUUGAAAAAUAAAAAAACACAAUAAAUAAUCUCACACAAGUACUAAUUCAAUAUCCAAGCAAAUUGAUAGAAAUAUGAUAAUGAACUAUAGAUAAGUUAAAGCAAAGAAAAGAAAUAAAAUCAGAUGAUAAAAAUUCAAUAGUAAAAACUAAAAAUACUAAUUCUAGAGAAUGCAAUUAAGCUAAUUAAAUCUUAGACAAUUAACCUAUGAGUCGGUCUCCCGUGGCCGGUCUCAUCCAUGAGCCCAGUUCUCAUUAGGAGCGCAUAUAUAAAAAGUAUUUGCAAUUCUACAAACAAUAUAUGCUAGCUUAGAGGUAUGCUCCUUCAUCUACCAUCUCUCAGGCGUGGAUUUGAUUCUCACAAGUUCUCAUGAAUAAAUAUAACAAUUAUCGUGAAAAAAGUAACUUUUGACAAAUAUUAACUUUCUUCAGAUCGAUUAUUACUCUUCAUCACAACAAUAACUACUUUGACAUAUGUAUUUACGGACAACAACGAACUAUCUCUACACUAUCAUCCAAAACUUAACAGAAAGGUGGGGACCAAACUCUCACUAAUGCAGCACAUGUGGGCCGUCUCAUUUCAUCUGGAUCAUUGGUGUUGUGGGCUUCUUCUUUCGUUCCAUCGGCCCAACUUGGGCAUGUUCCAUAGUUGUAACAAUAAGUAAUUCUCAUUAAAAAUAGUUUUAAUUUUCUAAUUAGAGCUGCAUAUAUAAUCAAUAGGUGUAGUAUGAAAGCGUGUUACGAAUUCCCAAGGACAAAAAUGAUAAAGUUGUAGAAAAAAUAAGGUUGGGAUUUGGGAGGAGGAGAAAUUAAGAAUCAAUGAUACCACUAAAUUACAAGUUCGCGAUAUCCGACUCAAGGUUAUUGCUUCAUGUUAUUUUAUUAAGCACAACUAUUGCUAAAAUGUAUAUCUAUGGAGUAUUAAGUUGGAGAGAUGGUCACAGUUUACUCCUUGGUGAGCAAGUCAUAAAACACCUCUGGCUUCUUGCAUGCUGAUAUACAUAGUGCCUGGAGAGAGUGAAAGAGAGAGUUAAAAUAAAAUAAAAAGCUAAAACAAAAAUAAGAACCUCUACAUAUUAUUUCUUCCGUUCGUCAAAAGUAUAACACUUGACAUCCGUAAAAAAUAGAACCUCUACAUAUUAUUUUAGGGUUUGUUCAAUUUGAAGGAUUAGAUAUUAGAUUAAUCUUAUGAUAUCUUGUUCGGUUGGAUGAAUGUACAGCCGGGUAUUCAAUCUUGGGACAAUGUCAUAUAGGAAUAGUCUUAGUUUAUGAGUCUUGGCUUACCUCCUAUGACAAAAUUAAUCUAUGGUCAAUUCAAUCUCGGUUAAUUUCGGGCUAAUCCAAUCUCAACAAUCGAAUGCCCCCUUACAAAAAAAUCAAUCAUGACUUAUACUUAAUUCAACCUCAACCACUCAUUUUAUAUAUGGUGAAAUCAUUUAUCUAUUAAAAAUAUAUUAAUUACCAAUUUUACUAAAAUGUGUCGAGUCAAAGUGUUAUACUUUUUUAAAUCACGAAUAGUUAAAAUUUUAUAUUAAAUUAAAUAAUAUGCCCUGUCACUGUGAAUCCAACAAAAAAAAUGGAAACUUACUUGCAUAGCAGAAGCAAUGUAAAUCAACAAAGAUUCGGACCAUGGCUUCCCGAUAAACUGCAGCCCUAUUGGCAACCCACAGCUAUCAUAACCAACCUGCAUGCCGUCACCCAUAAAUUUUAACUCAUGAAAUUAUAUUUGCCAAAUUAAUUACAGAGUUGAGAAAUUUGAUGAGUACAGGAAUAGUGACAGCAGGAAGUCCCAGAAAGUUUCCAGCUAUCUGAUAUCGUACUAAUGCAGCUGCAAAUAUAUAUAAAUAGUAGUAGUUAAUUACCUUUCUUCACUACUAAUUUCAGAUCACUUUCACAAAAUAGGAUAAUACUUAUUUUGAUUUGAAUAUCUCAAAUUAAAACUUAUUAUUGACAUUAUUAAUUUUACAAUUUACGUAAAAAUCAAAACUCGAUUUGUUCUUUUAUUCAUUUAGUUGAAGUUAAUGCUAAUACAAAUGCAUUAUAUAAGAGUUGAUGAUACCUCCAUUUAUGUAGUCUAGUUCACCGGUUUUCAAGGCGUCGUCCUUUAUCGUGUAAGCAGUCACACUGUAACCAAAUUUGUUUAGGCAAAUGUAAGAAAUGAGAGAGAGAGAGAGAGAAUUUCGUACCCAACAGUUGGAGUAACAAUCACAUCUGCUAUAGAAAAUAUUUUCUCGUGGAAUUGCAGCUGACGUCUCCUGCAUGUACAAAUUAUUCAAACACUAAUUGGCUUUAACCAUCAAAUUGAGCUUUAAUUUUGUGAGGACUGUUGUAAUAAGAUGUUAAAUACCUCAUUUUCUGUGCAUUUAGAUAGUCAUUGCUGUCGAAGGAAUCAUAUACAGCGAGGCCUACUCGCACAUCCCACCCGACCUCUUCCUUCUUCCUGUUCCAUUCGAUAUCAUGUUUCUAUCUAAAUCUUAAUCAUAAAUAUAAUUAAAUACUAAUACUCACACAUUUUGUAGGUAGCUCUUGAUUGCAUUACUACAUUCUGAUCCGAUUGUUGUAUAAUGCGACAACCGCAUCACCUCUAUUUCUGGAAUCGUCACCUCUACAGUCUAUUUAACAACCAAACUCAUUGUUAAAAUAUAUAUAUAAUUGUUUAUAGGAUUAAUUGUUGCAUCUUAAGAUGCAUGCAUGAAUUCUACUCUUUUUUUAAUUAUAUUAUGACGAUCGAUGAUGAUAUAUGUAGAUGAAAGUUACCUUCCAGCCGUAUUUGUCAGAUAAUUUAGCAACCGCGUUGGAGCAGCAGGCCUUGAUAUCAUCAGUGCAGUCAUCAAACCACUAGAUACAUAUAUGUCACAAAAUCACCAUAAAUUCAAUGUUUUCAUCUAAAUAAAUUAAAAACAGAAAUUAAUUAAUGCAUUAUAUAUCACAAACCUCUCUAUAUCUUGCAAUCUUGAUGUCAGCAGACAUAUAGUUUGCAGAUUUGAGCAAGGGCAAACCUACUUUGGGCUGCAGAAGACGCGAUUUCAUAAUUAAGCUUUUAUUGAUUAGAGAUUCGAAUAUGAGAAGAUGCAAAAUGACUGACCACUGUAGUAGCAGAGUGAUGAGAUGAAUCGCCUCCAGCAAUGGCUGCAUAACUGUAGGCUAAACAUUAUUAUUGUUAUUUAUCUAGCUAGGUUUAUAAAUAUUGAAUUGUAUUCUAGAUUUUAUUUGGAUAAGUGAAAAUUAAUAGUAUAUUCAAGUUUGAAUAGGCACUUACGCGAUGAGCGCAUCUUCAACUGUUGCUGCAAGAAUCCCAACCAUCCCAAUUGUGUAGUUUAUGGGAAGAACUCUGCAAAGCAACAUCAAUACAUAAAUGAAGUAUUUAUUUAGAUCGACUAAGAAUUGAUGAUGAUAUUCAUAAGAAAAUUAAACUUGGUGUUUACCCUUGAUGAGGCACACGAGCAAAAGUUGGUUUGAAGCCAACCACACCACAAAGAGCUGCAGGAAGCCUUACAGAUCCUACCCAACUCAUCAAAUCAAAAUGUGUGUAUAUUUUCCAUAAAACUUUAAAUUGUAAAUUACUGAAAUCAACGAAUUCCGGAAUUGAAAAUUCAGUAUUAAUUAAUUUAGUUAGUGUAUAAAAGUUGUACCUCCUCCAUCAACACCAAGUGCAAGAGGGCAUAAUCCAGCUGCUACCACUGCUGCCGAUCCACUCGAAGAUCCUCCAGUAAUCUUGCUUCUGUUAUAAGGAUUUCUAGCAGCCCUUUUUACAUGAUCAAUUAUAAUUAUUAAUAAAAAGAAUUAGUAUAAUCAAAUGAAAAUUAGCUAGGAUGAGAAAUGCAGACCCAUAAUGAGGAUUGAUCCCACUAAUUCCAGCUCCGAGUUCAUGCAUAUUUGUUUUCCCAACUAUUAUGGCACCACAUAACCGCAGACGCCUAACACAACACGCAUCAUUUCUACAUUCUCUCACUUUCUGCAUCCACUUUGUUCCUCCUAUAUAUAUAUUUUCCCCAAAUUUAGCAUUCACUCAAAAAUUCCACAUAAAAAAACUACACUAUAUACAACUUUGCACUUCAUGUAGCCACGAUGGUAUUAUUUGCAGAAAGCUAACAAUCGUGUGGAAAAUCAAAACAGUUGAAAGUUCAUGUAUUUUAAUCCAUGUACAAAACUAGCUAGAAUUGUGUCAAAGUUUACGUAUUUAGGCACAAUUACCCCAAAAAAUAACUCUCUCCCAAAUAUGAUAGGCGUAGCUAAUUAACCUGUAGUUGGAUAUGGCAUGCAAUCGAUCUCAUCUUUAACAGCUACUGGAACUCCAUCUAACACCGAUAUUGGCUCUCCUGGAAAUCGUAUCAUUAUCAAAAACAUAUACUCAUAUGAUUAAUUCUACAAAAACUUUUUAAUUUGUUGUAAUUAAUUAUUGAUUGAUUAAUGUGCACCUCGUUGAUGGCGAAGAGUUGAUUCUGCAGCCUGCCUAAGAAUGUCUUGGACGCAGUAGUUGAUGAAGAAGGACAUCUGCUGCUUCUCACUUGAUGAUUCCCGAACACAACCUAUGAAUCUCUCUGCCACCUUUUGCACACACACACACACACAUCAUUCUCAUUUAUGAGUCCAUAUGCAAAGGGCUAAUUCAUAAUUGCGCCUAUAAAUAUACAAACUUUCAAUUAUUCUAGUUUUUCCACACGUUUGUUAGUUUUUGACGAAUUAAUAAUAUAAUAUAGUUAGCUAAAGUGGCAAAUUAAAGUUAUCUUGACUAACUGAAGUAGCGUAGACAUUCAACUACGUAAACCAUUCAGUACGUCGACUGUUUAAGUCAUGUGAACACUUCACAACAUUAAUUUUAGGACAGUUGACAAUCGUAUGAAAAGAUAAUUAAGAACAAUUGAAAAUUAGAGUGUUAUAUUGACAGAAUUUUUUUUCAUAUUAUAUCCCAAAUUUAAAUGCAUGCAUGCAUGUGAGAAGAAAUUUACCAUUGUAGGUGUUGUCUCCCCAGAUUUAUACGCCGUGGCAUAAUCAAGAACCGUCCAACGAUGGAAACUAGGUUGUGGAAGCGUAGGUUCUUCUUCAUUAUUAACACAAUUCACAGCUUCUUCAACUUUUUCUUGAGGUGGUGCAUGGGCCUCUACGCAUAUUGUUUCCUUUUCCUCGUUUCCUGUUAAUUACUUGUAAAUUUAUAAAUUAUUAUUCAAUUUUGAUUUUUCUCCUAUUCUAUAUAUAAAUGUGAUGUGAUGAAUAAAUACAUAAAUUUUGAUGGUUUUUAGAAUUUAUCUCAAAUUGAAACUGAUAUGUCAUCGAUCGGAAUUUUUAGCGUGAUGAUAUUUGGAUUUGUUGGGCGAUGAUGGCAUCUCUAAUAAGUUUGAUGUCACGUUCAUUUCGAUUUUACCGUAUUAAUUAAAAUUUGUAUUUAAAUAACCAACUUUAAAGAAUAUAAAAAAUAUAUAUAUAAUUCACUAAUAAUUUAUGCAUUUACAAUCAAUUAAUUCUUUUUAUAAUCACAUGAUACAAAAUAGUAGUAUAUAAAUAAAUUGUGCAAGAUGUAAUAAUUGGCAGUUGAUCUUAAUUUAGAGAGAGUUAUUGCAUUUCUAACCGUGAUGCGGAUGCAAAGGAACAAAAAGCGGCUCUUCUUGCAACUCUGCAAACGACACGAGCUGCGAGAUGAAGACAUUUUCUGAGAUACAUAUCGGAAUUUCCAAGAAUACUGUGUGAAAGUAUACUACAAAAAAUAUCACAAUUAACUGUAAAAAAAAAUCAUCGCUAAAAUAUAAUUAACGACGGAUCCGUUCCAUCGUUUCCCAUUCCUUUUGUAAGUGGUUUUGAACUUUCAUUUAUUUGUAAAUUAAUUAGUUAUAGUUUAAAAUAUUUACAAUUAAAAUUACCCCUAUUUAUUGAACUUUACUUUUACUUUUUCUUAAAGUCAAUUUCUUUAUUUUUUUAUUGAGUAGCUAGGCUGAAGAAGAUAAAGUGUUUUUUCUUUUCUUUUACGUACAAAAUAGUGAUCAUAUAAUUAAGGGUAGUUAUCUAUAAUUAAGGUUGAUUUUAACUUUUUUUAUUAUUAUUAAUUUGUGUGUCAAAACUUAGGAAGAUUUGUAAAUUGAAUAGGAAGGACUAUUAAAAUAUGCACAAGUCUUUUAUUUUUAAUUGGGGAUAGUUUAAUUCCAUGAUCAUUUACUCUUUUAAAGAUGAGGAAUUAUUUAUUACAACUGAGCUAUAUAUAAGUCUGUAAUACUAUUGCAGUAAACAAAUUGGAGGGAAAACUCCAUAAAAGGUCAAAAAAAUUAUGUGGCUUGUAUAUAUGAUUGGGUACGACUGAGUUCCAGUUUGUAUCAAAAUGGAACGAUGCUUACAUCGAAAUAGAAACAUAGUAAUAAAUUUGAUCGAAGUGCAAUUCUCUUAAACAUAAUAGUAUAUAUUUGAAAUUUAUCUAAGUAUAUAUAGCAAAUGAUUAUAUAAAUCAAGUCGUAUGAAUUUUCUGUUGAACCCAACAAAAGCAAUUCAAAACGGGGCUCUAGCUAAUUGAAUCUUCGAUUAUAGCAGAGGCAUGUAAAAUAAAAAUAAAAAUAAAAAUAAAGCGUCACUUGUCACCUAACAAGGGCAAUUAAUUUAAUUCGGUAGACUUUCUAAUAAAUUCAUUUCAUACUAGCUGUCAUUUCCUCUUAGUUUUAUACGUUGUAGCCUAUAUAUGAAGACACAAAUUAGAGGUGGUUUUGGGGGCAACUUACCGUCGGCGGAGGGGCCGCCCCUUUUUUUUUAUAUGUAAUUGUUUAAUUUGGAUUAACUAAUUCAAUUAAUAAUUAAUUAAAUUAAUUAUAAACCUUAAUCAAUUAUUAAUAAAUUUCAACUAAAAAUUAAUAAAUCUUUUCUUUUUUGGAUAUUAAUAAAUCCCAUUUGUAUUUAAUAAGGUGACAGCGCCUAAGUUUUUUGCCUACAAAUUUGCAAACGUCCACAAUGAAAUUUUUUUAUAACAUAUUAGCAGAAAGAGCCUAUGUUGUGCAUAUAUAAUCAAUGUUAUUUUAUUCGAUAAAAGAAAAAUAUAGAUAUAAUAUUUAUUAUGUUUAAUUUUUUAAUGAGCAAUUUUCGAUAUAUUUAAUUCUAUAAUUAUAGUAAAACCUCUUUAAAAUAAUUAAACUCUAUAAAUUACUCCAUAUACUAGUGAUUUAUUGCUAUUUCCACUGAUCUAGUUAAGUAAUUAGAUUCUAUAGGAUAUUUAUCUUUUUCAUGAUUCAAAAAAGAGUUCUAUAUAUAUCAAACAGAUUUGGACAUAAUGUAAAUUAAGUAAUUAAUUAAUACUAAUAUUUUAAUAUCUAAUUAAUUAAUAUAUAUUUUUCUAAAUAUAUAAUAUAAUUUAUAUAACUAUUAAUAUAAUAGACAAUUAAUAUUUUUGCCUAAUACACAUUUUAUAUUAGUGUAGAGAUAAUAUAAUAUUUAAUUUACCUUUCUGCACGGCAAAACAUUAAGUCUUUAGGAAUUAAAUAUACAAAGAGUGUUUGGUAGGCCUAUACAUUUUUUUUGACUUGAUAGGCCUAUACAUAAGCAAAACAAUAUGGUACAACCACUGUAAAGAAAUUUAUGUGCUAUCCCAUUUUAUGUAACUCGUAACUAUCAAUUUCUCUAAAAAGAAUCGUCCCAUUUUUAUGUAGUAUGCAGGCCUGAAAAUACUUGCACACUUAAUUUGCCUAUUCUAUUAAGAAAUUCCUAAUAUUCUUUACCAAAACAAAGAUUAAUUAUUCAUUUGACAAUUUGAAAUUAUUUGGAUUAAGUUGUUUUUUAUAUUUUUUUUUUUCGUUUUUAACAUAUUUGUAAUAAUUGUAAUUUUAAAUACAUGUGCAUAUCAAAUUGGAACCACGCACACACGUGAAACUAAAAGUUAAAUGGAUUAUUCAAAUGCGUAAUAGUUCAUUCUUCUUAUAAUUGAGAACUAAAGAACUAAUAAAAAAAAUUGAAAGUGUAUAAAUAUAUUAUUAAAAGUAAUUCCUAUAAAUGUAAAUAUUUAAAAAAUAUGAUUUUUUCUAUAACUCAACAUUUCUUUCAACUCAAUUAAUUAUUGUAUUUAUUUAUCAUUCCAAAUUAAAUAAUGUAAUAGCGACUUCUAGAAAAGGACCUUGCCGGUAUACGGCAUAUAGAUAAGAUAACCUUAUUUCCACCAGACAAAAACAUAUUUUUCAUCUCCGCACAUUGAUUUUUACAAUUAGCUAGGAGUAGUAUAUUUUAAUUAAUUACAUUAAAUAAUGAAAAAUAUAGUAAAUGUGAAGAGGAAAAUCAAGAAAAUUUAAUUACCUUGUGAAUUAGAUUGUUCUUCUUGAGAAAGUAGAGUAAUAUGCCUCCCAAAAUCGGCGACUCCAGCAACCAAACAAACACUUUCACCAAAAGACCAGCCAUGCGAGGAGCUAUAUACAUAUACAUAUAUACAUAAUAUUAAUGUAUAUAUAUUUCCCCACUCUUGGAGAUAAAUGCAAACCAGUAAAUAUAUAUGAGAAAUAUUUAAAGCAUCAAAUCAAAUAAUCAAGCACUUUAUUUUAUAGCAAUAACCAAACAAUUUUUAUAAUUCAUGGCAAAAUUCAGUCCAUGCAAGUUCGUUAUACAGCAGAGAUCAUAUACUUCUCUGUGAAUACACACGAUCAAUUUCGUGCAUGCAUGAUGAAUUAUAUUGAAAAAUGAUAAUAAUAGAUUAUAUAUGUCCGUUUUCACAUAUAUAGAAUUGACUAUGGAACAUCCAUUAAUUCCUUAAGCUUUGUCUACUUCAUCACACACACACAACACACACAAUUAACCUUUGACAUUGGCUCGGAGAUAAAACUCAUCGCUGUCGGGGCCGAGAUCGACAUCGUCGACGGCCUUGUAAACGACGCCGUUAUCCUUGAAAAUACCCAUCCUAACUUACUCUACAAUGAACUAUGCUUUUAUAAGUGUAUAUAUGAUGGAAAUGUUUAUAAGGGUUUAAUUUGAUGGACAAAAUGAUGCUGGUACAAGGCCGCACGUAUAUAUAUAUAUAUAAAGAGAGAGAGAGAGACGUAGCAGUGGGGGCGGAGAUGGCAAUGAAAUGAAAGAAGAAUUUGGAGGUAAAGUGUGGCACAUGCAUAUUAAUGUGUUUGGGGGGUGUUGAGAAAAAAACAACAUCAAAUAAUAAAGUUAUGUUUAAGGUACAAAAUUAAAGCCAAGUAGUUCUCUCUCUCUCUUUGGUAUUCACGAUUCUACCUAACAUAUGAAAUUAACAGAGUGUGGUAAGUGGUGAUUCAUAAUUUUGAACCGGGUUGGGACAAAUAAUUAUAUAAUUAUAAGUGUAAUAGAUAUUUAUUGUUAAAAGUAGUAUAUAUCUUGAAAUAUAUUGUUCAAUUUUUAAGUUAUAAUACACUUUAAAAUACAAAAAAAAUUAUAAAAUUAUUUAAUUAAUUUACCUUUCGACGAGUCUUCGUUUCUUGAGAGCGACUGACAAGCUCGUCAUCGGAAAGUUUUCUCUCAAUGAACGUGACCAAACAAUAAUUUACAACUUAAGCCCUUAAGUUAUUUCGCUACUUAUUUUUUGAGAAGUCAUUUCAGAAAACACUCUCGUACAUUUGCUUGCAGUAGCAACGAGAAGAAUCAACACCAACUUGAUUAACAAAAACACCAGAGGAUAAGUCACAUGUCUCUUAUUUUCAACACGCUUCAUCGAAAGAGAACUGAUAUUAGGAGACGGACGCCUAAACAUGAGGGAAUAGGUCUUUAUUGACCGUGUGAGGGUAGCUCCUCUCAAGAUUUUUUCUCGUGUUGGGGUCGAUCGUCUGUUUCGUCUACUUCUCCUUCAGGUGAACACAGAACUCCAUUAAGUUGCCAUGUUGGAUGUAACUUUGAUGAAGUGUCCUUGUGUUUGAAGAUAGAUGAUUCUGAUUUGGCUUAAACUCCUCCUUUUAUAGAGCAAGAAACUCUAACUAUUCUUCACGUGAUAUGCUCGUGGAAAAGCUUGUGCUCAAAUGCCUGCCAUUUUCUUCUUUAUAUUCAUUUUAGCUAGGGCUGUAAACAAACCAAGCCGCUCGCGAACUAUUCGGAGCUCGGCUCGAAAAAAGCUCAUUCAAGUUCGUUUAGAGAAGCUCGUAAAAUAAACAAACCAAACUUGAGCUUAGUAGUAUUCGGCUCGUUAGCCCGUGAACAUGUUCGUCAAGUGAUUCAGUUUGAAAAAUAUAAAUUAUUAGUAGACAUAACUUAUAUUUAUCCACUAAAAUUAAUAAUAAUUGUAUUAAAUCUCUAAUUAAUUUUAUUUGUUAUAAGAAAAUAAUUAAUAUAUUUAUUAUUUUAAAUAAAAUAAUUUAUUUUUAAAAUAAAAUAAUCAAUAUUUUGAAUAUAAAUAUAAAUUUAGAAAGUUCUUAUAGGCUCGAUUAGGCUCGCGAGCCGCUCGUGAGCCUCAAAGUAUUCGGUAAAUAAAGUUCGGGAUUCGAUUCGAUACUUAACAAACCAAACUUGAGCACACCACUAUUCGGUUCGGCUCGGUUCGAUUACACCCCUAAUUUUAGCCCUACUGAGUGGCGUGGUUUAGUCUUGUUGCUGAUUUGAUUUGUCUCUGAAAUAAAAUCUUGUAAGAUUCUUAGAUUGUCUUCUGCCUUUUUUUAUACAUUUCAUAUGUAUUAUUGGAACACAUAAAACACAAUGGAAACAUCAAUUGUAAUAAACACCACCUUAAAACACAAGUGGUUUUGACUUUUGAUCACAUUGCACAUUGAGUAUGAAUGUGAUGAUAACUCUCAUUCACUCGUAUUAGUCUCUUGAUGUGCAGUCCACAAGCAAUACAUUUACAACAAAGAGUGAAAAUUCCCGCCUUAUUGUAUGAAUGCUCUCCUCCUGCUCAUGUCAAGAAGACGAGCACAAAUAGAAUAAUGAACAAAACCAGUAAAAAACAAAUCAUCAUGAUUUGGCCCUUCGCACCCGCCUUCUUCAUAACCACACCAACCUUUUUCUGCAAAUAUGAAAUACUACAUAAGACGACUAACCACUAACCACCAUAUAGUCAAGUUAUUUACUUAGGAAGCAUUUACUUUUGAGAAAAAUAGUAAGACUAAUCCUUUGUUUACUAAAAUGGAUUGAAACUUUGGGGUAUCCCAAGGCCCUUGAUUAUUUCUAUCAUUUGAUCUAGUUUUGCUUGAUAAUAUCUCAUUGAAAGAGUGGGAUUGGAGAAAUCCUACUCUUGUAGAUAAAAAUACCCAAUCAUGCAGCUUACCAAUCAUGCAAAGUAAAUGCCAUUUAGCUUCGUUUAAGCAUGCACAUUGAUACAGGCAUGAAGGCGACAUGUUUUUUACCUGAACAAAAUCAAGACGGUUUGAUGUGCCGUCCAUCUCCAUGCCAAGUUCAUCUACAAUUUUCUCCUGAUAGAUAAGCAAUUCAAAUGAAAAAGCAUAUUUCAUAUAAACAUGAACCAGAACAUUAAUUUGCAAAUACUCAAGAUAUAAGGUUUGAGAAAACUGUUUAGACUAAUAAAACGCACUUCAUAGUAUGUCUUAUUAAUAGAGGUAGAGGGACUUUCACCUGUGCAAGGAGCUCUUCAUGUAUUGUAAGCCCUACACCUCCGAUCCUUUGCACACUGUUACUAAGUUCAUCUAGUUCUUCAUCCUGUUGCCUGCAAGAGAAGACUCAUCAAUAGGAAGGACAGAAAACUGAUAGAUAGCCCCAAAUCCAAUAGAAAACGGAGCAGAGAGCAUCAAUAAUCCUACUAUAGUUUGUUACUUUCUAACAUAUACCCUUCCAAUUUCAUAUCUUUUCGAUUUUUUAUCUCUAACUAUGAUGUCCUCUUUCUGACUAUAGUUUUCGCUCUCUAGCUUAUAAGUUCAAUUAUCCAAACACUUUGACAGCUUAUAAACUCUUGAGACCUUAAAUCUCAUAAGCUCUGGAAACAUCUUAUAAACUGUUGGAGCUUAUAAGCUCUCGAAAAUAAGCUUAGCCAAACACCCUCUCAGUCUACAUUUUAUAGCACCCUUGGUUUUAAAAGGCGGAAGGCGCACAGAGGCGCAAACUGCCCCGUAGCCUAGGUGCAGGGCUUUAAGUGCAGGCACGGCCUUUUCGUAGGCAAGGUGCACCUAAAGUAUAAAAUUUCUAAUAUAUUUACCUAUAAUAUAUUUUCUACUAAAAACACAAAUAUAUUCCACCAUAGUUCAAUAAAACUAGAAUAUCACAAUUGACUGGUCAGAGGAGGUUCACAAGGCGUGUAGGAAGUUAAUGAAGGAAAUGAAAGAGAUUGGUCUACGAAUUAUCGGAGGAUCUAUUAGUAUUGGAUUCCUAAUUAUAACAAAACAAUUAGAAGGCCUAAGCAGCAUAUCUAGUUAGCACGAUUCUCUUCUUAUUGGGGAACUUUAUCCUGUUCUCAUCAUUCCUUUCCAAAAUACACAUGCAUAAGAGAUAAUGGUCUCAAAGAGGAAAAAGGGUUUUAUGCUACUGGGAAAUCACAAAAUGCAAGAAUCAUAGAUAGACAGUCACCUAGAGCUUACAAUUCAGACUAACCAACGGAAAGAAAACAACACAAGGGUUUAUAAAUAUUACCUCAUGAGAAGUAGUUGUCUAUCAGAUUCUGAUGAUAUAAAAUCAUCAUUAUCUGCACUGUACUUUUGUGAUUGAUCAGCAUGAUGAGGAUUUGGCAGUCUCAUAAGCUCGCGGCGCAUUUCACUGAAAUUAGAUGUGCUAGUGUCAUUCAACUCUUUUCCAGUUACAACUGAAUUCUUGACACUUUUCACCUGUUGGUCGAGAAAAAUUCCAGUUUAUAAGAGCCAUAAUCAACCAAUGAACAAAAAACUAUUGUAAAUAGCUCAAUUAAAAUCCUUAAAAGAAUUAACCUUCAGAAGCAAACCAAAUAUUUUGAACUCUAAAAGGAAAUCAAAUAGGGUAACCAAUUUCCUGAAAAAUAAUAGCUGGUACCUGAUUCCGAGCAUUGCUUGUCCAUCUUCUUCGAUUAUCAAGCUCCACUUGAUCGAUACCAUACAAAGCAGGAUUCCUAGAUGCAACAGUUAUUGCCUUGUCCAAUUCAUCUACCUUUCAGUCAGGAGACUAUCAGUACUAAUGUGAUAGAAAUGUAUCAUACAUCAGAAAUUCUAGAAGCAAAUGUAUUUACAUCGAGCAAACAAUAAUACUUGUAUAGCCGUUGUUCUAAUCAUGAUCAUCCAUUACGAAAAAGAAUCUCAUAAGGUGCACUAAUAAAUAUAGUAUUGACAGUCUAUGACAAAAUCUACAAUCUUAGCAUCCAAUAGCAGAUUGAAGAAAACUUGUCUACUGAUAUCUGUCAACUAUAAGAAUUUGGAAAUGUAACUGAUUGCUCAAGGAAAAUACGUGAAGUUCAAAUACAAAAUCAUACCUGCCAUUCUAUGCUCUCAGAUCCAGUAAGAACCUCCUUAGUGAGGUGUAUCCUCUCCCCACUAUCUGAAGGCAUCCGUUCCCAUUUGUGAAAGGUUUGGAGAAACUUAUCAAUCUAACAAAGCAGGAACUUCAUUGUUUAGCUAACAUUCAACAAAUGCAAAUUAAUGUAAUAGAAGCUAUCAAAUAAUUUAUUCAAGAGUUGGACACCCCCCUGGAGGGAAAUAUCAAACUAGUGGCAGGUGAACAUAUCUAAACAAACUUGCCUGUAAAGGGUGUUUUUGAACAGAUCAUCGGCCUACAGAUACAUUAGGAAUUUUUAAGAUUCAUGGUGCUCAAAUUGAGAUAGGCGAAUCUUUACUCAGAUGUCCACUAUUGCUUAGCAGAAGGUAUUUGACAAUAUCACAACUAAUAAGCCACCGCUUGCUGCAUAGCAUCUUAGGGCAUAAGUACAAUGGUUGAUACCCGAAUUAAUCUACUAAUAUUAGAAGUGUUUAGCUACAUGAGCAACUCAUGUUACAGUUCGAUGAUGCUCAAACUCAAAUGUGCAAACCUUUACUUAUAUGUAACUAUUGCUUAGCAGAAGUAAUCAACAAUGUGUGUGUUUAACCUAGUGAUAGAGUGGUUAAUGCCUGAGGCCAAAGGUUCAGGUUCGAGUCCACCGUGAUGCGGCCUUUAAAUUUUGUUUAUCCAACCAAAAGAAGAAGUAAUCAACAAUAUCACAAUUAAUAAGCUAACACUUUCUGCAUAACAUCUUAGAAAGUAUAAAGAUAAUGCUGAUUCAAGAAUGCUAAUCUGUAAUAUUAGAUGUGUGUAAUCACAUAACAUCUUAUCACUAACUCUAAGUUCAAUAUAGAAGUGCUCAACACAUCCUGUACACAAUUUGCACUAGAUCAAGGGGACCGGAUGCGUUCACCAAGCAAUGCAGGCGUACAACUCUAAACACCAUCAAAUCACUCACAAGCUACACUAAUAGUAAUACACAAAUAGCAACAGCGUUCCAAAAAAUACACAAAUAAAACAAAGGCGUGGAUGCAUAGUUUAAUUCGCAUCAAAGCUUCAAAAUCCAAUAACAUAAGAGUGCCGGGUUCAUUAAUCAAUGUAAAACCCAGUUCAAGCAAUUAACGGAAUAUAGAAAAUCAAUACAAUAAAUCCUGGUAAUAAUAGACUGCUUAAACUAUCCCAUAAAUAAAAUAAUCGACCGAUCGAUCUGGUACGGAAUGAUGGAUAUAAAAAGAAACAUUAGGUUAAAAAGAAAGAACUUACAGAAUCCUGAAUCUCCUCUUUCACAAUGUAAAAAGGGUCUUGAGCUGACGACAUAAUCAACUCCAAACAAAGCAAUUAAAUGGGUUGUUGGCACCUCCAAGUCGCAUAGAAACGUUAAGAUCUAUGGUCUGAGAGGCGAUGCUGGGCGGUAGGGGGCGAGGGCGAGGCUCUGCAGUGAAGCGGCGAGCUCCGAUCGGUUUGGGAUUUCGAUUCUCGAUUGGGGUGGGAGGGCGGUGCUGCAGCAGGGAGCUCUAAUUGUUGUGUUUCCUCAAUGCUUCUGAAUGAAGCAUGGCUUUUCCGUUUCCUCAAUGCUAAGCUAAUUCCGAUUGCUCAGCUCACAUGACUAGAAGAACUUCUGUGUGUCGUGUUUCCUUUUCUUUGAUUGUUGUGUGAAUUUCGGGAUGUGUUAAUUGGAAAUAUUGUGCCGAGUAGGGGCGUGCACGAACCGGCACCGAAAAAAUCGAUUGAACCGAUAAAUUUUUGUGCGGCUCGGUUGAACAUUUCAUAGGGCGACUCUGGUGCGAUUCGAGAAAUCAUGACUCGGUUCUUUUGCAAUUCGAUAUCGAUUCUUUGCGGACGAUGAUGAGAUGAUGCUCGAAAGUCUAUCUAAACAUCAAGAAUUCGCAUAUCAACGUGUAAUUAAAAUUAUUUUUAAAUUAUAUUUAAUAAAUACAUGUAUAUAAAUUUAAACGUUACCACUAAAUUUUUAACUUUUAUAUUAAUAUUUAUUAAUCUUUUAUUAUUUAUACUAUUUAUUAAUUAAUGUUUACUUUAUAGUGUUUGACUCUUAUUUAAACGAAUAAUCAAUUACUAUUACUACCUAUAUUUAUAUAUUUAAACGGGUUUAAAUAAUUAAUUGAGUUUGAAAUAAGUACCACUAUAUAAAUUCUAGAUAUAUACAGAUGAUUAAAUCCUAUAAAAUAAUUUUGAAAUACUUUUGUGCUCUGCUUCGAUGAACUAUAUUAAGUAAUUAUCUUGUUCAAAAAAAAAAAAUAUUAAGUAAUUAUCCAUUAAAAUUCAAGAACAUACAAUUUAUAUAUUUAUAUCCAAAAAUAUUGCUAUCAUAGUAUUAUUCAUUUUGUGAAUAAAAUUAUACCAAUUUUUAAAAUAUUGUCAUAAAAUGAUUCCCGGUCGAAUUUCAAUGAGCUAUAAACUAUAGUUAACUCUUAAUUAAUUAAGCAAUCCCCUAAAAAAACUCUUAUUAAUUAAACAAUAGAUCGAGUCUAGUUGUUAAGCACGCAACUUCCUUUCUUUCUUUAAUUCUUUUUUUCUUUUAUUCUGUUAUUCUUUUUUAUUUAUUUUUGUUUAUUCUUUAAUUGUCUCCGAUUUCCCUACUAUUGUAUAAGUAUUGGAAUGGUUGUACGCAGGUUUGACCAAUUGUUUUACGCGGAGUAUUAAAUACAUAUAUAUUAGAUUAUUUUAUUUGAAGGGAAAAGAUUGGAAUUGUUAAUCAUCAUCAUCAAAUGUGAAAAUUAGUUUAUAAACACAAGUGGGUCGCCCAAUUUUGUGACCAAUUUAUUUUCUCACAAAAUAAAUUUUUAUUUGAAUGCCAUGCUGUACGGAAAGAAGUUUCUACACUGAGAAUUGAGAAACUAAACUUUAAUUAUGCCACAUCAUUACAUGUCUUCUUCAUAUUUCGUGAGUAAAUACAAAGAAAACAUACACACUCGUUUAUCUCGUAAAUUAAUUAUGUGAUAGUUAUAGCUCAAACUUUAAUGAAUACUAUAUUUUGUUCAAAUCUCAUAUACAAAUUGAUUAUUUUUUGUCCGUUAUCAUUUUUUUGCAUUAGAAAGUUUAGUUAGAUGCUGGAUUUCAUGUGUGGUAUUUCCACUAAGUAUAAUUAUAAUAAAAUAAAAGGUUGUUUAUUCUAAAAAAAAUAAAAUAAAAGGUUGUAAUAUUCCACAUUAUUAUAUCUUUUUUAUUCUUUUUCUAUAUUUUUUAAAAUAAACAUAUAAAGCGAUGUCAUUUUGAUGGUGUGGAAUAUCUCAAUUUUCCUUGUUCUAAUUUAGUUAGGGACAAUGACACGCAUAAAAUUCGACUAUCAACUGAACUUUAUCAUGCAAAAAAUCACUGAUACACUAAUACUGUAACUAAAUUAACUUAUAAGGUUUAAAAUUAAUGUAUCAAUUGAAGUUCAUGCUACAACUAUCACUAUAUAUAUCCCUUUAUUUUAAGGCAUAAGUAUAUUAUAUAAUUGAAAAAGAUAGAACUGGAUCUGAAGUGUAGAGUUUUGACUUUGACCUUAAUUAAUUGAGUUGGGAAUGUUGACUUCAACCAGACAAUUUGAGAUCCAAAUUAAAGAUAAUGCUGAUUUGCUGGCUUGCCAUCCCAAGUCAAAACUACAGAAAUCCUAUACCUAUCCAAAUCACUUCAUCCAUUACCAUUUACCAGUAUAAAUAACUAACAACUAUUAACUCAAUAUAUCCAAGAACGAAGACAAUGGCUUCUCCCACUCUUUCCAUCUUCAUAAUUUCCUCUUUGCUCAUUGUAUCUUCUUUCUCAAACGCUCAACCAAAACCUAGAGCCUUCACUUUCCCAAUUAGGAAAGACGACGCAACCAACCAAUACUUUACAACUAUCCAACUAGGCUCCAAGGCCACCACACUGAACGUGGGGAUCGAUCUCGGCGGCAAUUUCCUAUGGUUCAACUCCCUCGACUACUUCUCCGCCGCCGACACCUACCGCCCCAUCCUCUGCGGCACCAAACAGUGCCGCAUUGCCAACGGAGUCGGCUGCAUCUUCUGCUUCCUCUCGCCUCCGGUCCCCGGAUGCACCAACAACACAUGCUCCGACUACUCCCUCAACCCCUUCACCGGCACCCAGGGCUACAGCGGCCUCGGCCAGGACGUCCUGCGCGUCUCCUCCACACGCGGGGCCCAGUAUAAGCUCAAUGACUUCCCCUUCCAAUUCUCCGACCCCGUCUUGCGGGAAGCCCUAGCAGCCCCCACCGUCGGCCUCCUCGCCCUCGGCCGAACUAGGGUUUCCCUCCCGGCGCAGCUCUCAUCCGCCUUCAAAAUCAGCGAGAAGUUCGCGCUCUGCAUCCCGUCUUCAGGCGGCAAUGGGAACAUGAUCAUCGGAGACGAGGUUUACAGGAAACCGUUCCAACAAAUCUCGGAAGCAAUCCAGACCACACCCUUGCUCAGAAACCCAGUGAGCAACUCGGGUAACGAAGUGGUCGGAAAUCUCUCCAUCGCCUACUUCAUUGACGUCAAAUCCAUCAGAGUUGGAGAAACUUCUCUAGCAUUAAACAAGACACUUCUGUCGAUCAACAAGAGAACCGGGGAAGGCGGCACCAGCAUACGGACGGUGAGGGCGUAUACGAGCCUGCACGGAUCGAUCUACAGAGUUGUGGUGGACGAGUUCGUGAAGGCUGCUGCAGCUAAGAACAUCAAGAGAGUGGCGUCCGUUGCUCCGUUCGGCGCUUGCUUCGAUUCGAGAACGAUCACGAGCAGCAAGACUGGGGGCGACGUGCCGACUGUGGAUCUCGUUCUGCAGAGCAGCAGCGUUUACUGGCGGUUUUACGGGUCGAACUCGAUGGUGAGAGUCGGCGAGGGAGUGAUGUGCCUUGCGUUUGUGGAGGGCCCGCCGAAUUUGACGGGGCCGACGACGUCGAUAGUUGUGGGAGGUUAUCAGCUGGAGAAUCAUCUGCUGGAGUUCGAUGUGUCUGCGUCGAAGCUAGGGUUUAGCUCGACGCUGCUGCUGAGUGAUACGAGCUGCAACCAGUUUGGAGCUGCCUAGGUUGGACUCCAUUGUGUGUUUAUGAUCGGUUUGUGGGAUUGUGAUGAUAAGAAUAAACGUGGAAGAUAAAUGGAUUAUGAAUGUUGUUAUGCGUUUCAUUGCUAAAAUGCAUUACUUGGUUAUUGGUUAUGACUUAUGAAUGAAUAAAGUGUGCUGCUAUACCGAAUGAUUGAGUGUGUAACUGUGUG